ACAAGGCCAAGAUAAAAAGGGAAAAAAAAUUAUCUUUAUUUAAAUAUCGUUGAAAUAAAAAUCUAACCGAGACUUGGACUUUUUCCCAAUUGAGAGCUUUGAGAAGGUGGCAUGGGUGUCCUCAAGAGGGCUGUAACUCGGGUCUAAAUCCGAAUCAUAGCCCAGGUCGGACCCUCCACUGUCGGUGCUGUAUUCAUCAUCUCCUUCUUCGAUGAAUAUUACUUGCUCAGACUCAGGAGCUGCCAUUGAUUCGCUACUCUUUUGCUUUCUUCUGGUUUUUAAGGUAACAACUUGCUUUCGCUUUUUGAAAUCGAAUUGCCGGAAUGAAAGGAAAUUUUCGACCAAAAACAGAAGUAAAUAUGGCCGUUGAGGAUUUGAAAAUUUGAAGUUUGUGCAGAAUGGAUCAAUUAUAUAAUUAAAUCGUUUCGGCGGAUUGUUUUGAUUGAUUAGAUUUUUUUAUUAUUAUCUAAUUAACAAUGCUGCUUCGAUUAAAAAAAAAAUUGCGUUACAAGGUUUUCACAAGAAAAUAGAAAUAUUAAAAUAUUAAAAUAUCCUUUAUUGUAUUGUAAGUUUCUCACAAUUACUUCGACAUUACUAACUUCACUCGGGCACAGUUCGAAUGAGUCUGAGUGCACCUGGUGCCUAUGUUCAGUGGAGAAAUCGUUAGAAAUUUGGAUCUAAUAUUGAUUUCUCCGUCUUUAUCUUCUAAUAAUUUUUUAUCACACUGUAUUUAUAAUUUGAGUGUCUAAAUUAUAUAAUUGUAUUAGAGUUAUUCUUUAGUGUAAACUUGCUUAUCAAAAUAUGAAUAUUAACGUCGGUGUUGUAAAAAGAUUUUAUAAUAUUAUAUUAUCAAAAUCUAUUACAAUAUUUUAAAGCAUUAAGUGUAGAAUAUGUGGAUGUUCGCACCUAAAAAUUAUUUAAUUAUAACAUGCGUAAAAUUCUAUAUGAGUAAUUUAGAAAUUAUUCCACAAAAGUUGGAAGUUCAAUUUUCAACAGGAAAUGACUAGUUGUCUACUCAAGCACCAGUAUUUCAACAACGUAAUUACUUCUAUAAUUAUGCAUGAGCCAUCUUAAUUUCUGCUAUAUCAAUAUAAGAAAAUUUGUUUACAGUAAUGUCAAUGGGGAUUGCUAAAAACGUGUCAUCAAGAAUAUGACUGAAGAUAAGCUCAAUUAAUUAAUAUACAGUCUGUGGCUCUCAAUAAUACAAUAAUGAACUUACUUCAGCUUUAAUGAUUAUUACCAUUAUCUAUGUGAGCUCUACUCUGAUCAUAUCAUUUCAUCUGGUGAUCAUUUGGAGGCACCUCUCUCUCUCUCUCUCUCCCCCCCCGACAUAUUUGCUUUUGUUUUGUUGUCGUUUUCUUAAAAUGGAAACUGCUUCUUUAGCAUCUCCUCUUUGUACAAACCCUGCAGCUAAUUAUCGAAAUGACCAUGCUUUAAAGUCCUCUGUUGAAAUCUCCGAAGAGACACAAGAAACUCACAUGAAGAUGCAACAUUGGGAGUACUUUCUGUAUUCGGAAUGGUUUUUCGAGUAAGGAAAUUUUAUCCCAUGCGGUCAUGUUAUUCUUCUCAUCAGCCCAAUUUCUUACUGGGAUUAUUUUGUUAUGCUUGUAGGAAAAACAAUGGCGGUGUCUGCUGCACAAUGUAAAAAGGAGCUCGUCAUAACAAAGAAAAAAGAAACUGGAGAAAGGAGAAUUGUUGUGACUGGGUUAGGUGCUGUAACACCACUUGGUGACGAUGCACAUUUGUUUCACACCAGCCUUCUUGAAGGGGUUACUGGGAUAAGUGAUAUACAGGGCUUUGAUUGUUCAGAAUUUCCCACUGUAUGUCUAAAUCUUGUGUAAAUUUCAUUAUCAUAACUGAGUUUGUGUACAAAGCUAUUGGAUGAUGCUAUUCUCAAAUCUUUAACAGAGAAUUGCUGCAGAAAUCAAAUCUCUCUCAAUAGAUGGCUGGAUCUCACCAAAAAUUGCGAAGAAAGCAGACAAAUACUUGAUUUAUGCUCUCGUCGCUGGCAAAAAAGCCUUGGUAGAUGCUGGAAUUACUGAACAAGUUAGCGGAGAGUUGGAUAAAAGUAGAUGUGGGGUUAUAAUUGGGUCUGCCAUGGGAGGCUUGCGUGUAAGUGAGCUUUGAGCUUUGAAAACAAAAGUUAGUUAGGAGUGGCAAGUAUUAUGGCUUGCUUAUAAACAAGAGCAUGUAGCCUUACUCGCAUGUUGUAAUGAUUUUCUGGCUUUUGAAUAGGUUCUUAAUGAUGGAUUUGAAGCAAUAAAAGUUUCGUAUAAGAAGAUGAGUCCCUUUUACAUACCUUAUUCAUUAACCAAUAUGGCUUCAGCUGUCUUAGCAAUGGAUUUGGUAAGCUCAUAAGAUAGCUUUGUGGCCUGUUGAAAAAAAAAAACAUUUAUGCAAUCUUAAACUGAUUUGAAAUUGACAUGCUUCCAAUUAUGUGCAGGGAUGGGCAGGUCCAAGUUAUUCAAUCAAUACAGCUUGUGCAUCGAGCAACUACAGCAUACUUAAUGCAGCUAGUCACAUAAUCAAAGGUGACACUGUAAGCAACUCGCCUUCAUCUCAAGCUGUCAUUACUUAAAGCUAAGAACAUCAAUUAGGAUGUUACAUUGGAGAAGUCUUAGUUAUAAGAUACAACAUGAUACAUAUUUGUUGCAAAAUAUGCAGGACAUUAUGCUCUAUGGUGGUUCAGAUGGGAUGAUUAUUCCAUCAGGUACAGUUAACAUAGCCAUUGCAUUUUGGAGUAGUUUUGUUUUACUGAUUAUUUAUUGGAAUCUCAGGCAUAGCCGGUCUUAUCGCAUGCAAUGCUCUUUCGCAAAGAAAUAGUGAUCCAACCAAAGCUGCACGCCCAUGGGACGCUGUAAUCGUUUCAACUCUUCCCUCUCUUCUUGUUGAAUAACUUUCUAUUAUAAUAAGGAAUAAAUGAUUUGGCAAUACAUAUUUUGAUUACACAACGAGCAGGAUCGCGAUGGAUUUGUUAUGGGAGAAGGAGCUGGGGUUUUGCUUUUAGAAGAGCUGGAACAUGCUAAGGUUAAUUACUAGCAGAAUCAUCACUUUUUACGAUUAACUAUAGGGCAUUAUUUCCCACUCACGCACUCAUGUAUUUACACUCAAAUAAUUCGACAGAAAAGAGGGACAAAUAUUUAUGCAGAGAUUCUGGAUGGAAGCUUAACUUGUGAUGCUUAUCACAUAACUGCGCCUCAUCCUGAGGGUUAGUACAUAGGCUUUCUAAAAUUCCCACUAUCCACAUCUAUUUGAGUUUAUUUCUGCUGGAGCAAUAUACAUAUGUUUUUGAAAUCAGGGGUGGGUAUGGUAUCUUGCAUGGAGAAGGCUUUAGCUAAAUCUGGGGUUGCCAAAGAAGAUGUGAACUACAUUAAUGCACAUGCUCCAUCAACUAGACUAGGUGAUCUGAGAGAAUAUCAAGCUGUAAUCCGUUGUUUUUGAAAGAAUCCUGAGGUAAAAAUUGAAGCACAUUGCCACUUAAAUUUAGUUAAUUAUUAUAUACUUAGAUGCUAUUAAAGCUAGCAAAACGGAUCAUUGGAUUGUGUUCAUGUUAUAUAAGUUUUGUGUCGUGUUCAAUUUAGGUUAACUCAACCACAAUCUAUUUAAUAAUCGUGUCAAAAUAUUGAGACCGUAACCUGAUAUAGAAAUUAAAUAUAUUAUUAAGAGCUCAGUCAAUAUCUAUAUAUCUAUUUAACAAAAUUUACAUCAAACAUUUACAUACUGUCGUGUGUGUGUAUACAUAUCUACCAAAAUAUUACAUAUUUAUAGUAUUGAAGUUCAAAAUCUUUAUAAAAUUUUAUAAAUGAAGCAAUGUGUAUCUGUUCAUCAUUCUAAAAAAUAAAAAUAAAAAUAAAAAGAGAAUCAUGUUUAAAAUUUGAAUUUUGAUAAUAAGAAUCUACAAAUUAAUUAAGAAUAGAAAAUAUAAUUGUGUCAUUGAUUGAGUAAAUGAGUCAAGAAUUUUAACCCUAAUUUGACAAGGAAAAAAAUUGUAUCGACCCGAAUGCAACCCAUUUGAUAACCGUGUCAAAUUUGAUGACUGAUACCUAUUUAUUUGUGUCGUGUUCGUGUCGGAUAAUCGGAUCGUGUCAAAUUUUCCCAUAUUAUGCUUCAUUUGAUUCCAACAUUUUGCAGCUAAGAAUGAACUCUACAAAAUCCUUGAUUGGCCAUCUACUUGGAGCUUCAGGUGCUGCGGAAGCUGUUGCCACAAUCAAGGUGAAUAGCUUCUGUUUUCUCUGCAUCCAUGGUGUGAUUGCAUAGAUCACUCGAAUAUUAGAAAAUGAGCAUACUCAUUCUAGAGUGCUGGCCACAAUAAUUGAAACCUUACGGAUUGACAGAAGGUAUAUUUACAAUAUGAAGGCGCUAUUGGUACAAUAUCCUCCACUAUAUGUUGAAAACUUAAUAUAGCUUUUAAUUAUAGUUUAACUUUAUUUGGUUGCUCACUCCAAGUUUUACAUAAUACAAUAUCACUGUUGGGUCAGAAAUGAAAACUUAGGGGCAGAUCAGAAAAAAUUUGAAAACAUGAGGCUUUUCAAUAAAAGUCGGGUUGGGAGUGUUAUGCGGUAGUCAUUCUCGCGAGAGAAUCGCGUAUAUGUUUCUUGUAAAAUGUCAUGGUUUUUAAUAGGAUAUAGAAAGAAGGUGGCCAACCCAAAAAAGAAAAAAAAUUUCUUGAAAAUCACUUAAGAAAGUGUUAGGUUUGGGGACAUAUCAUGUUUGUUUUUUGAAUAGGAUUUUUUCCUUUUUCUGCAGGCAAUACAAACUGGAUGGAUACAUCCAAACCUAAAUCUGGAAAAUCCUGACAAACAUGUGGUAUGCUUCUUGAAUUUAAAAUGGAAAUAUUUUCAAAAAAGGUUACUGCUUUUUCACAAGAUGUCUCUCCUGAUUCAGGACGCAAAAGUACUAGUUGGCCCCAAGAAGGAACGUUUGGACAUAAAAGUGGCGAUGUCCAAUUCAUUUGGCUUUGGUGGACACAAUUCAUCCAUCUUAUUCGCUCCUUUUAAAGGAAAUUGAUUAUGGCUAAAGAAAAAACCCUGACCACACGCGUGGGAUGUUAGUCAAUUUACAGCAAUUAAUUAACAUCCAAAUCCAAGUGCGUGCAUUGUGGAACUCUGCCAAGACGUAUAUUUUGUAUUGGCAUGACAUUUGGGUAUUGUUCUAAGACCACUCCGUUUGAUAUGUAUCAAUUAUUAUGAUGCCGCAGUUUAAAAAGACACGCAUGUUGAUCGAUCCUUGUGAGAUGAGAAAUAAAAGUUGAGAUUUUGAUGUCUCUAAAAUUUAACACACUUUUCAAACCAAAUGAUAUUUGUCUAUUAUCUUUCUAGUUUCAUCAUCCAACUGAACUGAACCAUAUAUUUGAUUUUAGAACGAGGUAAUCCAUACCAAAGGUAAUAAUAGUCAGAGGUGGCAUAGCCGUGAUGGUGAAAUUUUUGUCAUAAAAAAAUUUAGGAUAAAAUUUGGUAGACCAAAAACUAAUUUUUGGGUUAAAUUAUUAGCAUUCUUUCUUUAAUCUCAUUAAAUUCUUAUUUUGUUACAAUUACAUAUAAGGAUAAAUAUAAAUAAAAUUAAAACUACUUAUAUUUUUACUCUCUCACUUAAAUUUAUUUUAUUUGUGAAAUAUAUUAUGAUUUUUUCUCUCUUCUCAAUCUAUAUAAUUGAUUCUUGCACAAACUUAAAAUAUUUAUUUUUUAUAUUAAUUAUUUUAAUUUUUGGGAAGCUUUUUUUUUUUUGGUUUUAUUGAGAAAGAAAGUAUGAAUAGUAUAAUAGAGAUAUCAAGAUUUGAAUAGAACAAUACUGUAAAAGAAAUUUAAUUGUGAGAAAGUUACAGAAAAGUAAAAGUUUUACAAAUGAAAAGAGUCUUUUCUUGGAAAAAGAAAAGGAAAAAGUAUUUUUGACAUUAUGUGGAGGAUUUGUAGAGGUGGCCUCAGUUCAACUCUUAAUUUUCUCUCGGAAUAAAUUUCUCUUUACCAAAAUUUAAGCGAGAAAUUGGAAACUAUUAAUUAAGAAUAUAAAAAUUAUAAAUGAGUUAAUCUCAAUAUUAUCACUAUUUAAACAUGUGGCAUAACAUUUUAUUUGGGAUGUUUAAGCAUUAUUAUUAUUAUUAUUUGGGUGCUUUAUUAGCAUGGAUUUGUUGAUUUACGUGUGAACUAAUUAACUCAAAGUCGAAAGGACCAGACGUCUCAGCCUCUAAGACUUCAAUGCACAUGCCAACGUUAUUUCUCUGAUAUUUUCUGAUUGCUCGUUAGAGUCAUCAAUUCAUUAUCUACUAAGCUAUCAAGAACCUCCGGAGCUUCUGCUGCUUUUAUUUCAAUUCCAGUUAUCAAGCAGUUCAAGACACGUUUUGUUUUAAUUUCGUUCAAUGGCAGCUUCUUGUCUUCCUUGUACAUGGCUUCCUGCUUUCGAGCUCGACCAUGCUUUAGAGCCCCUUCUGUUGCGGUCUUCGAAGAGACGCAUGAAGCUCAUAUCGCCAUUAAGUUGCAACAACAGUAACAGUACUAGUUUUGGUAUUUGCAAUGGCUUUUUGAGUAAGCAAUAUUAUUAUAAUGAAUGGCCGCCCUCUUUGGCCUUCUAUGAAUGUAAGUGAGAUUGUAAUAUUUUAUGGUUUGAAAUUUAGAAAGAAAACGGUUAAUCAUUUUUAGAUAAAACGGCUAGCCGUUUUCGUCCAGAGAUUAGGUUUUGGAUUUUACAGAAAACGGCUUGCCGUUUUCUGAUAAAGCGGCUAACCGUUUUCGUCCAAAGAGCAUGUUUUCUGUUCUACAGAAAAUGACUAACCUUUUGGAGAAAACAGCUAACCAUUUAUUUCCAGAGAGCAACUUAUUUUGAUAUUUUGGAAUAAAACGACGAGCCAUUUUCUUCCAGAGAGUGUGUUUUCGCGUCAACUGAAAAAACGAUUAGCAGGCUUAAAAAUUUCAAUUGUGAAUGGAUGCAAAUUUCAAACUAAAAGAGUGUUUGAAAAAAUACCAUUUCUAAUGGUUGUAUUCUUUCAAAUAAACAUCUUCUUCAUUAAAAUAGAUACACACAUUAGAUUAAUAUCAGAUUUUUACAGAUUUCUUUUGUGUUCUUGGAAUACAAUCUUAUUUGCUAGAGAUUGUAUUCAGGAUUUAUUAUAUCUUGGGGGUAAUUUGCCAUUAAAACUCUAUAGCAAACCAAGAUUGGUGAGGGCAAAUAAAAUCUUAAAGGAAAGUGUGUAAACACGUCUCAAAUCCUAUCAAAUUCUCUUACUAUUAUUUGCCUCCAUAUUUGAAAAUCCACCAACAGUCUUUAAGGUUUUAAUGUUACAUGGAGGCUGAGAAGAAUUUGACUUCAUUUCUUAAUCCAAGUGUCCAUCUCGAUCGUUUUGAUGGCACUAAUUUUACUCACUGGAAGGGAAAAUUGUUCUUCCUUCUCACUGUUAUGAAAAUUGCACAUGUUCUUGAUCCAAAAUUGGAAUCAUUUCCAGAGCCAAAAGAAAAUGAUACCGAAGUUGUUAAAGUUGCAAGGAAAAAGCGUGAAGAUGAUGAAUUGAUGUGUCGGGAUCACAUACUCAAUACGCGUUCUGACAGGCUCUAUAAUCUUUACAAUUCCAUGACUUCUCCGGUGGAAAUUUGGAAGGCUCUUGAGUACAAAUAUAAAACGGAGAAGGAAUGUACUGAUAAAUUCCUUAUCUCUAAAUAUUUUGAAUUUAUUAUGGUAAACACAAAAUUCAUUCUUGAUCAAAUACAUGAGUUACAAAUUAUAGUUGUAAAGCUUCGAGAGUUAAAAGUUGAAAUUUCUGAAUCAUUUCAAGUUGGGGCUAUUAUUGCUAAAUUGCCUCAAAGUUGGAAUGAUUGUAAAAAGAAACUCCUUCAUAGUAAAGAGAACAUAACUUUAGAAGAAUUACAAAAACACUUGGUAAUCAAAGAAGAGACUAGGUCUCGCGAAUCCAAGGAUAAGAAUGAUUCUACUAAGGUUAAUGUUGUUGAAGCUAGUAAAUUUUCAAAGGAUUUCAAAGUCAAGAAUGACAAGAAAUUUAAGAAGUCCAACACAAAAAAAAAAUUUCUGGAAAUUGUUUCUUUUGUGGCAAGAAAGGCCAUCGCCAAAGUGAUUGCAGAUUCAAUAAGAAAAAUGAAGAAGUGAAUUCCCAUAAAGCUAAUGUUGUUGAAGACAAAUAUGAAGAGAUUUGUGCUAUGGUUUCUGAAAUGCAAAUUGGCAUGAUUACUGAAACCAAUAUGGCUGAAACUAAGUCCUACGAUUGGUGGCUUGAUUCGGGUGCAACCAUUCAUGUUUGUAAUGAUUAGAAAUUUUUCUUAUUGUACAAAGAAGAAACGGAAGGACAAAAGGUUUUCAUGAGGAACAAUGAUGCAGCCAUAAUAGCAAGGAAAUGAGUAGUUGAGAUUAAUUUUACUUCUGGAAAGAAAGUUACAUUGUAUAAUAUCUUUCAUGUACCUUCCGUUAGGAAGAAUCUUGUUUCUGCUAGUUGUAUGUGUAAGCAUGGGCUUAAGAUUGUGCUUGAGGGUAAUACUUGUAUUAUCUCAAAGAAUGGAAUAUUUGUUGGGAAAGGGUAUUCUUGUGAUGGAAUGUACAAACUCAACAUUAAUAAUAAUGAUAUCAAUUUAGCUUAUAUGUUGAGUCUUGUGAUUUUUGGCAUGCUAGAUUAGCACAUUUGAAUUUUAGAUCUUUGAAAUACAUGUCUAAGCAUGGUUUGAUUAAUUUCAAUGAUGUUAAAAGUCAUAAGUGUGAAAUCUGCAUCCAAGCUAAAUUAACUAAGAAACCUUUUUCCUAAAGCCGAACGAAAUACUCAAAUAUUGAAUUUAAUACAUACUGAUAUUUAUGAGUAUAAUGACAUUUUAAUAAGAGGAGGUAAGAGGUACUUUAUCACUUUUAUUGAUGAUUGUUCUAGAUACACUUAUGUGUAUUUACUUAGAACAAAAGAUGAAGCUUUUAAUAAAUUUAAAAUUUUCAAAGGUGAGUUGAGAACUAAAAAGAUAAGAAAAUCAAGAUGGUUCAAAGUGAUAGAGGUGGUGAAUAUUUCUCAAUUGAGUUUGAUAAUUAUUGUGAAGAAUUUGGAAUUAUUCACCAAAGAUUAGCUCCAUUUACUCCUCAACAAAAUGGUUUAGCUGAAAGGAAGAAUAUGAUCUUUACGAAUAUAAUUAAUUCCAUGAUCCUUAAUGCAAAACUACCAAACAAUUUGUAGGGCGAAGCAUUACUCACUGCAUGUCUUAUUCAUAAUAGAAUCACAUCUUUGAAAACACAUGUAUCUCCUUAUGAAAUUUGGAAAGGAAGAAAACUAAAUUUGAUGUAUUUAAGGGUCUGGGAUUGUUUAGCUUUUUAUAAAAUACAUGAUCCUAAAUCAUCAAAGUUAGGUGCUAAAGGUAUGAAAAGUGUUUUUGUAGGAUAUGCUGAAAAUUCCAAGGCUUGAUUGUUAAAUAUAGAUUCUAAUGUGAUUGUGAAAUCUAGAGAUGUUGAAUUUAUUGAAAAUAAAAUUUCAACAUGAUUCAAAUAUUGAAUUAGAAUCAAUCAUUAAUCAACCAUGUGAUAAUACACCUGGUACCUCCAUUAAUAAUAAUAAAAGGAAAGAGUAUAUGACAUCUUUCGAACUAAUGAGGAGUCAAUGUGAAAAGAAAUAAAAGAGUUUAGCUCUGGAUUUUAUUUCAUCACAAGCAUUACUCUUCUUAGUUGAAGAGGAUAGAAAUAAUGUACUUAACAAAGUACCAUUAUUGUUAAAUGUUGAAAAUGAUCCAAAGACAUUUAGCGAAGCUGUGUCUUCUAGAGACGCUUCCUUUUGGAGAGAGGCAGUAAAUGAUUAAAUGGAUUCGAUCAUAUCAAAUCAAACAUGGGUCUUGGUUGAUCUUCCUCCAGGAUCUAAACCAAUUAGCAGCAAAUGGGUGUUUAGAAGAAAGUACAAUAGUUAUGGUUCUUUGCAAACUUUUAAGGCUAGAUUAGUAGCCAAAGGGUUUAAGCAAAGAAAUAGUAUUGAUUAUUUCGAUAUAUAUGCUCCAGUGGCAAGGUUAACAUCUAUAAGAGUGCUAUUUGCAAUUGCUUCAUUGAACAAUUUGUAUAUGCAUCAAAUGGAUGUUAAAAUCGAUCUUCUUAAUGGUGAUCUUGAUGAAGAAAUUUAUGUGGAACAAACUUAGGGAUUUGUUUUGCCUGGAAAUGAGAAAAAGGUAUGCAAGUUAGUCAAGUCGCUUUAUGGUUUAAAGCAAGCACAAAAACAAUGGCAUGAGAAGUUUGAUUCGGUAAUUUUAUUUCAUAGUUUUAAGCAUAAUAAGGAUGAUAAAUGUAUAUAUUUUAAAUUUACGAAUGAUUUUGGUGUGAUUAUAUGCUUGUAUAUUGAUGACUUGCUUAUAUUGGGAACAAAUAUGCGAGUAAAUGAUACAAAGAAGUAUUUUACUUCACAAUUUAAGAUGAAAGAUCUUCGUGAAGUAGAUACUAUCUUAGGUGUCAAAGUGAAGAAAUAUAGUGGGGGUUACUCGUUGUGUCAAUUUCAUUAUAUAGAGAAAGUGUUUCUUAAAUUCAAUUAUUUGAAAUUUAAAGAAGCUAAUACCCAUUAUGAUUAUAGUAUUAAAUUACUAGAGAAUUCAGGCCGAGCAGUAGCACAACUAGAAUAUGCCAGUAAUGUUGGUAGCGUGAUGUAUGCUAUGUAUUGUACAAGGCCAGAUAUAGCCUUUGCAGUUUGUAAAAUGUCAAGAUUCACGAGCAACGCUAGUGUUGAACACUGGAAAGCAAUUAGUAGGAUACUUGGUUAUCUUACAAAGGACCAUUAAUUUGGGCUUAUUUUAUAGUGAUUAUCCUAAAGUACUGGAAGGAUAUUUAGAUGCUAAUCAGGUAACCAAUACAAGAGAUAAUAAAUCCACUUCUGGUUGGAUUUUUACAAUUGCUGGAAGAGCAAUUUCUUGGGCUUCAAAGAAACAAACAUGCAUAACUCACUCAACAAUGGAAAGUGAGUUUAUAACACUUGCAACUGCAGGCAAGGAAGCAGAAUGACUGAGAAAUUUGUUAUUUGAUAUAAUGUUGUGGCCACAACCGAUGCCAUUUAUUUUUUUGUACUAAGCUAGUGAAGCUACAUUGUCUAGAGCUUAUAAUAAAGUGUAUAAUGGAAAGUCUACAUAUAUUAGAUUGAAAACAACAAUUAAGAGAUAGAUUAAAGGCUGUAACAGAAGAUUAAAGAGAAGAUAUCAACAAGACUAAGCAAACUUUAGUUUUUCUUCUUCUUUUCUUGUUUUCUAGUUAAUUAUGGAAUAUAUUGAAUGGUUAUAACAAUUUUAUUUAUUGUUCUAUUACAAAUCAUGAAUUGAAUUGGAUUGUGGUUGAGUGAUAAACGAUUUUAAUAGAUAUUUGACUGACAUAUGUAUGUUACUCUGUAUUUGCUACAACAGUUUGUCUUAAUUGUCUUUAUUUUAAUUUCCUAUUUCAGCAGACCACCCAUUUAUUGGAUACUAGCUAGAAAUAGCCUAAAAAAAGUCUGACUUAGUCGAUUAAAUUAAGAUAAUACUUGGUUUUAGAUUGAGUUUCCUAAGUUGAGAAAAUCUCAAUUUGAAUAAGGUCAUACUUAAUAUAAAAUUAGUGAAGAACUAGACAUAAAGAUUAGGAAUACCAAAAGGUUAGGUCGGGCUCGGGCUUGGCCAAGCCCUACCCGACCCGAUAAAAAAAAAUAAAACCCGACCCUAAAAAAACCCAAAAAAUAUUUAGUUAAGGUCGGGCCUGGCCAGACCCGAAUUGGGUCAACAUCGGGUCGGGCCCAACCCAACCCUACCGAAAUAGUUAAUCCUCCCAUUUCCCACCACCAUUUCAACUAAUUCGGCAAUUCCUCAACCAUUUCAAACACAAUUCAAUUCCACUUUCCACAACCAUUUCAACCCCACACACAAUGUAAUUCUACAACCAUUUUAUUCAUAUACAAUUCAAUUUAACAACCCAACAUAAAAAAUAAAAAAUAAAAAAACUCAUGUCUUAUACAAAUAAAAACACACAAUUUAGUUCAACAACCCAACAGUAAAAAAAAAUGUUUUAUACAAAUAAAAAACUCAUGUCUUAUAAUUCAUAAAAACUUAUAAUUCAUAAAAACUCAUAAUUCAUAAAAACUCAUAAAAAUACACAAUUUGUUCGGGCCUUAAAAGUUUGACCCUAACCUUAAAAUUUCGAGUCAAAACCCUAAAAAUUAAGUUUGAGUCAAUCGGGGCAAAAAUAUGAUCGGGCUAAAUUGCCAAGCCUAAUAAGGAUUCACUAUGUAGGAUAAACGAAUUCAAGAACAUUUAAUGUUAUAUCUAAUAUUAGCAUAACAAUUAGUCAUUGUUAAGUUAUGUUAGGUAUAAGAUAUCUAACAGGCGAUAGCUGAAAAUGCAUAAGAGAUUCUACUCAGUGCUGUAAUAGAUGAUGUAGCAACGGUAUUGUAAUUGAAAAAAUAGUCAAAAUCAUCAAGUGGGUUUAUUAACUCAAUUACUCAUUUUCCAUUAAUUACAUCCUUGUGUUUAACGUGAAAAUUUUCUUCAUUGUAUUUUAUUUGUUUCCUUUUUAUUUUAAUUAGUUUGUUGAUUUUAUUAAUUGUCUUAUUUUAAAAUAGAACAAAACUACACUGUUAAGAUUAUUGUAGCAAAUCUGAUAACAUCAAUCCAUGUAGAGACGAUCUAAAUACUAAUUAGUAUAUUACUUAUUGUGUAUACUUGCACAUUGACACCUAUAGCAAGUCGCACGCCAAGGUUGUUUGACAAUGUUAAAGAUAUUCAACUCCAUAGUCAUAUUGCCAAAAAACAAUUACAUAUUUCCAGUCUUGCAUUAAAUAUGAGCAUCAUCAGUUGCCAAGAAAGGUCGGUCUAGGAUAAUAGGGUUGUGCUUUUUUGAAUCCUAUAUUAAUUAAGUGUCAAUCAUAAUCAAUGAGCACAUCCUCUAUAAUACCGCGAGAUAUUUUCAUGGAUCAAUUUGCAAGUUAUAACCCAACUGGAGUUAGAUGUAAUAUUCCCGGUCCAAGUUUCACAAGUCCAACAAAACAUUCUCAAAUGUGUGAUUUACUAUAUCACAUGAGAUAGUAGGACAACCUAGGUCUUUGUAUUUUAAAGAAAUUUUAUGUUAAAGUAUGAAGCUAAUGUUUUCUGUUAAAAAUGCCUUCUUUUGAACAUAAAUGUUUCUAAAACGAUCAAUAAGUACACAAAUGGACACAGGAAAUUAUCACAAUUUUGGACCGGAGUGAGGAAAGAUAACAACUCGAUUUCAAUUUUAGGUCCAAACACCCUCCAACUUUCCAAUAUAUUACAAUACAGUAAGGAAAUUACAAUAAAAGCAGUUGCUUUGACGAGGCAAUGCCAAAGGUGCUGAUUAUUCUUCACAGACAACAAUCACAAGACAUAAAACUUCAGUACUAUACUAAAAUAACAUCCUCACAAACUUUAGCACCAAUGAUCCCUUCAUGCCAUUUCAUCCAUGUGCAAUUUAUGACAGGUUGCAGCUACAAUACAAUGAUAAACAAAAUUACAUCAAAGAAAUAAUAAUAUCAGAAUUGAUGACAAAUUAUCUCAUUUUUCUGCAAAAUGACUGGAUUCUGUACCUACUGCCGACGCCAAAGAAAUGAACAGGAAUUUGUCAGUUACUCUCAAGAAGCAACUUGUGAUGCCUUGCACUGGAUUCCGUUUCACCCCAAUGCCUGUUUUUACCCUAUAAUAGAAAUACAACCAUUGAAUCAUGCUUACCGAAAGUUCAUACUUUCUCAGAAAAAGGGAAAGUAAACAUGAGAUUAUGUAACAAGUAGGUAGACAAGGAAAACUAUAAAAGUCACCUGUGGAGGAUUGAUUACAAUUUUGACAGUCUUGGCCAUGCUUCCUCUAACUUCAUAUUCGAAACUUUUUUUCAUAUCGGUUAGGGUUAGUUCCUUCAAGGUACUCAACUUUUCAAGUUCAAUAGGCUUCUUCAUUUUUUUGCAACAUCUAAUCUCUAAUUCUCUUAGUUCAGGCAUGGCUUCUUUACCAAUAGUCCACUCUCGCAACUCCUUCAGCACCCAUAACUUCAAUACACGGAGUUUUGGAAAUCCACCAUCGCCACAAGUCAUUUCUUCCCCCAUGAAAGAAUGAGCAAAAAGCCUGAGAAUGUUCAGUUCUUUUAGCUGUCCUAGCACUGGCAUUGGGUCUUCCGAUAGGUAUGACAAUGACAAAGUAAGGAUUCUGAGAUUUGGUGGAAGCUUGUCUAGUUUAAGUGGUUCUGGUAACUUUCCAAGCAAAUACAACUCAUUCAGUGCCCUGUGAUUAUUCAGGGGUCCAAUAACAAGGUCCGAGGGUUCACCAAAAUCAUUUAGUGAUCUCAACCUUAAAGACUCAAGACUUAUCAGGUCUUGAAUCCACUUAGCUAUCUGCCCAAGCGAUGCAAUAUGGCAGGUCAGACCCAAUUUCUUAAGACCCCUCAAGCUUUCCAACCAAUUCAAUGGAGGGCUCUUGUUGCCGAUUAAUAAGGACCACAAUGUCUGAAGGUUGGUUAAAGAAUAUUUGACAAAUGGCUUCUGAACUGACAUUUGCAAAUAAAUAUCAUUCAUAUAGAGAUGCCUAAGUGUCUUUACCUUCCAGAUUGACUUAGGCAAUGAGGUUAUAUUAGUGUGCUUCAAAUCUAAAGUCUCUAGGCAGGGAAGAUCACCUACUGACUCUGGAAUUGAAUCAAGAAAAGUCCACCUCAGACCAAAAUACCUCAGAAGCUGCAGCUUUCCUACUGUUUCUGGUAGCACUGGUUUGUAAACACCUUCAAGAUCAAGCACUCUGAGCAAUCUGUAGCCUCUUCUAUUGAUCAUCUUGUUAAGCAAAUUACCUACUUCAUCUGCAGGUUUAUCUCCCAUUCUCUUGUCGAAAGAUAAAUAAGAAUGCAGACAUUCGAUGUAUUCAUCUGGAGGAACACUGUCAUUCUGGUUGUAUAAAUGCUCUGAAAGCCUGCGGAUGCAUAACUCUGGUAAACUGGAGGUAGAAUCUGAUUUUGCUUUGUGAUGGUGGUAAAAUCCCAUUUUCUCGGCAUUCUGAAAAGUGUCAUAGAGAGUACUUGGCACACGGCAUGUUUUAGGCCUUCCAUCUGACCUUCGUUUUACUACUUCGAUCAUGUUCCUUUGCUCCAGUUGUUCAAAAUCUUUCCUUGCCCGAUCUUCAGGAGUCAUUUCUUCCCCUUCGCUUGGGGUCACAAAUCGCUCAGCAAGCCAUAACUGAAGCAACCUCCUUACAGGGAUCUCAUGUGAUUUGGGAAAGAGACAGAGAUAAUGAAGACAUGCCUUUAGAUGCGCUGAUAGAUACUUAUAUCCCAGACCCCAGAUAGAUGAAGCAUCCAAGUUAUCUGAGGGAGGCAAUUCAUCCCGAGAACCAGAUUGAUCUUUAUCUGAUGCCACCUGUUCAACAUGUUGAAUCUGCUUUUCCUUUUUCUUUCCCCCAGGCGUGAACCCCUCAAUCACCUUUUCCCAAUCAGAAUUUUGAAUCUGCCUGUUAGUAGAUAACAAACCUCCCAGCACACAUAUUGCAAGAGGUAGACCGCCGCAUUUUUUCCAGAUCUUUUCCUUGAGGUUCAAUAAUUCUGAAGCACGUUUCUCUCUCCCCACCUUCUUUAGGAACAAUUCCCAACUCUCAUCUACAUUCAGUGGACGAAGCUGGAGAAGAAUGAUUGACGGACUGAAAGCGCGAGCAACAAAAGCUUCUCUGGUAAGUAGGAUCACUCUGCUGCCACUUGAUGAUGUGUUGGGCGAGAAGAUCCUUUGGAGUUCAUACCAAGCACCAGGUAAAUGGACAUCAUCCAACACUAUCAGGUACCUCUUAGAUUGAAAAAGCCGUAUAAGCCUACUUUCCAAUUCAUUGAGCGCCAAUUCUUCUGCAAUCUUCACCCGUGUGACCUGUUCCAGUAUGUCAAUGAAGACUUUUCUCAAAUCAAAAUCAUGAGAAACGUAAACAUUAGCCCAAGCAUGGUACUCAAAAUUCUGCCUUAUAUAUGAACUGUUGUAAAUUGUUUCCACCAGAGUGGUCUUGCCACAGCCGGCCACACCCACCACCGAGAUAAGGAAAUACUUACUGCUGCUACUCAUAGUCAGUUGAGCUAACCUCAACAACUGAUCCUCAAGACCGACCAUCUCUGCUUCCGGUCCCAAAAUCUCUGCAACUGAAAUAUGUGGCCGAAUGGUAUUAACAUCAUCGUCAUUCCCGACAACAACAGCUUCGUUUAAAGGAGAUCGUGCUUUCAUUUCUUUGAAGCUGAGAUUCAAAUCUCCUCCAAAGAAGUUCAGAUUUCGAUGCAUUGCUGCAUCAGCUUCACGAAAACUUAAAAUCACCCGGCUACCACUCAGCGAGUUGGGGAAAAGGAACUUGAUAAUCUCCCAAAUAUCAGGUGUCCGGACAUCAGUUAAUAUCACUAAGUAUCUCUUAUGAAUCAAGUAAUUAUGAACCACUGUUUGCGGUGACUCGAGCGACUUCUCUUCCAGUUCCACAUCAGUCGGAGCAAAUUGGUUUAAUAUGUUGAUGGCAAGUUCUCUUUUAUCAAGCCUUGGAGGAACAAGAAACCAAGCACGGCAUUGAAAAUGAUUCUUGAUAUCGUCACAGCUGUAGAUCUUCCACAACUCAGGUGUCUCAGCAGAUCCAGCCACAUCCACCACCGGAAUGUGGAGAGGUGAAGGGUAAUCAGAGAGGAUUAGUUCUGCCAAACCCUUUACUUCAUCAUUCAAAAUAAAAUCCAGCAUACCAGUUUUCUUAUUAGAAUUAGCUGCCUCAGAAGCGUUAUUGAAUGCUGCAUUUUCGACGGGGAGCUUCGUACUUGACCUGGUGCCCUGCAAUUCAGGUUUCUUUCUUGACUUGCCGCUCGUCAGCGCUGCCGCAUCUACAAGCAUCGCACUUGACUCUUCUUUGAUAACACCUACUAAUUUCUUCAUCUUAUCGCUGAAACGACUUUUGAUGUAGGCAGACCUCAAAUCGAUACCAGCUUUAACCAAAUGAUUCUGUUGUCGGUAAAAUUCUUUUCUGAUUUCCUUGAGGAAUGUGUCUAUGGUGUCCUCUGCAAGGUAAACAGCUCGCAGAAACUCAGGACUAAGGCCAUUACCUUCUUGACCUUCCAAGGAUUUCAGCUCUUUGAUGGAAUCUCUGACUUGGGAAGCCAGAGCCGGAUCUAUUAUUUCCUUUUCCACCUCUCUUAGUUUCACUAUCACCGGCAAAACGGUGGUUUCGACGGCCAUCGAUUCUCAAACUCCUUUGUGAUUGCGAAUAAGAAUAUAAUCUGGUAAAACUUUUAGCUUUUUGGGAGAUUAAAUUCUAAAAUUCCUCCCUGAAUCCAUAGUCUGUCCAUAAGCGUGAGGUUGACUAUUAAGCGGUUCUUUUUUUUAAUUUUUUAUUUCGAAGGGUGGACAUUUUUUAUCCUAUUUUGUGUCUGCCAUUGCGAUCAUGUGUUUGGUAGGAGUAAGAGAGCGGGUCCCACCGAGGGCAGUUAAAAUCACCCUUUUGGCGGGCCAUGACAAACAACAUGAAUCGAAGAAAAUAUAGAAUACGCAAUUGUUUAAAUUUUCCCACAAACAAUAAGGUUAUGAACUUACGGUUGUUGUUUCGAGUUAGAAUUUCAACCACAUUCAGGGAAAAAAAAUGAAAAAAGUUGGAAUUUCAACUCUUGUGUGGUUUUGAAUUUUUUCAGAUGCAGUCUUAACUAAUGUGCUGGAGUUGGCGGUUUCAACCACAAUCAAGCUCUCGUUCCAAAGUAUUCGGACUUCUUGGUGGCCGAAGUAAUGAGAGUUAGAUACUUUUGUCAAAUUCAUUUUCUGGAAGCUAAAUUUAGCUCUAACCCAUCUUUUAUCUGGAGGAUUAUUUUGUGGGCUAGACAGGUCCUUCAAAAGGGAACAAGAUGGAGAGUGAGAAGAGGAGGCGAUGUUCCAAUUAUGGCAAGUAAUUGCAUUCAGGCCAAUAAUAAUUUAGGCCUAACUUUGUUCCAUCCUUACCUGCAGUUGCUAGAGUCUCAGUGCUAAUUGACCCCAAUCAUCAGUGGAAUGACAGCUUGAUUGACCAGCAUUUGCAAAUGAGGAUGCAGAGAUUAUAUAGAGAAUCCCAUUACUAAGAACUUCCCAAAAAGAUGAGCUACUGUGGCAUUGUGAUAAGAAAGGGCAAUACACAGUGAGGAGUGGCUAUCACUUAGCUCUCAACUUUAAGUUUGCUGCCUUCCCAACAAGUUCAACAGGUGAUUCUCAUGGCUGGCACACCAUAUGGACUCUCAACUACCAGAGAAGAUCAAAAUCUUUCUGUGGAGGGCUGACAAGAACUUGUUGCCAAAUUCAGAAAACAUAUCAAGAAGGGAAACUUUGCAAGAACCAAUGCGCCAAAUCUGCAAAACUGGGGUUGAACAAGUGUUUCUUGCUCGAGUGAGCUAGAAUUUGUGGCGGCUAUCUGGCGGCCAGCAUGACAUGCAAGGAACAAGUUCAUUUUUUUGGGACAGAAACUAAAUCCCUUAAUUUCAGCUGCUAAGGCUCAAGCAGUUAUGGAGACUUUUCAAAGAAUGCAAGCGAAGGAAUAGGUGUGCACAAGAAGCACUGAAGGCAGCAAGCAGAGACAGUGGUAUCCACCGCCUACAGGCCAUUAUAAAGUCAAUUAGAUGUUGUUGCCCACAAAGAUCAGCAGAAUAAAGGGCUAGGUGAUGUCAUCAGGUAUUGCCAUGGCCAAGUGAUAGCUGCAGCACUCAAAAGCUCAAGGUUUCAGGAGAACGAAUCUACAGCAGAAGCUGAAGCUGUCAAAUGGGGGACGGAGGUGGCAAAAGAGGCAAGGUUAACAGCUGUGAUCGUUGAAACGGAUUGCAAUGAAGUGGUUGGUCUAGCCAACAACAAAAUCUGCAGCAGAAUGGAGAUCUUUUGGAUUAUUUCAGAAAUUCAAAGAUGUGAAAGAGACUUUCAAAAUUUGAACAUGCUCCAAGAUCUUGUAAUGACUUUGCUCACUCUUUUGCUAAAAGAGCCUUGAAAAGCUCUAAAUCUGUCAUAUGGUGGAUGAUUUUCCAGCUAACGUAAUAUGUCUUUUCCCUUACAUUAAUGAAUGACAGGAUCACUUUCUUAUCACAAAAAAAAAAAUGUUAACAAAACCUCCAAUCAAAUGUAGCAAGUAGCUAAUUUUAAUAACUGGAUACAGAACUUUGACACAAAAAAAAUUCAAAUAUUUAAUAUUUCGAUUCUUGAAUUCAUAAUACUGAUAUGGCCGCAAGCCCUAAAAAUAACUAUUUCACAUCCAGUUUUGCUCUAGCAUGGCCUUGAGAUAUCUGGAACUGAUCUGUCAUGCCAAAAUGAGCCAUAAGGAGCCAGACAUGAGUGAGAAGCUCUCCUCCUCGUUUUAGCUGACGUGCAUGCUCACUUCCUCGACUCUGACUUGCAGCAUAAGUUAACAUUUCCAACCAAACAUCUCUGACCAUCUUCCAUCUAUUCUUUGAAUCUGAAAUUUCAUUCAAUGCAGAUGCAACCCUGCAUGCAUCGAAUAACACAGACUUGCUUCUGUCUCCUUUAACUUUAAUGGGCAGGACUUGAGUUUUCACUUUCAGUAACAUUUUGCAAGCUUGAAUUCUUCUUUCCUUUCUCCGAUCACAAGCUUUUGUGGCAUGAGUUUGGCUCGUACAAAAAAUGGACAUUCGUUCUUCCCAAAAAUUCUUUCCUUCAGAAAGAGUGUCUCGAAAUCUAAUAAGGCCUAUACCAGCUGGCAAUAAGGAAGGAUACAAAAGUAAGAGAAACAUCAUGUACCUUGACAGGAGCUUGCCCAUUUUUCGAUUGAUGUCACCUGAAAUGUUGCCCCAACUACGUGAAUAAUAGCAAAGUUCUGUUGCAAUGUGCCAGAUAACAAUGCUUUGAUCAAAUUCAACGUCCUUAAUACUCCAAUCAAGAGAAAGAUGCUUAUUAUACUUUACAAGCGCAAUGCUUCCCCUUUUGGUGCACAAGUCCCUAAGACUAACAUUGCUUCCUAUAUUUUCCUUUAGUUGAUCACAUCUCUUCUUGACAUAUUUGAAGAUUGACUUUUGUAAAUACCUUGGCAAUUCUUUGUAAUUCUUGUAUCGGUGCUUUUCCCAUAGUUCACUGAUGAAGCCGCACCUCAGGAUUUUGUAGCAAGGUUUUUCUUUGAGGCAAACAUGUGUAAGACUGUAUUGCCCCAUGGAACUUGACCACCUAGGAGGUUUAACCACUGAUUCCAUACAAUUAAUUGCUUUCAAGUAUUUGCUUUUCUUUUGCUGAAUGAACCACACAUUGGACUGGUCUGAGAGAAGUAGAGCAUAAGCUGCAUAUAAUUCUAGAAAAAUUGCCACACCUAGCAAAAGGUAAGUUAUACUAAUGUUCACCUUAGAAUAAUGCUGCUUGUCAGUAAAAGAGAAAAUCCCCAGUACAAUGCAGGUGAGCAUAAUAGUGAUAAGACGGCGAACAUGACCGCAAGGAGUGUAAAUUACAGAUGCCUUGGUGUAAAGCAUAUCAUACAUCAAUCCUAGCUCGAUGGCAAUCACAUUAAAAGCAUCUUCCUGAGACAUUUCCUGGAAUAAAGAUUGACUAAUGUCGCGGUCCUGGAAACUGAGGAUAAGAUCUGCAAAAAGGCGCUUGAAUGUCUGAAACAACCUAUGAGCUAUAAUCAAGUUGCUGGCAUCAGAAGUUGAGUCUUCUUCUCGAUGAGGUAUAGUUAUUUCAACCUUAUCUUUCACCUCUUUUGGCUCCACAUAAAAUCCCUCUGCAUCUUUCAAACAGUACUCGUUCAUGAAUUUGGGAUAGUUGGGACCAGGAUCAGGAUCUGUAAGCAUAGAAUCUCUAAGUUGAUCCCUGCUUGCUAACCAAAGAGUACAUGUCCUCUCUCCAUACUUAAUAAACCCAAUCACAAUCAUUGGAAUUGUAAGAAAUGAAAGACGAGAGCCAUUCCAUGCCGUGAGAAAUAUGUAAAGAGUGGUCACAGUUUGGACGCCCAGUUGAAAUGCAUGGCGCAAGUACAAUUCAUUGUCUUCUACAGAGUAAGCUGUAAUAGUAUCAGGGCCACCCAAGUGAAGCAGAAAGAAUGGUGCCCAAAAUGCAGUAACUUCGUUGUUGGCGUCAUCGACAGAACCUUUUUUCUCAUAGAUUUCACCUAGGUUAUUUAAGAGUACACCAAGGGCCAUGGUUGCUACGGCAUCUGCAAGCAAGUAGGCACACCAAACUGGAACUUUAAUCAUAAUUUUGGGAUUACACUUCCUGCGAUUGCCCAUGAGAAUUAGAGAGAUUUGUGAGGCGAGGCUGAGGAAAACCAGUGCUCUCAGCUCCCAUUCCUUCCACAAAUCCUUUAACCUUUGAGGAAUCACCUCCAUCAUCAUCCUCUUUCUCGCCAAGAUCAAGCUGCCGACAGCUGAUAAUUUACAAUACAAAAAUAAUUGAAGAUUUGAUUUUCCCAGUGAAUGACAUAGAUUAACCGUGAAUGAGAGUAGUGUUUAAUUUUAUCUCAAAUUAAAGUAUACCUGAUUUCGUAUUAAUGAAAAUGCCUACGCUAGAAUUAAAUCAGUUACGCACCUGCUGUGAGCAUCAUUUUGGCUAUUGCAGUUCUUGUUCUAAACCUGUUUGAACUUGAGAGAAAGCAGACGUCUUGAGUUCUAACCAAGCCGUCAUGCACAGUGUCUGAACAGCAGGAGAUAACGGGCCCUCAUGAAACCUGCACCACAGAAGCACCUUUCCAAUGUCCAAUAUUCAAAAAUUAAAUUUCAAACUGAAUAAUCAUUUCAGGUUCAGGCGACUGUCAACUUCAACUUUCCACCGUUGCCACCACCAUCAACUUCUUUUCGGGCGCUUCCCAAAACCCAGAUGAGAAGAAGCUCGACAGGCUGACGGAGGUAAUUGCAGCAGAUACACCUUGAUACUUUCAAAAUUAUCCCAAUACCCUGAAAUCAGAAUUUACCAAAAUUUUCAUCAAUACCCUCUAAAAGCUUACAUAAAAUUAGUAAACCAUCCUCGUCUUAAAACACUUACACAACUCAAACAUUCAAACACUCAUACAUGUUGAACUAGACAUCAACACAUGAGCAAAUCGAGCUUGAAAAGGGGAAGCUAUUGCAAUUGAGAAAGAGAAGCUUGGUUCGUCGUUGACAAUUGCCGACGAAAUACGAUUCUUUACUGCAAAAUUGUUGGAAUCUAACUAUUUUCGAAAAGUAAUUCCUUAUAAUUAGCUUUUUUUUUAUAUUUAAAGAAAAAUAAAACAUUUAAGAUCUUAUAUUGCAAAAAUAUAUUAAAUUAGUUGUCGGUCUUUCAUAACAUAUAAAUUUCUAGUUGUUUGCUCCAUAUAAAUGGUGAAAUUUAAUAGAUUGUACAGAUUAUAAUUUAAUUGUAUAAUGUUGUGUAACUCACGAUUUGGUCGUGUAAGGUCAUGUAACAUAAGAUUUAAGGUCGUGUAAUACACUCAUAUAAUACACGAUCAUCAAUCGUAUAUGACAUGACUUUUUGUAUUAUUAUGCGAUCUUGAAUUAUUUAUUACAGGACUUUCACGAUCUUUAGUUGUAUAUUACAUGACCUUCAUGUAUUAUAAGACUUUCAUGUAUUAUAUGACUUUAUGUAUUACGCGAUUACACGACCUUAAUGUAUUAUACGGUUUUAAAAUUACUCGACUUUUUUUCAUUAUUCAUUAGAAUAAUUUAGUUCUUUAAACACUUAAUUUGUGUUAAGAAUUUAUAUUUGUUGCUAUGUAGAAAAUGUCAAUGAAAAUUAUUUAAAAAAAGAAUUGAAUACAUAAUUAUAUUUGUAUAAGAGAUUAUAAGAGAUUUUAAUCGAAUUUCAAUAAGAAGAAAUUUGAGUGUAAGAACUAAGAAGACAAUGAAAAGGAGUGGAUUUCAUGCUUUCAUUUUAGACUUCAUAGGCAUUUAUUAGGGUAUCUAUGAAAAUAAAAAAAAGGAGAAAAUAUUUAAAUAAUUUUACAACUAUUAAAAAGUAUUUAAUUAUAAACCCCCGGGCUGAAGUCCCGUGACUCCAGCUUAGAGAGAGGAUGUCAAAUCAAAAGAUAGCAUGUGGCCCGGGCUGCUCAAAUCGUCCGGCACAGAAUGGUCCAUUGAUGGGCUAGCCCACUAGACCCGUAUUUUAUAAUUUUAAUUUUUUAAUUUAGACUAUUUUUCUUUUUCUUUUUAUUUUUUUCACAUACAAUUAUUUUUAAGGCAUAUUAUUUCUUUGAACGAAAUUUUAAAAAUCCAUUAGUUCAACUCAAGACUUUAAAGAUUUUAGUGCAAUAAUAAAACCACUAAAGUUGCGUUUGGGGUAGCUAUGCUUUUAUAUUAACAUUUUGCAAGGGCCAAUAUAUAUGUAUAAAUAAAUUAAGUGAAUUAUUAAAUUUAAAUAAGAUAGAUCAUAGAUGUUGAUAUCCAAAAUAGUAACGACAGUAUUAACAAUAGUCAUAGCCAUGAUAAUGUAACAUAAGUACAGAUUAUUUUUAACACAAGUACAAAGUUUUGUAAUUUAAACUAUAUUCAACUAAAGGAACAAAAUUUAUUGUUUCUAAAAACUAUUCAAUUUUGGGAAAAGGACCACCUUGUACGAAUCUUGGGAAAAAAGUAAUGAUCUAUAGGGGACAAUUUAUUAUAACUCAAUAUUAUGUGAUUGCUUUUAACACUUAUAUAACACAUCAUAAUUGAAUGUAUAAUUUUGAUAUCUUAAUUAAACUCCUUUCCUCCAUCUUGAUUAAUAUUUAAAUGAAAAUAAAAGAAAUUAGUAUUUUGAAAAAUUUUGACUGCAAAGUAUGUGUAAUGCUUUUUUACAUUUUUAAAAAUAAAAUAAAUAUAAUUACUAUAAAAUAGCCCCUUUUUUAGAUUUUGACCCUUCUUCUCUUCUUAUUUUUUUUUGUCUUCUUCUUCUUAUAUUUCUUUUUUUAAUAUUUAUAAAAUAUUUAUUAUUAUUAUUAUUAUUAUUAUUGUGUUAUCGUAAAUAAAUAAAAAGGUUAUUAUCGUUUCACUAUUUCAAAUAUUGUAAAAUAUCAAAUGAGUACAAAAAAUUAUUGUUUCUUAUUAUUUUACUACUACAGCUUUGCAAAGUCUUUUAUUUUACUACUUUUUUGUUAAAAUUGUUAGUUGACUAGUUAAAAAGUAAUUUUGUCUGUUAUGGCAAAACAAACAAAUAGAGGUAUCAAAUAGUAGACAAAAAAUCAUAUUAUGCCCUUAAAUUAUUAGAUAAUAGUUUUAACUAUUGAUUUAUGAAUAAUCUUUAAUUUAUUAUAACUAUAAAAUAGCGAAUUGACCAAAAAAAAAAAUCCUUGGAUACUUUGUUAAAAAGAAAUACAAUCUAUUUUCAACAAAAAAAAAAAAUUAAAGCUUAUCUUCAGAAUCAACACUUCUAUAUUUUAGUUUUUUUUAAAGAAUAGAUUGUGUCUUUUUUUAAGAAAAAUAUCUGGGGUAUUUUUGUCAGUUCAAUACUUUUAUAGAUAUAGUAAAUUUAAGUUUAUUAAUAAAUUCAUGAUGAAAACUAUUAUUUAGCAGUUUAAGGGCAUAACAAUAAUUUUAUGUCUAUUAUUUAAUACCUCUAUUUGCAUAUUUUACCAUAAAAGGGUAAAUUGAUAUUUUAUUAGUCAAUUAAUUAGUCAACUAAUGGUUCUAAUAGAAAAGUAGUCAAAUGAAAGAUUUUGUAAAAUUAUAGUAAUAAAACGGUAUGGAACAAUACUUAUUAUAGUUAUUUGAUCUUUUACAAUUUUUAAAGUAUUAGAAUAAUGAUAACCCUAAAUAAAAUUAAUAACUAGAAUUCUUUUAAGUAAUUUUUUAUAACCUAACUUGAUUAUGUUGUUAUAAGUAAAUCUUAAAAUUUGGUGUAUUUAAUAGUUAUAUUAGUGUUUUAAGUAAGCAAAAUUAAUUAAUUUAAUUAGUUGAGUAAGAAUAUUUUUGUAAUUUUAAAGAGUUUACAAAAUAAAACUUAUUUUUCUUAAAAUUAGUAUGUGAAUAUUUAUAGUAAUAGAGUAUUUAAAGUAAUUUUUAGAGUGCAAAUGGCCAAACCCAUAACUUAUUCUUUUAACUCGAUGAUUUUUAUAAUCCAGUGGUAAUACCUUAAUAACGUGAAUUCAAGCCCCCCUAGGGCUUCAUUUCCUUUCCUAAUAAUUGGAUUGGGUAGAUAUCUCCUCAUAUCAGUGGAAGCAGAUUUCUAAGUUAGUGCUAGGCAAACCUUAGGGAAACGUAUGUAUUUAUUGUCCCAAAAAUACCAUAUUGUAAUAUAUCUAUAGAUUAUAAUAAUUUGAAAAAUAAACCUAACUUUUAACAUAAAAUUCAAUAAAUUUUGUCACAUUCCAAAUUGAGUUGAAUUUAUGUUAUUUAUUAAUGUUAUGUUAUUUCCUUUCAAAUUUUUAUUAUACUACCAAAUUCGAUUUAUUGUAUUGUAGUGUUUCAAAUUUAAUGAUUUAAAAUUACAUUGCAACAAACUUUUCUUUUAAUAUCAGUGUUUCUUUUAAUGUUAUUGAAUUCAAUAACUUUAAAUCUAAUAUCAGUAUAUCACAUUCUAAAUAAAAUUGGGUUGUCGGUUAUUAAUAAUUUUAUUUUUUAAUCGUUAAUUACACUAUGAAAAUUGAAUUAUUAUGCUGUUGUACUUCAUAUUAAACAACAUAAUAUCUAAUUGAAUCAUAUUAAAAUUUUUUUUUAAAGUAACUAAAUGCAAUAAUUUUAGAUAUCAACAAAUUUUGUCACAUUCCAGUUAAUUGAAUUUGAAUAUUAAUUGUUGUAAUUGUUUCAAUUAUUAAUUAUAUUAUUAAAUUUGAAUUGAAUGUGUAAUUUUAAUCUUUUAUUUUUUUUGUUAAGGUAAAAUGUAUUCUAGAAUUGAAUUUCAAAUGGUCAGUUAAAAGAACAAAAACAAAAAAUCACUUGAACAAACUUUGGCAAGCCGAAGUUUGAUCAUUUUAUUUCAAUUCAAUAACAUGUAAUCUUUUUUUUUUAUUAUUACAUGAAACUAUUGCUCAUAGUACAACUCAUAUUACAUGAGAUUAUAACUGAUAUUUACAAAUUAGACUAUUACUGGGACCAACUUACAUCAAUGCUAAUAGAGUUCUGCCCAGAUUUUUAACCUUCACUAAUAUUCGAAAGAUGUCUACUCCAUUCACACUUGGGUAAGGGAUAAGACUACCUUUACUCAAUUAUACAAUAUAAUUAAGGAGAAAAUACCCUCACAUUGGGGUUGCGGGAGUUCGAAUUUCUGUCCUCCAAGAGCCCUAACCACUUGGCCUCUAACAUGUAACCUAUUUAAAUUGAUUUGAAUUUGAAAUUAUGCUAUAAAAUUUGAAUUGAAUAUUUUCGAGAAUCAUCCUUUUGAAAUUGUUCCGGCUUUUUAUGUUUUGCAUACGUAAAAGUCGCUUUGUCUAUCGUGCCCGUUGGGCACCAUCGUCUUGUAGUGAAGCCAUUGUUGGAUGAAAAGGAGCAAUGUCGUGCAGUCGUGAAGUGGGCACGUGCCACCUGAAGCAAACCGAGAAUGUAGGUCAUUAGAUAAGAAUCAUUAAUGUUGCAAUUAUUUUGUUUAAGGGAACAAGAAAAUAUUGGUGUAUAUAACUGUUGAUGCGAGAUUCUGGUUACGCCUUCCAACGACCAGGAUGUCUGCUCGAUCAACCUCACCUCGAUCAGGAUCUCUCCUCGUACGCUUUCUUCUCUAAGUAUCCCUGCGUUCACAGAAACAAGUCAGAGCACGCCGGUUGUUUUCCCGGCGUAAACCCUCCGACGCUCAAGUCAGAUAUGAAGGCUCUGGGAACGCUUGCCACAAAUCUUAUGGCUUUUAGGUCGUUUGUUCUCUUUUAGAAUUUUACUUUAUCUCUCUAUAAUCUCAAAAUUGCUAACCCUUUUACCUUCGUUGGCUACCUUUUUAUAGGUCACCUCUGAACUCGGGCCUCCCCUCCAUUCGCGCUCGCCAUCCCCCCACUUCUCGAAAGUGGAUGCUCCAUUGCCAUAGUCGUGGGUGGUUGCGUGGCCCUCGAGCCUUGAUUCUCGGACUGGAGAACAUGUCUCACCAACUGUCGUUGACCGGGUCUCCUCGACCCAACCGUUAGUAGGAAUAUAGCAGGAAUGGCUUCACACUCCCAACAGGAGACUGACCUCGUGGAAGAGCAGGAUACUCCUGCUCCUGCUCCCCCGGCUACCAGACUCUUGCAAGAUAUACCUGUUCGAGGAAACCUGCUACCAGGCGCCUGCUCAUCACUGCUGGUUGUGGUCGAAACAUAUCCCACAAACACCAGUCCCCCAGUUUCUUGUGUUGGAUAGCGUAGUGAGCCAACAGUAGAAACUCGACAGUUCUUGCUCGCGUGGGAUAGAAAAAGGCUGCCAAGAGUCGUGUCGCAUUUAAUUGCGGAUGAGAUGAUGUGGCAGAGAUCCACCCCUCCAUUUGAAUUUCAAACCGACGGUUACGAGACCCUCGGGAUUCGGUGUUGUUAAAUGCUGGCUAUCCAAGGGUUUUUCUUCCAAUAAGAUAACCCAAAACCUCUCGAAGGGAAAUUAGCCAUUUCCACCGUCUCUGUCCUUGUCUCUCCGGCGAAGAAGUUUCGGCAUAAAAGCCCUCAUCCUCGCCUUUCUCCGACUGAAACAGUACUUCAGGUAUUACUUCUUUCUCCUCGGUCUCGGAUAAUUUGUAGAUAACUUCUUUUUUAUUUGCUUUGCUUGGGGUAGUAGUUGGUGGUGGUGUUUUGGUUAUUAUCUAAGGAAUGUCGAAGGGUAAGGAGAAAGUCGUUGAGAUUGACGACGACAAACUAGGUUUCUUGCCUAGUCUGCUCACUGAUCCUGCUUUUGACCCCGGGAUCCCCUUAGAGCCCAUUAGGUCUAGCAUAGGGAUUAGUGCUAGGAGGAUGUCCCCCCAAACAACCUCCACAAGCGGAAGUAGUGGUGAGGAGGGAUCCUCUGGUUCGGAGAACACCCUAAGUGAGGAUCAAGGAGGUGACUCUGGUGAGGGAUCCUCACCGGGAACAUUGCGACCAGAAGGGCGGAGUACAGUAGGAGGUAGAGCCUUGUCGCGAGAUUAUGACAUUGAUUACAUGACGUGCACGACCACGUUUGUCGAGCUCAAUGACCUCCGACUUAGGUAUAGUAUCCCUAGUGAAAUUCCUCUCAAGAUCCCAGGGAAGAAAGAUACACCUAGCCGGCCUCCUAGGGGAUAUGUUACCCUGUUUCUGGAGAGCUUUAAGUUUGGGCUGAGGUGUCCCUUGCAACCCUACUUUGCCUGGAUACUUAAUGGGCUAAGUCUGGCUCCUGGUCAACUGAACCCCAAUGGGUGGAGAGUGCUCUCUGGUCUGUUCAUAUUGUGGGACAGAUGCUGCCAAAGCGAGCCCACGGUUGAUGAGGUGAAGCACCUGUACCAGCUGAAGAGCAGCCCCAAAGAUGCCGGCUGGUACUACUUCCAAUCUAGUACCAAGAGCAGGAAACCUAUAACCGAUCUUCCUACUGGUGGUGGUGGGAAUUGGAGGAAGAAGUUCUUUUUCGCAGGGGGUCCCUGGGGGUCAAGUUGCACAGGUUGAUGGUCAGGACUUCCGCGUCCCAACCCGUUUCGUGGUCCCAGGUUGCCUGCUCGUAUUAGAUGUCUUGUCUCCCUUGUGGUUUGCACUUUACUGGUUUAUCUCUAAUCAAAUGUUUGUUUGUGCUGCAGGUUCUUGGGGUGUUCACUUCCCGCUCGAACCUGACCAGCUCAAACGAGUCGAGGCUGUACUAGCCAAUUCCUGCCCGAGUCGGGAGCUGAUAACUACCUACAACCUGCUCGAGUCUCGUUUGGUGCCCCCCGGCCAUAAGAUGGAGGAUGCUGUGAUUGGGGCUCUGACUCGGAAGCGUCCUCGACCUCCAACUACGAAGAGGGACCAGAGCAAGGACGCUCCCACUGCGAAGCGAGUGAAUACUGUGCAACAGGUUCUUCCCCUGAAGACUCUACCUCCUCCUCCUGCCAAAGUCGGAGAAAGUAGUGGAGCAGCCACUGAUCCUGCUUCCUCUUCUCCUCCUGUCGGGCCUCGGUCUCGUCUAUCUGACAACCGAGCAGAACACUUGGGCCCCUAUCUCAACGAGCUUUCCAAACUUGUGAGCAAGAAAUACUUGGAGGAUUUUGAGGGCUGCACCUUAGGCGAGCUGGUGGGAGCCAUGCAGUACAGCGCUUUCCAUCUCAGCUGCAUGACCACCUACUAUAAGGCCAAGGUUGGCCGUUACAACAGGAAGAUGAAAGAGGACAUCCAAUCGGUGACGAUCAGAGCUGACGUUGCCGAGAAGAAGGCAGGGGAGCUGAACGUUGAGAACCUCAAGCUGAUAGAGCAAGAAUCUCUUGCUCAAGCAAAAGCCAUUACCCUCGAGGAGGAGCUGAAAAAGGUCAAGGAGGAUCUGCAAGGGCAGAAGGCUGUGUAUGAGGCUCAGUUUGAAUCUCUCCGCGAUUCCCACCAGGCUCAGGUCGAGAACUUGGAGAGGGAGGCCGACAAUCAGUACGACCAGGGACUUCGGCAUUCCUAUCGUUGCAUCAUGGCCGUCCUCGGGAGGCAGCAUCCUGAUCUGAAGAUGGAUGACCUUGCAGCUGGUGUUGCUCAACAUAUGGACGAGGAGGCGGCCAAGGAAGAUGCCGAAGGGAUAGAGCCGAUCGUGAUUGAGGAGGAAAAUUCUCCUCCUCGGGCAGUCCCUGCUGACGUUGGCGAGGCGAGCACCCCUGCUGUCGUUGCUGAGGCGAGCACCCCCCCGAACGCAACUGGUGAAACUCCCCCCGCACCUGAGGAGGUCCCGUCAACCGAUGCUGCUCGGCUUACUGAUCCGCCCUCUUCUUGAUAUAUUUCUUGCGUUGUAAUGAACAACGUUUACGAAAUUUAUCUUCUCUGUUAAUUAUUUGCACAUUAAUAAAAAUGUUUUUGAUUACUUUCUUGUGUUGUAAUCGUGAGUUAUUUUUCGUUUAAGAAUCUGCUCGUCUUCGUCUGGUUGAGCAGGUUCUGGCUUGGCAUAUGGUUUUGCCAUAUGCCUUAGAAAAUUUUCCAAUGUUUGGGUUUCUGCUCGCCUUCGCGCGGUCGAGCAGAUCCUGGCUCGCUAGGCUUCUGGCCUUGCCAUAGACAGGCUUUGAAUGCUAUGGAGUCUGCCCGCCUUCACGUGGUCGAGCAGAUCUUGGCAUGCUUGGCUUCUGUCUCGCCAUAAAACGGGCUUUGAGACUUGACGAGCCUUUGCAUGCCUUAGAAAUUUUUUCGAAUGCUUUGGAGUCUGCUCGCCUUCACGGGGUCAAGCAGGUCCUGGCAUGCUUGGCUUCUGUCUCGCCAUAAAACAGGCUUUGAGACUUGACGAGCCUUUGCAUGCCUUAGAAAUGACUUCGUGAUUGGGGAUUCUGCUCUCCUUCGCGUGGUCGAGCAGAUCCUGGCAUGCUUGGCUUCUGUCUCGCCAUAAAACAGGCUUUGAGACUUGACGAGCCUUUGCAUGCCUUAGAAAUGACUUCGUGAUUGGGGAUUUUGCUCGCCUUCUCGUGGUCGAGCGGAUCCUGGCAUGCUUGGCUUCUGUCUCGCCAUAAAACAGGCUUUGAGACUUAACGAGCCUUUGCAUGCCUUAGAAAUGACUUCGUGAUUGGGGAUUCUGCUCGCCUUCGCGUGGUCGAGCAGAUCCUGGCAUGCUUGGCUUCUGUCUCGCCAUAAAACAGGCUUUGAGACUUAACGAGCCUUUGCAUGCCUUAGAAAAUUUUCACAGUUUCAAGUGACUGAAAUUCCUCGACGUUCCAUUAAUUGCAGGAUUUGAUUUUACAUGAACUUGCUAUGACAUAAAACAUAUAAAAAAUAAGAGAUAACGAGCACAAGCAGAAAUAGCUUUGAAAUGUGAACAAGUCUUAUUGGAAGUAUUUUCGAAGGUGUGCUGCGUUCCAUGGGCGCUUCACCUCGUGGCCAUCCAUACGAACCAACUUGUAAGCUCCUGGUCCAACUAGCUGCUUGACUCUAUAAAGCCCCUCCCAAUUCGGACCGAGCACUCCUUGAGUCGAGUCUUUGGUGUUCUGAUUCACUCUCCUUAACACCCAAUCUCCGACCUUGAACUGCCGUAUAUUCACCUUCUGGUUAUAAUACCGAGCAAUCCUUUACUGAUAAAUGGCUGAUCGACCAGCUGCUUGCUCCCUCUUUUCCGUUAGUAGAUCAAGAUUCAAACACAUCUGCUCGUCGUUAUCCUCCUCAUUGAAAUGAUCUGUCCGGUGCGUGGUCGUUUCUAUCUCAGCUGGUACGACCGCUUCAUGUCCGAAAGCCAGAGCGAAUGGUGUCUCCCCAGUUGCUGUUUUGUGGGUUGUUCUGUAUGCCCCUAGCACACCUGACAGCUCGUCAACCCAUGCACCCUUUUUUGCUCCGAGCCUGGUUUUCAAAAGCCUCUUGAUGGUCUUGUUAGCUGCUUCCACUUGUCCAUUCGAUUGGGGGUGAGCAGGAGAGCAAUACUUCAGCUCUAUCCCGAGGUUCUGGCAAAAAUCCCUGAAGCUGUGAUUAUCGAACUGCCUGCCAUUAUCCGUUAUAAGGGCAUAAGGGAUCCCGUAUCGACAGACCAGGUUUCUCCACACAAAGUCUGUUGUUUUCUUCUCUGUGAUCCUGCUAAGGGCUUCUACCUCUAUCCAUUUCGUGAAGUAGUCUAUAGCAACUAUUGCAUGUGUUGCUGCUCCUCGUCCCUUUGGCAGCGGGCCGAUCAGAUCAAUUCCCCAUUGAGCAAACGGCCAAGGGGAGGCCAUAGAGGUGAGCUUCUCUGGUGGUUGGUUGGAGAAACUUGCAAAACUCUGGCAGCUUACACAGCUCCUGGUCUUCUCCUGAGCAUCCCGGUGCAUUGUCGGCCAGAAAUAUCCCUGCCUUAGAACCUUGUGGGCCAGGGACCUCCCACCAGAAUGGUUCCCGCAAAUUCCUUCAUGUACUUCUCUCAGCACGUAAUCCGCGUCGUCCUCAUCCAAACAUCGAAGGAAAGGUAGUGUAUAUCCUCGCCGAUACAGUACCCCAUCAAUCAUCGUGUAUCUCGAGGCCUGGGCUCUAACCUUCCGAGCUCGCAGCUUAUCUGGUGGUAAUACCCCGUCUCUGAGGUAUGAAAUUAUCGGGUCCAUCCACGAGCAUUUUUGUUCUAUCCGCAACACCCCCAAAUUAUGCUCGAUACUUGGGUUGGACUUCACCUCCAGAGGGACUGACUUUGGCAUUUUUGGGUUGGCAACUGCUGCCAUCCUGGCCAAAAUGUCUGCUCGACUAUUCUGCUCCCUGGGGAUUUGUAUCACCUCCACUGCUUCAAAUUUCCCCAUCAUCUGCCUGACUAUCUUUAGGUACUGCUCCAUCUUCUCCUCUCUUGGUUGAAAUCUUUCACUGACAUGAUUUGCAACCAGCUGGGAAUUAGUUCUGAUUUUCACUCUGUCUGCUUUCACGGCCUUAGCCAAUUCCAAACCUGCUAUCAAGGCUUCAUACUCUGCCUGGUUAUUUGUGGCUGCAAAUUCCAACUUUACAGCAUAAGAGAUCUCCUCCCCCUCCGGGCCUUCCAAGACAAUCCCUGCUCCUGAACCCUGCUCUCCUAAUGACCCAUCCACAGACAUCUGCCAUACUUGAUCUUCGCCACUGUCUGUAACUACAUCUCGCCGAUCUAAACAUACCUCGGGCUCUGUGAAUUCAGCUACGAAAUCGGCCAUUGCCUGAGCCUUUAUCGCUGCUCGGGGUUUGUAGUCGAUGUCGAACUCGCUCAGCUCUAUAGCCCACUUGACGAGCCGACCAGAAGCAUCUGGCUUGUGCAGAGUUUGACGUAAUGGCUGGUUUGUUAUUACUGAAACUGGGAAUGCUUGAAAAUAUGGCCUCAACUUCCGAGCCGCAACCACAAGGGCAAGUGCCCAUUUCUCCAACGGUGGGUAUCUGGUCUCGGCAUCGAACAGGGCCUUGCUGGUGUAGUAUAUCGGAUACUGAACUCCUUCUUCCUCUCUCACCAGAACAGAACUGGCGGCCCGAUCCGAUACCGCCAAAUAUAGAUAUAACUUGUCCCCAUCCCUCGGUGUGGACAGCAGUGGAGCUUACUGCAAGUAUUGCUUCAAGUUCUGGAAGGCUUCCUCGCAUUCUGAUGUCCAUUCUGUUUUCUUUCCCCUCCUUAUCACUUGAAAGAAUGGCUGACACUUAUCUGUAGCCUUGGAUAUGAAUCUGCUCAACGCCGCCAACCUCCCGGUGAGGCUCUGCAUCUCCUUCAGGUUACGAGGAGACCUCAUCUGCACAAUCGCUUGGAUUUUCUCGGGAUUUGCUUCAAUCCCCCUAUGGCUCACCAUGAAUCCAAGGAAUUUCCCUGACUCGACCCCAAAAGCACACUUCUCCGGGUUGAGCUUCAUCUUAUACUUUCUCAAAAGCUCGAAUGUCUCCUCGAGGUGUCUGACAUGUUCCUUCGGGAUUUUGGAUUUGGUGAUCAUGUCAUCCACGUACACCUCCAUGGUUUUCCCAAUCAACGGCUUAAAGACUUUAUUCACCAGCCUCUGAUAGGUGGCCCUGGCAUUUUUUAGACCAAAUGGCAUUACCCUGUAACAGAACAAACCUUGGUUAGUGAUGAAAGCCGUGCUCUCCUCAUCCUGCUCGUACAUGGGGAUCUGGUUGUAUCCCGAGAAUGCGUCCAUGAAACUAAGCAGACCGUGUCCAGCCGUUGAAUCUACUAGCUGAUCGAUCUUCACCAACACCAUAUUCGAUAUCCAUUCAGGGUAAUUAACUUCCCGAAUGAACCCUGCUCUCAAGAGCUUCUCCACCUCGCCAUUUAUAGCCUCAUACCUCUCCUGGUUGAAGCACCUCCUCUUCUGCCUUACUGCCCGCGCACCUUUCUUUAUUGCCAGCUUAUGACAUGCUACCUCAGGGUCAAUCCCUGGCAUGUCUUCAUGUGUCCAAGCAAACACAUCUGCAUGAGCCUGUAAGCAUUUCACCAACUCCUGCUUUUGCUCUCCCUUAAGUCUCGACCCGAUUCUGAUCGUCUUUCCCGGAUUCUCUGGUCCCAGGCUUACUGUUUCCAGAUCCUCUACAGGUUCUUGCCUGCCAUUCCUGUUUUCCACUCGGGUAUCGAGGGAUGUUAUCUGCAUUGCUUCCCUUGCUGCCGAGGAGUAGCAACUUCUUGCGAUCCUCUGGUCUCCUCGUACCACUCCAACUACCCCAUUCACCCGGUACUUCAGAGCCAGAUAAUGGUUGGACAGCACCGCUUUGCUCAUCCUCAGAAAUGGCCGGCCUAGGAUCAUCUGGUAAGGACCUUCCUCAUCCACUACCACAAAGUCCAGUAUCAUUGUCCUUUCUGUCGGGGAGCUCCCAAUCGUGAUAGGUAGCUCGACCACGCCCAGAGGGACCAGCUUUCCUCCUCCAAACCCCUUCAAGGAGGUACUGGUGUAAUCCAACUUCAGGUCUGCUAUUCCCAUCUCUUCCAGGGUUGACUUAAACAACACAUCAACUGAACUCCUUGUGUCAACCAGUAUCUUGUCAAACUUCUUGCUAGCAACAGUGGCCUUGAUGACCAAAGCAUCCUCGUGGGGGUAUAGGAUCCAUUCUUCAUCCUCAUCUGUCCACAUGAUUGGCACUUGCCUGACUCUUGCACGUUUGGCUGCUGGGGUGUUGAAGAACACCUCUUUGCUGGUCAUGGCAUAUCUAGCAUAAUUCUUCCUCGACCUGUUGGAAUCCCUGGCCAAUGUUGGGCCCCCCGCUAUAACCCUUACUGCAGGCUGCUCGCGCCUCAAGUGCCUGUCACUCUGCUCCCCUUCACUUGUUGAGGCUACCAUUGGGAAGGUCCCAUCUAUAAACUCGUCCAGAUACCGAUUUCUCACCAAAUCUUCAACCUGGGUCUUAAGAUCUCUGCAAUCUGCUGUGGUGUGGCCAUUAGUGCCAUGGAACUUACAAUAGCGUCCCUUAUCCCUCCUGCUGGGUGGCUUUGUUAUUGGAGCAGGAACGUAUAGCAACCCCCGAUCCUUUAUGGCCUCGUACACCUCGUCCAGGGACAUCUUCAAGGAAGUAUACCGCCCAUAGUCCUGGUUCUGGUCGAUUAGGUGCACUGCUCUUUCUCUAUUUGCUCCAUUCUGAGUUGGAGGCGGCGGCAGUAAUUCUGGUCUGCUCCCUCUGCUACCGUGGGAGUGUUGAUGGAGACCACCAUAUGCCGAAUCAUGCCUUCUCCAAGGCUCCCUAGCUGGGGAACGAGGAGGUUACGCCCUGCUGCGCUGAUAUUGUGGCGGCCUCUGAUGAGGCUGGUAAGCAGCUACCCGACCUCCUGCUCCACUACCCGAGGUCUGGUGGUCCCUCCUCCUGAUCGGCCUAUUCCCUGAUAAUACUUUCUUCUCUUUCCUCCCCAACCCUUCUAACUGGUCUGUCUUAAUCCGAGCAGCCUUUUCUUCCUCGAUCUCUAUGUCUCUUUUGGCCUGCUCGUAUGCGGUUGCAUACGUCUGAAUAGCUGGGCUUCUCAAGUUGUACCAAAGCCUUCCUAUCUUUACUCCCUCUUUCAAUCCCCUUAGUGCCUGAGGAUGGUUGAAGGCUCCCAAGUCGAGGACAGCACGAUGAAACCUCUUGAUGAAUUCCCGAAGGGUUUCCUGCUCCCCCUGUUUCAUGCUUUUCAGCUCCAUCAUGUCAUCUUCUGGUGCCAUUGCCCCACUAAACUGCUCUGCAAAUUCCUGGCACAUCUGCUCGAAGGUCUUAAUGCUCCCCCGAGGAAGUUUCCUGUACCACUCGCGUGCACGUCCUUCCAGGGAGAGUGGGAACACUCUGCACCUUUGGGAUUGAGAUAACCCUUGCACCCCGGUAAUGUCGUUGAAGCGCUCUAUUUGCACCAACGGAUCAGUUCGUCCCGAAUAUCUAAGGUCUGGGAGGCGAAAAUCCCUUGGGAUGAUUGCCCUCAUGAUCUCUGCUGCGAGCGGUGAUUCUCCGUCCAGCAUUAUCCUCCAACCAGGAGUUCUGCUCCUUCCUUGCAUGUUAUCAAUUACCUGCGCUAGUCUGCGCACUUCCUCCUCCAGCUGCACUGCACGACCAGGAUCGCGUGCCGCAACUUGGUCCCGCUCUUGCUCUACAUCAUGCAAGUGUUGCCUCAACUCUGGUUCCUCUGCAUUCACUACCCCAUCGUCCUCGUCAAGAAUCUGUCUUGCCGGGGACUGCUCUUCCUCUCUAUGAAAUUCUUCCCGCAGAGAUAGGUUAACCCUCUCACCGCCAAAUCUCCCGGUGGUUUGAUUUCUCCUCGUACUAUCGUGACCUGGUGUCACUCCACCACCUCUCACCCUUUUCUCCUGGGUUCCUCUUCGUUCACUCCGCAGCUCAUGUAGGAUGGUUGUCAGGGUCUCCAUCUGCUUCUCCAUCUGUUCCAUCCGGUCGAACAUGGCCUUUUCCCGCGCUUCACUGGCUAUCUCUCUCAGCGUCACGGAGUCAUUUAGCCUCAUAUCACCCCCUUGUGCACUACUCCCUCCUGUCUCCAUCGCUUUUCCACUUGCUUCACUCCUCUUCUUGCUAUCAACAGAAGCUUUUUGCUCAGCUCCCCACAGACGGCGCCAAAAUGUUGAUGCGAGAUUCUGGUUAUGCCUUCCAACAACCAGGAUGUCUGCUCGAUCAACCUCACCUCGAUCAGGAUCUCUCCUCGUACGCUUUCUUCUCUAAGUAUCCCUGCGUUCACAGAAACAAGUCAGAGCACGCCGGUUGUUUUCCCGGCGUAAACCCUCCGACGCUCAAGUCAGAUAUGAAGGCUCUGGGAACGCUUGCCACAAAUCUUAUGGCUUUUAGGUCGUUUGUUCUCUUUUAGAAUUUUACUUUAUCUCUCUAUAAUCUCAAAAUUGCUAACCCUUUUACCUUCGUUGGCUACCUUUUUAUAGGCCACCUCUGAACUCGGGCCUCCCCUCCAUUCGCGCUCGCCAUCCCCCCACGUCUCGAAAGUGGAUGCUCCAUUGCCAUAGUCGUGGGUGGUUGCGUGGCCCUCGAGCCUUGAUUCUCGGACUGGAGAACAUGUCUCGCCAACUGUCGUUGACCGGGUCUCCUCGACCCAACCGUUAGUAGGAAUAUAGCAGGAAUGGCUUCACACUCCCAACAGGAGACUGACCUCGUGGAUGUCGUACUCGUGGAAGAGCAGGAUACUCCUGCUCCUGCUCCCCCGGCUACCAGACUCAUUAAUGUCACUUCUAGUCAUCUGAUAAUACACUGAUACAGUCACCUAAAUUUUAUGCCAAUUGCAGUGACAAAAUCGUAAACAAUAAACAACAUAUUAUUCCUCACCAACUACCUUACAAAUAUUUGUUUCAACUAACUAAUUUAUUGUUAUAUACACCAAUAUUUUCUUGUUCCCUUAAACAAAAUACUGUAUCAGUGUAUUAUCAAAUGACUAGAAGUGACAUUAAUGAGAGUAAAAAAGAACUAACAAUGAAAGGAUAGGAAGUAAAUGUACGAAUUUAAAAGUAUUUAGGAUGCAAUCUAAUUUGUUAAAUCCACUUGCUCGGUAAAAGUUCGAGCAAAAAAAAAUCAGAAAAAACCAACAAAAAACACCAGAACCCAAACCAUUGCAGGAAGUAGCACCUUCGCCUCUGUUGAGGCCUGCUCUGUCGAUUAAGAGUUCUAUCCAAAUCACAAAAAACUAACGGAAAUCGACACUCACAAAAAACUAACGGAAAUCGACCAUAACAUCCACGAAACACGCCGCCUCCGUUCAUAAUUUUUCGCCAUGCAUUGAUUAACAUCACCGCUCUCCACCACUACAACCUUUCUAACUAUUCACCACCGCCGAUCAACGAACUGAUCACCGGAAUCGAAACCCACAAAAACUGCCAUUGCUUAUCUCAAUUUCCAACCAAACCACCAACUUUUGGAAAAACCUCCACCACCGUCACACUCACCCAUCUCAAAUCUCCCAUAAUGAACACGCAAUAAAUUGAGAUGGUAGCCUAACUUUAUAUUACUAUUUAUUUGUUCAAUUAUACUCAUUAUAAUCUAACUGCUUGCCAGAAAAUGGACAAAUAAAGCGAGUACGAUGCCCCUUGGGCACGAUAGGUAGAACUUGUAAAAGUAGGAACGAAUCAUCAUCAAGUGUUAUUAUCAUCAGUUAUCAUUGUAUUUUUUUUUUAGAAUAGUUAUCAUUGUAUUUGAAUUCAUUAUCAUUGUAUUUGAAUUCAUUUUCUCAUGCCGCGUUUGUAGUUGUUUUGAAGAGGUCUAAAAAAGUAAUUUAAAAAAAAAUUAAAAGUUCAGUUUUUUUUUUAAGGUUACUUAAGCAAAAUCACCACAUCCUACCGUAAAUUUAAAAAAAAUAAAGAGUAAUUUUUGAAAAUAUGAUUUUAAGAACUGAAUUUUUACUUAAUAUAAUUUCAUAUAUAUACUAAACAUUUAAAUAAUUUUCUUCACAUCUAAUUAUUUUUAAAACAUAACUAUAGAACAAUUAUUUUAAAAAUAAUAAUAUUAUCAAACUAGUCCUUAGUUAAAAUAUUUGGAUGCCAACACACAAAUUACAUGAUUGUUGUGUACAUAUAUGUGUGACAUAUGUAUAAAAUAAUAGAAUAAUUCUUUAGUUAAUUAAUGAAGAUAUAAUUAAAAAAGAAGUUCAUAUUUAUUUAAAUUGGAGCUUGUCAUGCUCAUAGAUGCACUUCAUAUAUGGGAAGCCUUACUUUUUCAACACUAAGUUUACUUUUUCAACACUAAGUUAUGACAGAAUCUUAACCACUUAAAAAAAUUGAUUUCAAAGGGCAAGAUCAAUGCUGACUUAGAUUUUUGUUAAUUAAAAAUAAAUAAACAGUGUACCCAUCCAUUAUUUUAAUUCAUUUAUUUUUUUCCUCUCAAAAUUUACGCAUAUUUUCUGUUGAUGCUGAAAUCUGUUCGUCCUUUGUCCGACCAGAUCUUUACACCAACGCUUAUGUGGUCGGUAGAGAAGAUGUCAAUUUCUUCUUACUUCAGCGAUCACUCAAGUCACUGAAGUUGGAAUUGCCCUUCCUUCUCAUACUAAGCCUGUGUUCACAAAAGUGGAUUAGAGACGCCGGUGGUUUUACCGGCGUAAACCCUUCGAUGCCUAAGUUAGCACAAGGUGUUUACGGGAAUACGGUGCAAUUUAGACUCGGUAAUUUGCUUAUAAUUUGCUCACAGUUUGUAUAGAAAGUGGUCUGGUUUCAAUUUGGUAGAGUUUUCCUUUCUCUCCAUUUUUUCCCUCCCCUUCUUUAUUGGUUUCUUCCUCUUUUAUAGCCGCUGUCCCACGUUUCCAUUCACCCUUCAUCCCUCCCUUUCUUAGAUAGUGGCAGCCCCUCAUAGGACUCCAACUACUACAUUGUGGGUAAACGUAGGAUACCGUGUCUCCCUCAACGGUUCUGGGUAUAGCGCAACUAUCGCGAUUUCGUGAGGUCUUGUGCCUGCUCUUUGGGGAAUGGGUAUCUGCUCGGUAUACGUCUCUGGUCGGUACUCGUCUCCGGUAGGCCCACGUUUGCAGAAGGCUCUCUAUCAGUGUUCCGCUCGUACCAUUUAGCAUAGGUGGUUCACCCCGGGGUGGGAGACGAUGGCAUGGCUGAGCUGAUGCUCUUAAUUCCUCAACACCAGUCCCUUAGUUUCUGGUCUUGCGAGUGAAACGAGUUGAGAGUAGAAACUGAUACUUGAAUCUCACCGAUUCUGGGAACCACCCAUCUGGUCCUCUGCUUAUUGUGAUGGACCUGAGGAUCCAUCUUUCGUCUAGGGAGAUUUUGACCUAAGCAUGGGCCUUUAUGAGUAUGUCUAGUAUUUAUACCUGGGUUUUUUGUCUAGUCAGGCCUCUCAUAACGGUUAGUGACGUGGCGCUUCCCGACUCUUCGUAUUUGAAAUUUGAAACCACGGGUUAUCCAUCCUCGAUACGCAGUGAAUGAGCUGGCAUCUCUAUCACUUAAACGCUUCCAUUUCCCCCUUUUCGUUUCAAAUCCCUAGACUAAAAUCAUCAUUGUUCUGUUAUUCGUCUCUCCGCCGUAGGCCAACCCAUUCUUCGAACCUUACUCAUACUUUUCGCAUCAGGAAUCUCACUUGUGGGUCCUUUCUCCAUCACGGCAGCGCUAUCAGUGCCAGUCUAUUCCAGGUACAGCCUUUAACCUCUUCUCUGGUUGUUGUUGAUUGGGUUUUGUAUUGUGGGUUCUGUGUUUGUCCCUUUUUGUACCCAUACUCUUAAAUAUUUUGUGCUUUCCCUUCUUAAACUUCAAUAUGUCCAAUCGAAAAGGAAAAAUAAUUGUAGAUGAGAGUGAUGAAGAGAUAGAUGAUUCAUAUCCCCAUUUGUUUGGACACAGUGAUCUUUUAUACCCUGCUCGUAGUGUAGGUCCCUCCUAUCAUAGGGAUACCCCUGAAUACCCUCGUCCUAUAGCCACUUCGCCUUCCCCUGAAUUAGAGCUUGUAGGAAACAGAAGUGGACUCGCGUCGGGCUCUGGUGAGAAUCAUAGUUCUGGUGGGGUUAGGGUCCCUGAAGAAGUAGGUGAUGGUGAGGGAAGCAGUUCCGAGCCGAGCAGACCCCCUAAGAAGAGAAACCUUGGUCAUAGGAUGGAGGCAGAGAGAAACCUUGGUCAUAGGAUGAAGGCAGAUUCUUACCAUAUUGACUAUAUAGCUUGUGCCACCACCCCAACUGACAUGUUCAAGCUUAGAGAUCUCUACAACAUUCUUGAGGAGGUUCUCCUUGUAAUCCCCGGGAAAGAUGACAUCCCUAGUCGGCCUCCGAGGGGGUAUAUGACGAUGCACCUGGAGAGUUUCAAAUUAGGAGCUCGGUUGCCCCUUCAGCGUUAUUUUGCCAAGAUACUGGGUGGUAUACACCUGCCUCCAGGUCAGCUACACCCAAAUAGGUGGAGGGUUCUCUCGGCUAUAUAUGUGUUAUGGGAGAGGGGUGGAUCCGAAGAACCUUCCCUUGUUGAAGUAAAGCAUUUGUACCAGCUGAGUAGCCCAAAGGAAGCAGGCUGGUACUACUUCAUGUCGAGCUCUGCGAAAAGGAAGCCAAUCACCGGUUUUUCUUCCUCGUGUAAAAAUUAGAAGAACAAAUUCUUCUUUACUGGAGGAAAUUGGUGUCGAGCAGCCCGUUCGCUUGGUGGUGAUAUUCACAUUCCAACGCGCUUUGUCACCCCAUGUCGUUUAUUUUUUAUCUUUUUUUUUCUCAAAUUGUCACUUAUUGGGUUCUUUAACAUUUCUUGCUCUUUCAGAGUCGUGGGAGUUUGAUCAAGGAGCUUGAAGAAAGACCCUUGCUCCAGGUGAAAACUGCUCUGGUGAACGCGUAUACCUGCCAAGACCUCCUGUCACCAACAAACCUGGUCGGUUCGCGUUUAGUGGACGUAGCUGCCGGAAUGGAUAACAAGAUCCUUAGCGCUAUGACCAGGAAGCGUAGUCGGGCUCCAAGCAGCUCCAACAACCCUCCUCCUCCGAAGAAAGCCAAUACUGGUCCACCCAAGACUUCUGUUCCUGCUCUGCCCCCUCCUCCACCUCAAAAAAAUGGUGGGGAGAAGGUGAGUGAUAAAAGUCCUGAGGUUAGCAUUCAGUCCGGGGACCGAUCCUCUCAUCUUCCAUCUCGGGAUCAAGGUGACUACCUGAGCCGGUACCAGAGGGAUUACGGCAAAUCAGUGGGACCCAAGAUGGUGAAGGACAUUGAAAGUAUGAACCUCGCCGAGUUAGCUGGUUCCGUUCAAAGGGUCUCCUUUAAGCUGGCCACCUUGGUUUCGUGCUACAAGAACAGGUUCAUGCACCAUGAGAGGAGGUUUCAAGCUGACAACAUGAAUUGAGAAAAAAGCUGAGUCUGCCGACCGCUCGCGGGAGAAACUGCUUGAUCUGCACAAGCAAAUCAUGGACCUGGAGGAGAAAUUAGACAUGGCGGAGUCUACCUCCACCAAGCUUGAGGGUGAGUUGGGUGAUCUGAAGUCUGAUCUUUAGGCCACUCAAAGUGAGUGAGAUACCCUGAAGACGGCCCUUGAGGGAGAAAUCAAAUCUCUGAGUGAGCAGUUGGCCGAGGUGAAAGGCAAAUCUACUGAUGUGGAUGAUCGGCUGGAUGCAGAGUAUAACUCUGGGGUUGCUUUCUGCUAUAAGUGCAUCAUGUCUGUGCUUAAGGAAGAAUAUCCAAAACUUAACAUGAGCAAGUUGGAGGCUGGAGUGCAGAAAUAUAUGGCGGAGUCCGACCAGGGGGAUCAGGAUCAGGUGGAACCUUAUUCAGGUGAGGCGCAGGAGGAGGGAGUAGGGGGUCGUGCUCCUGAAGUAGGUCAAGGGUCAGUGCCUCUUCCCCUCGAUGUUGCCGAUCCUCCUCUUCCUGAGGUUGUUGAUCCUUCAACUACUGAGGCCGCUGAUCCUCAUAAUUUUCAAGUUUAUUUUUGUUUAAAUUCUAAAUUUUCAUCUGUUUUGCAAACGUUUGGAUGUUUAUAAAUUUUGGGAUGCUUUCUGUUGGCCUUCUUGUCUUGGUUUUGUUGAUGGAUUAUUUCUGCAAAUCACCUUAACAAUUUAAUUUGACUUUGCUUACUGGUUCUUUGAGUAGGACGAGCAGAAUUAGACACUUCCUUGCCUUAAUAAAAUUUUGUAAAAUUGCAUGCUGGUCCUUAGGCGACCGAGCAGGAUUAGGCACUUUUUUGCCUUAGUAGAAUUUCGUAAAAUUGUCUGCUGGUCCUUAGGCGACCGAGCAGGAUUAGGCACUUGCUUGCCNNNNNNNNNNNNNNNNNNNNNNNNNNNNNNNNNNNNNNNNNNNNNNNNNNNNNNNNNNNNNNNNNNNNNNNNNNNNNNNNNNNNNNNNNNNNNNNNNNNNACUUGCUUGCCUUAAUAACAUUUCGUAAAAUUGCCUGCUGGUCCUUAGGCGACCGAACAGGAUUAGGCACUUGCUUGCCUUAAUGAAUUUAAUGGACUUUGCUAGCAGGGGAAUUUCAUGCUGAAUUCAUCUUUAUUGAAACUUGCAUGGGUUACAGAAAUGCGGAAUAUAUGCAUGUGCCACAAGUCAUCAUGCAUUUAACAGAAAUAACUUAUCGAAAUAAAGACUUAGUAGAGCACUUUACUUACUAGAAGUACUUUUUCAAGUGUUCAGCGUUCCACAACCUCUUCACCUCUCGUCCAUCUGGGUAAGCCAAAUUGUAAGCCCCUGGUUCAGUCGCUCGUAUUACCCUGUAUGGGUCUUGCCAUUUCGGGCCAAGAGCGCCAUGAUUAGGAUCCCUAGUGUUUUGGUUUACCUUCUUAAGUACCCAAUCUCCUGCUCGGAACUGCCUCACGCGUACGUUCUUGUUGUAAUAACGCAUGAUUCUUUGCUGACAUUGGGCCACUUUCUGAGGGGCCCCUUCCCUUUUCUCCUCCAGCAGGUCCAAGCUCAAGCAUAUCUGCUCGUCGUUUUGCUCCUCGUUAAAAUAUUAUGUCCGAUAUGUCCCCACUCCAAUUUCUGCUGGGAUUACCGCCUCGUGACCAAAAGCUAAAGCAAAUAGGGUUUCCCCCGUGGCAGUUUUGUGGGUUAUCCGGUAAGCCCAUAAUACUCCUGGUAGCUCGUCGACCCAAGCUCCAUUCUUCUCUCCCAGUCUGGUUUUCAGGAGUUUCUUUAUUACUUUGUUGGCUGCUUCCACUUGUCCGUUUGCCUGGAGGUGUGCUGGGGUGCAGAACUUCAGGUCCACCCCCAAGUUUUGGCAAAAUUCUCUGAAGUUGUUGUUGUCAAACUGCCUCCUAUUGUCUUUAAUGAUGGCAUAGGGAAUCUCGUAUCUGCAGAUGAUAUUCUUCCAAAUAAAAUCCAUUGUCUUUCUCUCCGUGAUUUGGCUGAGGACUCCCACCUCUACCCACUUGGUGAAGUAGUCUAUAACCAUAAUUGCAUGUGUUGCCACUCCUCGGCCCUUAGGUAAUGGGCCAAUCAGGUCAAUUCUCCACUAAGCAAAAGGCCAUGGGGAUGACAUAGUGGUUAGCCUUUCUGGGGGCUGAGCAGGAACCUCUGAAAAGUUCUAGCAAACCUUACAAUUUUUUGCCAUUCUCUUCGCAUCAUGGUGCAUGGUCGGCCAAAAGUAUCACUACCGAAGUGCUUUGAAAGCUAAAGUUCUUGCCCCCGAAUGAUUGCCACAUAUUCCUUCAUGAAUUUCCCUCAACACAUAAUCUGCUUCCUCGUCAUCUAAGCAUCUCAAAAGGGGUAAGGUGAAUCCUCGACGAUAGAGUAUCCCAUCGAGUAGUGUAUACCUUGCUGCCCGACAUUUCAACUUCCUUACUUGCUUCCUGUCCUCUGGUAAGAUGUCCUCGCGGAUGUAUGAGAGAAUGGGGUCCAUCCAGGAUUUUUCGGUGCUUACCCGCAUUACUUCUGCUUCCUCCCCUAUGCUUGGCGAGGUUCUCACUUCCAGUAGAACUGACUUGGGUAAUUUUGGAUCUGCAAUUGCAACCAUUCUAGCCAACAUAUCUGCUCGGUAAUUUUUCUUCCGGGAUAUCUGCUUUAUUUCUACCUCUUGGAAGAGUUCAACCAUUUACUUCGCCUUCUCCAAAUAAAGCCCCAACUUCUCUUCCCUUACUUGGAAUUGAUCAUUGAGCUGAUUGCAGACUAGCUGGGAAUCUGCUCGGAGUUCUACCAUUUCUGCUUGUAGUGCAUGUGCAAGCUCGAGCCCAGUAAUGAAGGCCUCAUAUUCAGCUUGGUUAUUCGUGAGCUGGAACUCGAAUUUCACUGCAUAGGAUACCUCGACCCCUUCUGGGUUUCGUAUUACUACUCUUGCUCCGGAUCCCUGUUCACUACGUGACCCAUCAACCAUUAUCAGCUACACCCUCUUUGGAUUCUCCUGUUCCACUGGUUGCUCCUCCUGAACUUCUUCCACUGGUUCAACACGGUCAACCAUAAAAUCAGCUAGGGCUUGGGCUUUGAUUGCUCCUCAGGGUCUAUAAGAUAGGUCGAAUUCGCUCAGCUCCACUGACCAUUUUACUAACCGACCAGAUGCAUAUGGUUUUUGGAGUAUUUGCCGAAGGGGUUGGUCAGUCAUCACAAUUAUCGGGUGGGCCUAAAAAUUUGGUCUGAACUUGCGUGCUGCCGUUAUUAAAGCUAGUGCCCAUUUCUCCAUCAGUGGAUAUCUGGUUUUUGCGUCUACCAGGGUCUUGCUAGUGUAGUAUACUGAGUGUUGCUUUCCUUCAUCUUCUCUGACUAAUACCGAGCUAGUAGCCCAUUUAGAGAUUGCUAAGUACAAAUACAGCUGGUCACCCUCCCUCGGAGUCGAUAAUAACGGGGCGCGGGCCAGAUAUUCUUUCAGCUGCCCGAACGCUUCUUCACAUUCUGACGUCCAUUCCAUCUUCCUCUCUUUCUUUAUGUUUUGGAAGAAAUUGUGGUAUUUAUCUGUGGCAUUUAUCUGUGGCCCGUGAGAUGAGCCGGUUCAAUGCUGCUAAUUUCCCUAUAAGACUCUGCACCUCCUUAACUGUUCGGGGGGACUUCAUUUCUGUUACUACCCGUAUUUUUUCCGAGUUAGCCUCGAUCCCUCGGUGACUCACCAGGAAUCCCAAAAACUUGCCCGAGCCGACUCCAAAUGCACAUUUAUCCGGGUUCAGCUUCAUUUCAUACUUCUUCAGCAAUUCAAAGGUCUAUUCCAAGUGCUUCACAUGAUCCCUCAGUUCUUUAGACUUCGUGAUCAUAUCGUCCAUGUAUACCUCCAUAGUGUGACCGAUCAAUGGUUUGAAAAUCUUAUUCACCAACCUUUGAUAGGUAGCUCCUGCAUUUUUCAGGCCAAAAGGUAUCACCCUGUAACAAAACAAACACAUGUUAGUUAUAAAGGUGGUACUCUCUUCAUCCUGCUCGUUCAUGGAUAUUUGGUUGUAUCCUAAAAAGGCAUCCAUGAAGCUGAGCAGACUGUGACCCGCCGUUAAAUCCACCAAUUGAUCUAUUUUUUGUAGGAAAAAAUUGUCCUUCAGGUAUGCCUUAUUAAGGUCUGUGAAAUCCACACACAUUCUUCAUUUCCCAUUGACUUUCUUUACCAGCACUACAUUAGAAAUCUACUCCGAGUAUUUAGCCUCCCUUAUAAAUCCCGCUUUCAACAGCUUCUCCACCUCGGCAUUUAUGGCCUCGUACCUUUCUUGGUUAAAGCACCUCCUUUUCUACCUCACCGGUCUUGCCCCUUUCUUGAUUGCUAACUUGUGGCAAGCUACCCCGCGAUCAAUUCCUGGCAUAUCCUCAUGAGACCAUGCAAAUAUAUCUGUAUGGGACUGUAGGCAUUUCACCAGCUCGCCUUUUAUUUCUUCGCUUAAUCCUAACCCGACUUUAACCACUCUGCUCGGGUUACCCUUGCUCACAACAACCUCCUCCAACUUCUCAACAGGUUCUUGGCGUCCAUUUUUAGAAUCUCCUCGGUUAUCCAGAGAUGUAACAUGUAGUGUCUCCUUGGCCGUUGUAGCGUAACAGUUCCUCGUCAUUCUCUGGUCACCUUUUACUACGCCUACAACUCCGUUGACUCUGUAUUUCAACGCCAGAUAAUGCAUAGAUAUAACGCAGGCUAAUCCUCAUGAAAGGUCGUCCCAAUAUCAUCUGAUAAAGACUUCUCUCUUCUACCACGACAAAGUCCAGCAUCACUGUUCUUUCAAACGGCUUUGAUCCUACAUUAACCGGGAGCUCGAUGAUCCCCAUGGGGGUUAACCGUCCUCCUCCAAAUCCCUUCAAGAAUGUAUUCGUCCGUUUCAGUUUUAAGUCUGAAAUUCCCAUAUCAUCUAGGGCCGACUUAAACAGUAUGUCAACCGAGCUGCCCGUGUCCACCAGUAUUCGCUGUAAUUCUGUACCAGCCACCAUUGUCUUAAUCACCAAUGCAUCCUCAUGAGGAUAUAAAAUACCCUUUUCGUCGUCAUUUGUCCACAUAAUGGGAACUUGCCUCACUUUCGCCCUCUUGGCUGCUGGCAAAUUGAAAAACACUUCUUUACUGGUCAUGGCGUAUCUCCCAUAGCUCUUCCGUGCCAUGUUCGAAUCCCCAGCCAAUGUUGGCCCCCCUGCUAUCAUACGGAUAGUUGGCUGUUCACGUUCCAGGCUCCUCUCAACUCCUUCAUCCCGCUUGUACUGUGAUUCAAUGACGGGGGACACUCCAUCUACAUAUUCAUCAAGGUACCGAUUCCUCACCAAAUCCUCCACCUGAAUCUUUAAGUCACGACAUUGGCUGAUAGUGUGAUCAUGAGUGUCGUGGAAUUUGCAGAAUCUGCUCUUAUCACGUUGGUGAGCAGGUUUUGUUAUAGAGGCUGGAGGGUACAGCAGGCCUCGUCCCUCGAUCCUCUCGUACAACUCCUCCAUAAGGACUUUUAAUGGGGUGUAUUGUCUAUAUGCUAAGCUCUGGUCAAUCAGCUGGACUGCUCGGCUAUCAUAGAUAUCGUCCCGAGCUGAUAUUGUAGGUAGCUGACCUGGUCGCCCAGCUCUGGAGUUGGUGGUAUGUAAUGCCUUGGGAGCGUUGUGAUAAGGUUGGGCAGCCAACUGCCGGAAUUCUCGUUGCUGCUCCGAGAAUAGGGGGCGCGGAGGCCGAGCUCGGCUGUGUUGGAACUGUUGCGAUCUCUGAGCCAUGGGGUAAGGGCAAGACCGAGCGGAUAUUGCGUCCAUCACUGAGGAUUCCCCAGCUCGCUUUCCCGACCCGCUCCUACUUGGGAUUCUCCUUUCCUUUUGUCUCAGCUCCUCCAGCUGUUCCCUUUUUAUCCUCGUCGAUUUUUCUUCUUCGAUUUCUAUAUCUCUCCUCGCCUGCUCAUACCCCGCCGAAUAAUUCUGCACCAGGGGACUUCUCAAGUUAUACCAUAGUCGGCCUAUCCUCACACCCUCUUUUAAUCCCCUUAACGCCUGCGGAUGAUUAAAAGCUCCCAAAUCAAGCACGACCCGGUGGUAUCAUUUUACAAAAUCCCGAAGGGAUUCAUGUUCCUCCUGCUUCAUCCCCAUCAAUUCCAUCGUAUCGUCCUCUGGGGUCACUGCUCCUCAGAACUGCUCGGCCAACUCUUAGCACAUCUGCUCGUAUCCUUUAAUACUUCCUCGUGGCAGCUCGCGGUACCAUUCUCGGGCUCGUCCCUCUAGUGUCAAUGAAUACACCCUACAUCUCUGAGCUGGUGUUAGCCCCUGCACACCUGUCAUGUCGUUGAAACGUUCAAUAUGCACCAGCGGGUCACUUCGCCCGGAGUAUUUGAGGUCGGGGAAGCGAAAAUCUCUUGGGAUUACAGUACCCAUGAUCUCGGCUAAUAACGGAAAUUCUUCAUCUAGCAUUAUCCUCCAACUCGGGGACUUUCUCUUUCCCUGAAUCUCAUCCAUCACCUGCGCCAAUCUGCGCACCUCGCCUUCCAAUUCUACAGCACGGUCAGGAUCGCGCGCAGCUAUCUGAUCUCGCUCCUGCUCGCCAUUCAGCAACCGUUGUCUGAGCUCUCCUUCAUCAAUAUUGGCUCCUCGGCCAUCAAUUUCCAGUACCCGUCCGGAGCGAGGUUGGCCUCUCCAUUCAUCUACGCGCUCCCCUGGAAUCUGACAAGUACUUCUAUAGGGAUGUGCCCCAUAGGGUUAGUCUAUCGGUAGAGGGAUCUCCUCGACUCUACGCCUCCGGAGGCUGGGUUCUGCCACAACUUCAUCUCUCCCCACAGGGGUUUCACAAUCCCUUCUUCGUUCACCCCCUCAGCUCAUACAAUAUGGCCGCGAGAGUCUCCAUUUGUUUCUCCAUCCGCUCUAGUCGAUCUUGCAUCAUCCUCUCUCGAGCUUCAUUCGCAAUCUCCCGGAGAGUGAUUGUCUCAACAGUUUCAUUGUCAUCCCCUAAGGCACCCUUCCUUAAAACAUCCAUAACCGAUUGUUUGUGUGCUUCCUCUGAUGACUAUUAGUUUGGUGGUAGCUUUUUAUCCAACUCCCCACAGACGGCUCUAAAAUAUUGAUGCUGAAAUCUACUCAUCCUUUGUCCGACCAGAUCUUUACACCAACGCUUAUGUGGUCAGUAGAGAAGAUGUCAAUUUCUUCUUGCUUCAACGAUCGCUCAAGUCACUGAAGUUGGAAUUGCCCUUCCUUCUCCUACUAAGCCUGCGUUCACAAAAGUGGAUCAGAGACGCCGGUGGUUUUACCAGCGUAAACCCUCCGAUGCCUAAGUUAGCACAAGGUGUUUACGGAAAAACAGUGCAAUUUAGACUCGGUAAUUUGCUUAUAAUUUGCUCACAGUUUGUAUAGAAAGUGGUCUGGUUUCAAUUUGGCAGAGCUUUCCCUUCUCUCCAUUUUUUCCCUCCCCUUCUUUAUUGGUUUCUUCCUCUUUUAUAGCCACUGUCCCACAUAUCCGUUCACCCUCCAUCCCCCACUUUCUCGGAUAGUGGCAGCCCCUCAUGGGACUCCAACUACUACAUUGUGGGUAAACGUGGUAUACCGUGUCUCCCUCAACGGUUCUUAACAUAGCGCAACUAUCGCAAUUUCGUGAGGUCGUGUGCCCGCUCUUUGGGGAAUGGGUAUCUACUCGGUAUACGUCUCUGGUCGGUACUCGUCUCUGGUAGGCCCACGUUUGCAGAAGGCUCUCUAUCAGUGUUCCGCUCGUACCAUUUAGCCGAGGUGGUUCACCCCGGGAUGGGAGACGACGGCAUGGCUGAGCUGAUGCUCUUAAUUCCUCAACAUUUUCUAUAACUAUUUUAUAUUUUUUAAAAUUAAAAACCACCAAAGGGUAGAGGGUUAGGCGAGUCUUCCUUAUCUGUAGAUUAAAUAAUAAAUUAAAUUACAUUUAAAGGGAACAUAAACCAAAACCUCCAAUUAAGGGAACAAGCACAAAUAACAAAUGGAAAAGUAGCAAAAGCAAUAAGAGAAUAAAUAAGAAACUAAAGAAUUAAUUAUUGCAAACGCCCAAAGAAAUGGAAAAAUAGCAAAAGUAAUAAGAGAAUAAAUAAGAAACUAAAGAAUUAAUUAUUGCAAACGCCCAAAGAACUGCUUACGAUACUUGCGACCACUUACUAAUUUGAAACCUUUUCUAGAACUAGAGGUAUGGGGUCAGCAACACUGAAGUUAGAGUCAAGAUCACGCCCCCCACUAUCCUCAGGUUCAAAUGCGAAAUACUCAUCAGCCACAAGAUUCUUAUUAGAGCUAAACUCUUCAUCAGAAUGAAAAGGGAUAUCUAUAUGAUGGGAAUUGAAACCCACAACCAUGCAGCGAAUAUCAUCCAAAGAAGAUUAGAAAACAGUAGAGCCGAUGGAUGCCCUAUGAACACUCGGGUCAUCCAAAAAUGAAGAAAGAGGAUUAGCGACCUCGGCGCAUUAAACAACAUCUCUCAAAACAGCAGAAUCCUUUGGACCAUUGUCAUCCUAAACUCUCAGCCAGAAAACUGAAUCAGACUCAUCAUCCUUAGUAUUUGGAGCAACAGGAACAAGUGACCGAGCAUCCAAAGAAGUACCCUCAUUGCCACCAAGCCUGAUAGACAGCAAAUGCAUGAGCCACGAAGAUCUGGAAGAAUGCCAAAGCCAAAUCCUAGGUUUGCUACGUGAGGGCAUGAGUCCCAUGCAACCCAUGCAUGAAACAUGCAUGUGCUGAGAUCGUGAAGAUACGUGCUGGAGCUGGAGCUGGAGCCGUGAUUUAGGAAUACGCUUAUCAACGAUUGUGCAGCGAGUAAGGAGGGAAGCUAAGACACGGAAGUUGUUUUCGAUUAUCUUUCGGUUUCAAAUUCUUAGCUAAGUUGUUAUACUCGUUUAUUUAGCCGUAAUUGUAGGAUGGAAACCAAAGUCUUCUUAUUAUAAAUAAGCUCCAGAAUACAAAUAAAAGUAUUGAGAAUUCUAAACAACAAUUAUUUGGUCCUUUCUCGCCGUAAGUAGAAAAAUAUCACUUAUGUUACGCGUGAUCAUUGGCUGUCUCUGACUGGGACCUAUCAAAGCCUUAAAGGCCAAAUCUCCUCACUGAAAAGAGUCUGCGGAGCCAAACCCGAAGAUUGACCCUGGACAAGAACAGGCCCUGUGUUCGAUUAUCCUCAGCAACCACAUACUGCGUAGCACAAUCCACCCUUAGGCUGUACAUCAACAGCUGACAUAGACAUCUUUCUUUUAUCUCAAACAACAGUAUUCUGCACCUGCCCAACAGGUUGUUGGGGCUUCCAAAGCCUAAGAUUGGUAACAAAACAAGCAUCAGCAGAGUGCCCAAGAUGUUUACACGUAGCUGCACCUGGCCAACAUGCUCUUUCCAUUAACAUUUCGGACUGCCUAACCCAUAUACGGGAGUAAUCUUCUUUAAGUUGAAGCUUGAUCAAGGCGUGCCUAUUAUCUAACAAUGAAACCAGCAUACUACCUUGCAAACUUAGAGAGACAAUAAACUUUCUAAUCACAUCCAUUGGAGUGCGACUAAAAGAAAACUUACCAACAAGGGAUAACUUGAAAGGCUCGGCCAGGGACUGAAUUUUUGCUGUCGAAAAGUAAAUAGCAGGUUCCCCCAAAAGCAAAGAAACCGACUUACGGGAUUGAACGGUAGUAGAGCCAGAAAAAGUAUCGACGAAUGACUUUGAAAGCCAUAAGGUAGCAGCAGGGUUGAGGACAGUCGCAGGAUUAAUAACGGAGGCAUAUGCAGGCUUAGCCGAUGGAUUGAGAUUACGACCAAGGGUGGUGGGGGCUGAUCGGUUUUGAGUUGAAUGAAGUGGCUGAGUUGAAUGAAGUAGCUGAGUUGGGGGAGAUAUGGCUGUUUGGCUUGGGUUUGGUCUUGGGCGAGGGUUGAAUGUGACGAAUUAGAGCUUGGGUUAUAAAGAGGCAGCUGGCUGGGGUUAUAAAAAGGCCAGGUGGCGGCUGUUGGGUGUGCGUCAGGUCCAAGGAAGGUUCCGUCGACAAGGACUCACCACCAGUGGAGCUCGUAACGUGGUGACGGUGUGGAGCAGAUUUUAGAAGGUUUGCCGUGAACUAGGGUUUGCGUUUAAACGUGGUGGUGGCUUUUGUAGGGGCUCUUGAUCGGAGAAGAAGUUAUUAGCAUUGAGGGACGGUUCCGGCGGUGGUAAAGCACCAUCAGCGGCGGACAGUGUGGCCAUGGGAGGCCGGUCAAGGUUCGGUCAAGGUUCUGCACGUUCUUCGUUAUUUUCAAACUAAAGCCCACUGCACUUCCUACAAUGCAUUUUAAACUGAAGCAAGCGUGUUAUCACUAUUUUGUUCGUCUAUCAUUCUUCUUCGUUAAUUUGACAAGUCAUUAGACUUAUUAUUUAUUUUAUUUUUAUCCAUUUUUAAAGUACGAAUAAAUUAAUCUCUAUAAUUGUGAUUCCAUCAACAAACUGGCCUUAGAAAUAAUCUCUCUAAUUCUGAUUUUGAGACAACCAGAUCGACUUCUCCUAUGCUAGGAAGCUCCAAAGUAACAAGAAUGACAACAAAAUAAUGACCCUAGGGAAUAAUCUCUAAUUUCCUUUUUCCUUAAGCGUGCAACCAAAAAAUUUACCAAUUAGCAAUCUGAUAAAAAAGGUUGCUACAGUUCCUUAAUGCACAAACUAGAGUUCUGAUUAAAACAAAUUAGGAAAAAAAAAUAAUAACACGCAAAUUUAUUUGGAUUCUGAAGUACAUGAAAUCAACUCCAUGAUUUGAUGAAUAAUAUCUCAUGAAAGUAUCAGAAACGGCAAAGUUCAACAGAAACUAAUGAGUUUAGCGCAUAACCAGAAAAUUUGAACAAGAUUGUUUGAGCUUCAGUAUGACACAAACACAAUAAUCAUGAGCCGGCUUUCCACUGUAGAUUUUUGAAGCAUCGCUCAUUUUGCAAGAGCAGGAACCUCAGCUAUGAGUCUUUAAAAUGCUAUCUUUGAAAGUGAAGUGAUGUAUCAACCAUCUUCAAUAGAAUUGUAUAGUAUGAUAAUAAUCAACAGUCCAAUCAAGCUUGAAACGGAGAAAGGAGCACAGGAGUCCCUUAAGCAAGAGUGUGCGGCUAGUGGUCAGUUGAUACACCGGGUUAAUUAUACGAGAGCUGCUGAGGAGCAACAUCACGAAUUUAAGGCAAUAAUCAGAACUUUUGUUCGCUUCCAUAUUUUGAAGAAUAGAGAAGAUCGUCUAGUAAACAACUUAUUCUGUUUUUCUGCAUGUAAAUCUUGACAGGCUCCAUUUAUUUGAUAUUGUUGACUGUGACAUGUACCUGAUCUCCAAGGAAAUAUGAAGCUAGGUCAGUGAUUCAGGACUUGUAAUAACAAUUUGUCAAUUUCUGACAACCUUAACUCCAAAAUCUUUCAGGUUUCUAGAUUCCAUCAAAAUUAGUAUAUAUAGCUUCACACUUCAUAUACCAGGUAAAUUGUCCCUGCUAGAUGAAACUCUUAUCAUUGAAUAAGCAAUACAUUGUUGAAUAGCACUUUUCUGCAGACAAAUUCUUGAUUUGCCCUCACAAAUUCAAUCCUCAACCCUGAAUUUAACCUGCCAAAAAUGAAAAAGUAUCAACCUAAUCACCCUCCAAUUACUCUAUUAUCGUGUAAUAUAGAAAGUAUCAACCCAAUCACCAAUUUCUAACAACCUUAACCCCAAAAUCUUUCAGGUUUCUAAAUUCCAUCAAAAUUAGUAUAUAUACCUUCACAUUUCAUAUUCUAGGUAUAAUUGUCCCUCCUUGAUGAAACUCUUAUCAUUGAAUAAGCACUGCAAUGUUGAAUAGCACUCUUCUACAGACAUUCUCGAUUUGCCCUCACAAAUUCAAUCCUCAACCCUGAAUUUAACCUGCCAAAAACGAAAAAGUAUCAACCUAAUCACCCUCCAAUUACUCUAUUAUCGUGUAAUAUAGAAAGUACAAACAUCUCAUACCUAGGAAUGUUGGACAACUGUACAAUGUAGGUGAUUGGGUUCUGGGCAUCCCACUAAUAUGCCUAAAACUCUCUCACAGUGUUAGGCAUAUGUUCCUCCAUAGACAGUGAUGCUACCCACAUGACAUAAUAUUGUUUUUUUUUUAAUAGCAUAUCACAAAUCUUAUGCCAUGUUAAGAAGCAGAAAAAGUACAUAACUUUAAAGCCAGAGACAUGCAUAAAUUGAAGAGGCCGCAUCGAAAUGCAAACCUGAGAGCAUAUGGGAUCAUGCCUAAGAACCGAUAAGUUGCUACUAGUUGCAGAAAGGUUGUGCUAUCAGUCAGUAUGAUUCUACGGUUCAAAAAAAUUUUACUUGCCUUACUUCUUAUUAAAAUUUACUAUAAAUCAUUUCCCAUCAGCCGGCUUUGGAUGCACCCUUGCAUCAUCCUCUCUAGCUUGUUUUUUGCCUUUCACCUGCAGAACAUGGUUUCAGUCAAAAUAGAAUAUUUUCUUAACAAGUUGGGGAGAAAAUAGUAAAAGCACAUUGUGAUAUUUCGAAAUGCUCAUCAGAUAUUAGCUUACGAUUAAUGAUAUUUAAUUAAAAAAAAAAAAGAUAGGUGGUAGAUUCCAACUUAAUUCAUUAACAUUCUAUGACUGUUUAAAAAUUCGUGCAAAUACCAAGUACACUUACUAAAUUAAUUGUAAAAUGCGCGAUAAAAUAAAAACAUUGACAUAAUCUAAGGAUGUUAAAUGAUCUGAUCAAGUAAAUUACUUUUCUGAGUAUCAAAAAUGUGCCAGUGGUCAAUUCCUCCAUCUUUAAAGAAUAUAUACCAAAAAAGUCUAUUGUGAAGUCUUCCACUCUUCUCCAGCUAAUCAAAUCCUGCUAUACUCUCUCUUGUAUGACCCUGACCCAUAUAGCCACCAUGAUGAGAAGUUUUCAUGUCUCUUGAGAUUGAAUAUCUACCCCUGUAAUAUUAUAUUGUGAUUGAAUAUCUACCCCUGAAAUAUUAUGUUGUGAUUAUUAGCGAGCAUGUUGAAAAGCAGAAAUGAUGGAUAGAUGGGGAGAAGAUUACACGAGCUGCCAAAGGCCAAUUACCUUGUUCAGAUUUCACACAUCAAUGUCAGAAAUGAAUUAUUCAAGAAAACAAUGGCAUGAUAGUGAUGAACGAUGGUGAAACAUAAGACUUGAGUGGGUUGAGGAGAACAGAUUUGGAACAAUUGUGUCUUUGCAGUAACAGUUUCUUCUCAUGCCUGCAAAAUUUUCAGCUAAUUUAGUUGAGUAGAUGGAUACAUACACUCUGUAGUCUGUACAAGUAUCACAGUAUAAUAAUCACUACUGAAAAGUUAUAUGGAAUUGAAUUCGAGCAGACAAAUUUAAUCCAAAAUGUUCAACCUAUAACUAUUUUCCAUAAAUAUUUUGGAACAAACUGAUAUACAUACAAAAGUUGACUUGAUGGAAACAAGAAAUCCAAAAGAUUAAAAACAAUGGUUGCUAAGUCAAAAGAAUAAGCACAACAUAAUUUGAUGCCAAAUUUUGUUACCUAUUAAAUUACAAAAAACUGAUUUUAAAGAAAAAGCAAUUACCUGUCCAUUAGUUCCAACUGUAGCUGUCUGAAAAAUCAAGGUCUACCUCUUUUCACAAAUUCAAAAUUAAUUAUGAUGCUAGGGAUUCGAGAAAUUUUGUCCCAGUCCUCUCCUGUCUCAUUGUAACGCUCUUCCAGAACAGUGCACCAAUUGAUAGUCAAUUCCUCCAGUGCAUCUGUUUGAAGAAUGUGGCCUGGCAGUGCCUUCAAUUUGGGACAGUGUACAAGUGACAAGAAACGAAGACAUGGCAUGAUUGUCCCACAAUCCCAAUCUUCCCAUUCUUCCAUGUUUACAAACUUAAGAGAUUUCAAUUUGGGGAAGACAAUAUCUGAUGAAGAUGAUGACGCAUCAAUGCUUCUUAUUCCCAGAAGUUCGUUACCUACUCUCACACUCCGCAUACUGCUUAUAGAGAGUGAUUCAAGAGAUGAAAGUUUUCCCAGAGGAGGCAAAUGAUCCAAAUUGGUGCAACCAUGGAGAUUUAACGUCCUCAACACACUCAAUGACAUUAUGCAAUCAAGGUAGCUGGCGUUGCCUUUGUAGCCUCUAAUCUCCAGAAACUCUAAAUUUGGAGGUGGUUGUAAGGCUUCAAGAACUCUUUCAUCUGUAAACAUCCUACUUUCAUCAUCCUUAUUCAUCCUAAGUUCCUCUGCAUCAUUUUCAAAAUUUAGAUACAAACGAAUGAUUUUUCUUUUGUUCUGCAGAUUUGCUUCCUUAACCACACUGAAAUCUGUAACACUUCCCAAAUUUUUUACACUAAGAGACCCUUGAAGGUGGUUCAAGUUUUUUAAACUUGCAAGGGUGCAUGCUUUGCCAUCACCACUCACAACGAAUUCACUUAAUGUCCGAAGACUAGUCAAUCUUUCAAUUCCUCUUGGUAUGUAACUUAGUGACGUCUCAACAUUUACAAGAUGCCUUAGUCUGAUUAACUUCUCCAUUCCUUCAGGUAACUUUCUGAGAUUGGUACACCAACUGAGCUCUAAAGUUUGUAAAUUAAUUAGCUCACACAAUUUCUCAGGCAAUUCUUUCAUUUUUAGUGAGGACAAAUUAAGGUAUCUCAAAAGAAUCAGUCUCUCUAUCCCUUCUGGAAUCGUUAUUAUCACUUUUUCCCACCAAAAUUGUCCACUUAGAUCUAAUGCCCGUAAAGAUGUCAACUCAUUGAAAAUUUUUGGUAGUACCUCACUAAUUGAUGAACAGUUUGUAACUCCAUAUUGAAUCAAGAGGCUGCGAACUCUUUUAGCUCCACAGAUGGAGACAGGAAAAGAAACAGCUUUAUUGAGAGCCAACAUUAAAUGACGAAGCUUAUAACCAUAACUGAUGUUUGUUGCCUGAAGACCAUCAUUAGCUUCCAUAGUAAGACUUUCAUUCUUAGCUAGAUAUUGGGCAAAAUCAUGCACUAUGCCAUGCAUCUUACAUGAUAAAAUCUUACCAUUAUCAUCUUUUUCAAAGUCUUGGAAUAAAGAUUGCAUCGCUAACAAGUCAAAAUACUCUUCACCAAUUAUCUCCAUCUCCUCUUCACUUUCUCUCUUACCAAGAUAACCUUGAGCCAUCCACAAUUUAAUCAAUUUAUCUUUAUUGAUUUGGAAAUCUUUUGGAAAGAUGGCACAAUAUAAGAAACAACUUUUAACAGUAGAGGGCAAAUCAUUAUAACUCAACAAUAAAGGGGCAAAAGGUCCCAUCUCAACCCACAGUUCACUUUCGAAGAUCAUUUGCCACUCGUCAAUAGUAUUUCUAGAGCGCAAAAGCAUCCCAACAGUCUUUAUAGCAAGAGGUAAGCCGUUGCACUUGCGCACAAUAUCUCUCCCAAUUUCUUCAAGAUGUUCACGCUCCGGAGGAGAUCUACCAAAAAAUGCAAUAUGGCAAAACAAUGACCAACUUACAUCUUCAGUAAAUUCCCUAACCAUGAUAAUGUCGGUUGAUUUCAUCACACGAGCAACUGUUUCUUUACGUGUGGUAAUCAAAAUUUUGCUUCCAUGGAGACCAUUCUUUAGACAGUGAAAUAAUGGUUCCCAUUUAUAGUAAUCUUCAGUCCACACAUCAUCUAAGACAAGAAAAAAUUUCUUACCCACAAUACACUUGCUAAUAUGUAGCAUCAGAGAUUGAAAUUCCACAAAAUUACCGACGCUGCCUCCUAGAGAGCCAACAAUUGAUUUGGCAAUCGUGAACUCAUCAAAAGUGGCAGAUACACACACCCACAAUUUUGUGUUGAAAUGUCUCCGCGUCUCAUCACUAUUGUAGGCCAAUUGAGCAAGGGUAGUCUUCCCAAUCCCUGCCAUACCAACAAUUGAGAUGAUAUGGAGGCCUCUUAUUUUUUCGCUACUCUCGGACAACAACUUGCUUAUUAAAGUAUUCUUCUCCUCAUCUCGACCAUAUACUGCUGAUUCGUCAACUAGAGAGGUAGUUUCCAGUCGUUUUGAUGGCCCAACACUCCUACUUACAUUAAAACCAAACAUAUCUCUCUGUUUGGCAAUAUCAUCUACACAUUCAUUUAACUCUUUUAUCUUGAUAGCAAUACCACGAUGCAAACCGGCUCGAAAAUUGAAACAAAAGCAAGCAGCAGGAAGGAAGGAACACACCUUCUGAGAAACAAGAGUUGGAGCACUCUCAUGAUCAUCAAGUACUCCCUCGAUUUGCAAUUUGAGCCUAGUAGUGAUCCACUCAUCCAACACAUCUUCCAUGUCAUAACAUGCGUCUUUGAGCUGAUCCAGCCAAAGUCUGACAGCUUCCUCCUUCACUUGCCUCUGCUCUGCAUCUGCAAGAAAGGCUUGGCUGGCUUGAAAAUUGGAUACGAGCCUUUUCACCUCUUUGCCGUCACCCACAAUAAGCCUCCCCUCCUCUCUAUUCUCUUCAGUAGAUAUUGAAACCAGCAGCUCCAAGAGACGGGAAACAGCUGCGUCAGCCAUAUUCGAAAUCGGAGAUCGUAAAUGAAUGAAGGAAGACGGGAAAUUUGAGUUGAACGGAAACUACGGACUGGAUCUUAUGCUGUCAACAAUCAAAAAGCACGGAAAAGGAGUGUGAUUGAUAUUAUUUUUGAUUUCCCAUUUCUCUUUAAAAGAAAAUAUUGGGAAAAUUAACCUUUCACUAUUUCCGGGUUCAGCUGCGGUGCAACAGUAGUAUAGUACCAUUUUUUUUAGUCUUUUAUGAUAAAUAUUUAUAUAACCCCUUUUACUCAUUUUUAUUUAAACUUUGUUUCACAAAUAUUAUAUUAAUUUCUACUGUAUUCAUAUAAAUAUUUUAAUUAACACCUUAUACUAUUUAUUAUGUGUAAAUUUUUAUUCUAUAUUACAUAUGUAUCACAAUAACCCUCUUUUUAUAAUUUUGAGAUUAAAUAAUUAACCCGAAAAAAUCGGGUCGACCUGAACUCGCGAAGCCGAUUCAGAUGCCUCUGUUUCUAUUUUCGGCCACUCCAUUGGCCAACGUUGGUACCGAUCGGAAGCUCGUACGACACUGAUCAUCUCUAUGUCAUCCUUAUCGCCGGAAAGCAUUCGAAAAGCUGCCGUGAAAAGCUACGGAAUCGCCGCUUCAAUUCGCCGCAAUUUUGUCAGUUUCCGGUGACGGCACCACCUGGGUUUUGUUCCCCACAAUUCCCUCUAUCUUUUUCGACCAACCACAGCCACCGAGAGAGCCGAUUUGUCGUUGAUUGGCCGUUAAAGGAUUCACAUGGAUGCAGUAAAAAUUAACUUAAUAUUUGUAAAGCAAAAGUUAAAUAAAAAUGAGUGAAAGACGUAAUAUGAAAAUUUCCCACAAAAGACAAAAAGAAAUGGUAUAGAACCACUGUUGUACCACCCCACUAUUUGUGUUUUAUUAUGUCUACACUAUUUAUGUUUUAUUAUCCAUACUUUUAAUCACUAUAAAAUUUUAACGUGUUUUUACACCACUUUUAUUUUUAAACUUAUCUCAAUCAACUAGACACUAAAAAACAACUAUUUGACUCUUAAAUAAAUUAAAAAAUUAUUUUAUUUUAUAAAAUUUUGAAAAAAUUAUAAUAAAAAUACUCUUAAAUUUAAUAAAAUAAACAAAUCUCAAAUUCAAUACGUUAAUUUUUUUAUAAUUAUAAUUUUAUUAAAAAAUUAUCAUAUUAUUUUUUGUAAUUAUAACUUUCUUUAAUUUGUAUAAGAAAAUUUUUUAAUAUUAAUUAUAAAGAAGUUUACAACAAUUACAAAGCUUUUCUCAUUAUGUUAAUUUUUGUAAACCUUCCUAUAUUUAAUUUACUAACAAAAAUUAAAUGAAAUUAUAAUUAUAAAAAAUUAUAAUUACAAGAUAUUAAUUUUUUAUAAUUAUAAUUUCAUUCAAAAAUUAUCAUCUUAAAUUUUGAGAUUUAUUUGUUUUGUUGAAUUUAAGGUAUUCUUGUAAUUAUAAAUUUUUUUAUUUUUUAAUAUUUUAUAGAAUAAAAUAAUUUUUAAUUUAUUUAUGGAUAAAAUUAUUUUUAAUAUAAAAGUAAUUAAUUGAUAGAAGCUUAAAAAUAAAAAUAAUAUAAAAAAUAUAUCAAAAUUUUAUAGUAAUUAAAUACACAUGUGAAAAAAAUGGUACGUAAAUAAUUUUUAAAAGUAAUACAAAAGUCAAAUAAAUACGUGUUUGGUGGGCCAUCAUUACUUUUGCACUAUUCUCAUAAAUUUUCCUUUUUUUUUGGCCCCAAAAAAAGCAUAAACAACCUACCGUUGUUCUCUAAUUUUCAUUUUUCAUGGUCCCACGUUGGAUGUAUUUAUGACUUUAGGAUAUCAUAUUAUAUAUAAGGACUCACCAACGUUGCAAUUGUGGUAACAUACCACAAUUUUUGUCCUUAUCCAAUAUAAUCAUUAGAUUUAAAAACAACAGAUCGAACGCUUCAGAGAUGGCCACGUUUGUGUUAAAGAAUACCGAGCAAGCCGGUUAAGAAAAGGUAAAUUUACAUGUAAUAAAAUCUGUAACGCACAUCUGAAAUCGCACGGUGACUGUUGUGUAGAAGGAAAUUUGACGAAUUUAUGAAGCUAAGCUGAUAAUCGAAAGGAGCCCUUGGCAAAGGCCAAAUAGAUGAAAGAAUCGAGUCCCAGAGACGAUAAAUACGAUCAGAGAAAGAAAAAAAAUUAGGUGAGUCGAUGCUUCACACAUUUUGUGAAGAGGGCAAGUGCCCUAAUUUGCGGGGGUGCUGGUCUGCCGGCAAGAUGGGCUUUACAGACAAAUUAUGAUCCUCGGCGAUACUUGUACUCGCAGUUGUAGGUAAUUAUUCGGAUUUAUUAAAUGGCAUCUGUGUUAUUAGGAAUCUGGAAUGUCUGUUAAUUAGGUUGAAUUGAUUAUAAAUAUAAGGAUUUGCAAUGUGAAGAACUCGUUUGCGCAUCCACCACUUAAUCUUUUAGAGCCCACGAAUGUUGCUGAGGUAAUUGCGUGGUGGGGUUUGGAUUAUCUGGUGAUUACUAGUGUUGAUAGAGAUGAUUCAGCUGAUCAGUGAAGUGCUCAUUUUGCUCAAACGGAGCGAAAGUUGAAAGAAUUGAAGCAGAAUAUGCUUAUUGAAGCAUUGGGUAAGAAUUCUUAGUAUUUAAGUGUCUUUGAUUGUGUAGUUCUUGACUAUCACAGAAACAAUGGGUGUGUAGGGGCAAGUCGCCUAGUCGGGUCUAUAUGAUUUUGCACUUAUGAUUUUUUAAAAUCAUUUUUGCAUGCUGUAAUUUGUAUGUAGUUAUAUGCUUUUUGGCCUUUGAAGAGCAUUGUAUUUGAAGUGGAACCCUCUCUGCUUUCUGAACAAGGAGCUUUUAUUUAUUCAUUCACACUGAAUUAUUUUGUGUAAUUUUAGUUUUAUAGAAAAUGUUCAAUGGUGGGAGAGUGGAAGUUUGGACUUAGGUGAACUUCUCUACGCAUUUGAAUUAAGAUGUGCCAUUCCAGUUCGGUCAAGGGUUGGUAGACAUGUGUAAUAGCAAGGGAAUUGUAUGGUAAUAUUAUUUAUUUUGCAAUUCAUGUUAGCAAUUCAGGUUAAUGGCCUUUCUGAACCUACAUUUUUUUUGUUUUGGGGGGGGGGGGGGGGGGGGGGGGUGUUUAUUCUACCAAGUAUUCAACCCACAGCCUGUCAUCCCAUAAAUUCAUCCAACCCAAAUCAAAUUGAGAAGGCACUUUUAGAUGUUCACAAUCAGACUAUAUAGCAAGGAAAAGAGCAUCAGCUGUUGAUAAUUAUUUAAACUAAUGUUAGCGGAUCAUAUGUGAGUGAUAAAUUUAAUCCAUGAUUAAAUAUUUAUAUCAGCAUUGAUUUUAUUAAGCAUUAUCGGCUUUGUGCUUAUAGGAAGAAUUAAGUUUAUGAAACGGAACUUGGGAUUGUUUCACAAUGCUGUUAGCCUAAGCGGGCAUCAAGGCUCAAUAGUCAAUAUGUAGUGUUUUGAAAAUGUGGCUCUUGAAAUCAAUGUGAAGGUUUGGUUUAUUCUGGUUAAUAUGGCGAUAACAAUACAAGGGUUAGUGGAAAAACAUGCUGGAGAUAAUUUCUUUUUGCAAUUUAAUUCCAGUCUUGAUUUGUUGGAAUUACUAUAAUUUUUUUCCAAAAAAUUAAAUUUUGAUGUUCAAGAAUUUUUUUUUAGGUUGGAAGUGCCAAAUUUCUUGUUAAAUUGAUAGGUUUGCUUUUAUGCUUCUGUUUGUCUUUUAUAGGGCGCAUGAUCCACUACUAAAAGCUCACUACAAUCAUGGAGUAACAACAAAAAAUGGCUUGUUCAACUUAACUCAUGCCCGCGCUUUGAACUAAGUGACUUUAUUUGGGAAUAAUUGCUUUCAUUUCUAUUAAUACAUGUUGUAAAUAUUGUCUAACCCCAACUUUACUUUUAUUACAAAGAUUCAGAAUAUUAAUUUUCUGUAUGCUUAUAUGUCAAUAUGUUUGCAUAUUUAGAAUGUUUUGCGUGCAAAUGACCUGUAAGAACUUCACCAUUAUAAGGCCACCAACCUUUGUAAUCUGGAUACAAUCAAAUGAAAUAUAGGCUGUAGUUAUCUUACAUGAUGAUGUAAGAAACAUGACUCUUCCACAGCCGUUUGAUGAAAAUUCAUGUUUUUUACAUUAUCACGUAAGAUAACAAGUUCCUUAAGUAUAAUAAAUGCUUACUACUUUUGCUUAUUUCCUUUCCUUGUUCACUUGACUUCUUUCAACUAAAACUUUAAAGUUUUUCUUACUUGCAAUUAUUCCAUAAACUUAGGCUACUUCUAUAAUAAAUCCAUAACAAUAUAGACAAUAUAACCAUUAUACAGAAUUUUUAAAGAAUACAAAACCAAAAAAAAAAAAAAAGAACUCUCGAAACAAUCUACUGUGCAUAGACCUUUUUUUAUGUGCAAGAAUUAACUGUGUGCGUCUUAUAGACACAAUAUUAGUGUAACAAAAGUGAGGUCCCAGUCAUUCCGUUGACUUGGUGUCAAUAUCACCAUCUCCACUGAGAGCAGAUAGGCAGAUGUUAAUUCACCACUUGGGAGUCUAAACAGAUAGUCAUUCAUCUGAGAAGUGGACAUGCCAUUAGUCCCAAUCUGUUGCCAAACAACAUAAGUGCAGAAACCACAACAGAUGAAAGUUUUUUGUCCAAAGCUUAAGCAGAUCAUGGUAUUCAGCAAAUGUGGGGCAAGACUUAAAUGAAAGAUAAAAGAAUGGUAAAUUUUGCACCCAAUAAUAGCCAAUUUGGAUGUCAUCUGAGCACUAUCUAAAACAUCACAAAAUACCUAUAAGGUGAUAGCAUAUGCUUUCCCAUAAUUGCAUAUCAUGUCGAAAAAGAUCAAAAAAUACCUGCAUCGAGCUGGAAGGAAAAUCUUAAUAUGCAAGGAUACUUAUCGUGAUGCACACUGUCACAGUAAGUCAUGUAACAGCUUUAGGGGAAUUGGAGUGAUUAAGCUAGUGCCUAUCUAUCAUGAUACAACUAUAUAAGAUAAUAGUUACUUAUAUUGCCACAAAAGUCAAAACUAGAUAUUUUGAAUACAAUCAUCUUUGGUUGAUUAUCUUGAUGCCUGAAAAAUGAUUAUUUUGAUUUUAUCUAGCAUUCUACUCUUCCUAAGUUCCAUUGCUUUUUUUAGCUUCCAAACUUCACCACCAUAAUCUUAUAUAAAAUAAACAACCAGCAAAAGUGCUAGCAAAUUCAAUGAGUUAUAGUUAUCACAAUUCACAACCAAGAUGAUAUAAAGAAAAAUUCAAGCUUGAAAUUAGAUGGCGAAGCAAAAAUCCUCAGAAAAAUAUCACUUAAAUUUUCUCUUGAAAAGCAUCUAGUAAUGCAUCCAACAUAAUUUCCUCCACAAUGAACUAAGUUCCACCAAAAGCAUCAGAUGAAAUACUUUAUGAUUUAAAAAUAUGAAUAUUUUUAUACAAGUUCUUAUCCUCAAUUCUGACUCAAUAAUUUUGAGCUUCUCAUAAAUUCCAAAAUGUUGCAAGGCAAAACGGAUAAAACAAAAGCAAUAAUUGGGGCAUUAAUCUUUAGAUCGUCUCAAAAGAGUUGCUAGAACCACUAUUCACUCUUUGAAUUUUACAGAGCACAUAUGAGCNNNNNNNNNNNNNNNNNNNNNNNNNNNNNNNNNNNNNNNNNNNNNNNNNNNNNNNNNNNNNNNNNNNNNNNNNNNNNNNNNNNNNNNNNNNNNNNNNNNNNNNNNNNNNNNNNNNNNNNNNNNNNNNNNNNNNNNNNNNNNNNNNNNNNNNNNNNNNNNNNNNNNNNNNNNNNNNNNNNNNNNNNNNNNNNNNNNNNNNNNNNNNNNNNNNNNNNNNNNNNNNNNNNNNNNNNNNNNNNNNNNNNNNNNNNNNNNNNNNNNNNNNNNNNNNNNNNNNNNNNNNNNNNNNNNNNNNNNNNNNNNNNNNNNNNNNNNNNNNNNNNNNNNNNNNNNNNNNNNNNNNNNNNNNNNNNNNNNNNNNNNNNNNNNNNNNNNNNNNNNNNNNNNNNNNNNNNNNNNNNNNNNNNNNNNNNNNNNNNNNNNNNNNNNNNNNNNNNNNNNNNNNNNNNNNNNNNNNNNNNNNNNNNNNNNNNNNNNNNNNNNNNNNNNNNNNNNNNNNNAAUACUAAAACUCUAACUCUUCCAAUAACUAUGCAUAAUAAUAACUCAAAAUAGCCCAUGAAAAUGAAAAAUUAAGAGACAUUUUAUUACCAAGACUUUUGAAAAUCCAUCAAAAGUCAAAUAAAAAGAUCAUUUGACGGCUUUCUGUACCGCAAUUGCCGAGUUAUCAUCAGGCCAUAGAUCGCUCUCUUGCUCUUUCCUCUGCAACGACUUUCGCUCGAGUUCCCUCCACUUGUUGAUUGCAGCUGUGCAGAUAAAUCUGGUACCAACAACAAAAAGCAAUCGAAGAACCUUUGUGCCGGGGGGCCCGCCGUCAUCCCUUUUUCUGUCAUCUUUCUCUGCAGUGUGUGUGUCAAUUACUCACUUCGUCAUUAUCUUAGCGAUUGUUUGGCGGCCGAGAAACGUGAAAGAGAGAAUAUAACCGGUUGUAGAAGUUGUCAGUGGCUGAUGGAAUUAUCCAAUAAUUAAUUUUAGCCGUUAGAUUAAAUUUGAAAGCAUCCAACGAUUUUACUGAAAAAAGACAAAAAGCGUCGUAAGGUACAACUGUGGCAACGUAGGUGUAUAUAUAUAUAUUCAUUCAGUUUAACUUUUUAUUUUUUAAUAGUAUAUAAAAAUUAUUUAACCGAAUUAGGGGUAAAUUUUAACCUUUCAUUGGGCGACAAAUUUAUUUUUUCAAACACGCUAUCAAUUCUGAAGGAAGAAAAAAUCAUAAACACAGUGACAAUUGUUUUGCGUGAAUGCAGUUGUCUUGCAAAAAGAAAAGUAAGCUAUUCAGAUUUCUGACCGAUGGACUGAAACUGAACCAUCAGCUGACCUCAAACGGGCUGGGCUGUGAGAACUGAGAACUACUAUCUCACGUAAGCUAUAUUUGGUACAUAGAAUUGGAUAUGAUUAAUUAUUAGAAUUAGACUAGUUUAUAAUGGAUUAGAUUAGGUUGGAUUAUAUAUAGUGCUGACUUAUAUUUGAUAUGGUAUUGAUUGAAUUAUGCUAAAUUAAAUUUACAAGAAAUUAAAUAGUAUUUACAUUAAUAUUUGAAUUUAAAUAUCAACUGUUUAUAGAUAUUUAACAAGAAAUAUUAUAAUUAAUUAAAAAUAAAACUUAUAAGAAUUAUACACACUCAAAAAUAAAGAAGUAUAAAUUAUUUAAAUUAUAGGUUAUUUCAAAUGAGAUAUAUCAUUUCAUUAAAUAAAAUAAAUUAAUUAUUCAAAUAAUAAAUUAAUUAAUAACCUUUAAGUAAAUCAUGAAUAAAAAAUAAAUUACUUAAUUAAAAACAAUAAAUAAAUAAAUAGUUUUUAAGUUAUAAAUAAAUGAUGUAAUAAAUUAUGGAAGAUAUUAUAAAUGGACAAAUAUUUUUCUUGACAUUAUCUAGUUCUAACUAAACCCUCACAAAAAUUAGGAUUAGCAAUCCCAUGAAUUUAGGAUUAAAAAUUGAAUUUAGUCCAUUAAUACAAUCCAAGUGAGCAUGCCAAACAUGGUAUUAAUAUUUUGUCCCAAUAAUUAGUUCAAUCCUACACUUAAUCCUAGCUCCCAAACAUAACCUUAAAACAUAAUAAUAAUAAUAAUAAUAAUCAUCAUCAUCAUCAUAAUAAUGACAACAAUGACGGCGACCGUGGCAUUUAAAAUCAACACAAAAUUACUUAGUAACAAAAAUUUGAUCAGCUGGAGUAAUAAAAUGAAAGGUAAAAUUUGACGAAGAGAAAGAUUUAACUAAAAUAAUAUUAGUUUGUCUUAUUUAAAGAGUCUUUUGGAAAAUAAUUUAUUUUUUUUCACUCUUCUAUUUACCACAUAAAUAAACAUAUAGACAUUUAAAGAGUAAAAUUUGAAGAGUAUUUUGAUGAUACUCUUGAGAUUGCAUUGAAUUUUACAUUUGAUAAAUGUUAUUAUUAAAGUAUUGUGAUAAUAUGAAACAUAAUUGAUUGAUAUGAUGAAAAAAAUAUCAUUUGUAUGAUUUUAUUUGGGGAAAGAAUAUAUUGACUAAAUUGUAAACUAAUAAAGGGAGAUUGCCAAUUUCCCCAUCUUGUAAUCAAUAUAUACCAUUUACCCCUUGUUGUUUUUAUGAUAACUAAUAACCCUCUUGACAGAAUAAAUCUAUAAUAUUACCCAUAUUUUCAAAUACAUUUUAUUUAUAUUUAUUAUAAAUUAAAUAAAUCAUAUGAAUAGAAACUAAAUAAAAAAAUGAAGGAUUAAAAAAAAGAAAUAUACGUUUUGAUGUAAACAAAAAAAUUAAUAGUAAAAUUUUUAUGUACUUUUUUUAUUUUGUAAACAUUUUCUUAAAAUAAAUAUUUUACAAUAUUUUAAAAUUAAAUGUAAAAAUUACAAAAAAUAUUUUAUUAUUUAUUUUCUAAUAAUUUUUUAUUUAUCAUUCAAGUUUUCUUAUAAUAAUUUUUAAUCAUUUUAUAAUAAUUUUCUUAUAUAUUUAUUAUAAGAAAUGUUUAUAAAAUAAAAAAGUACAAGAAAAAAUAUUUUAUUAUUAAUUUUUUCACAUCAAAAUAUAUAUUUCUAAUUUUUAAUACUUAAUUAUUAUUUUAAUUUUCAUUCAUGUCAUUUAUUUAAUUUUAUAAUAAAUAUGAUAAAAGUUUAUUUGAAAAUAGAGUGAUGAUAUGGCUGCAAAUUCUUGUACAAACUGAUUUGUCAUUAAUUCAUUAGUUGAAUCAAAAUAUAAAAUAAUAAAAAUAAAUCAUGUGGACUAAGAGAUAUUUAAUCCAACUAAUUUUAUUAUGUCACAUCAAUUUAAACAAAAUAAAUUUAUAUAAGAGUUUGUACCUAUAUUAUUACUCUCAAUAAGAGUAAUAUGAUAAACUUAUAUUAUCAAGAGGGUUAUUGGCUAUUAUAAAAAUAGUAAGGGGGCAAAUGAUAUAUAUUGAUUAUAAUAGGGGGAAAUUAGUAAUCUCUCAUUGAUAAAUAUGAUUCUUCAUAUGCAACAAUAUAGAUUACAAUAAAAAUUCGCAUGAGUAUGAUCAAUCCUUACAACAACAAUGAAAAAAAUACUUGAUAUAUUUUUUAGGAUAUUAUUUGUUGGUUUUCAAAAUAUUUCAUUAAAAUAAAAAACAACGAUACUCAUAUUCAUUCAAAAGAGAAAAAACAUAUAUGUUAUUCAAAAUUGAACUAUUGAAGUCUAAUCGUAUUUCCAACCAAUUCACGAUAUAUAUCUCACAAAUUAAUAAAUAACCAAUUUAAUAUCUCAUUAUUUCAUCUAAUAAUCCUUCCUCUAUAUAUAAAAAAAUUAGAAAAAGAGGGCUGUUUGCCUAUUCCUCAUUUAUUGAAAAAUGAAGAUCAAAUCUGGAAAACAAGACACGUACGACAUGCCAUUUUAGAUAAUUAAAUUGAUCUGAUAAAUUGAUUUCAGGAGUAUGAUACAUCGGUUGAGAUAAAAUCAGAUGAAUAGGACGGUCAACAGAUAUCAUCCGUCCGAUUAAAUUGUAUACUAUUUGGAAGAGGAUUAAUUUGGACAUGUGUGGCAUGUAUGGAAGGUGGUUACUAUUAGAAAAGAGUAGUGCUACAUAUCUCAAAUUUUUUAGUCCAAAUAGCUAUCUCAAAUGACAUGUUGUUUAUUAAUUGAUUGGUGGAAUAAUAUAAUUAAUUUACUUGAAUCUUAUAAAAAAUUAUCAAUCAGUUAAUAAAUAUUAUAUAAUUUAGGAUAGUUAUUCGAGAUAAAAAAUUUCGGAUAUCUAUCAUUUUAGAAAAAUGAUUUUCUCUUUAAACCAAUUAGGAAAGCACUACAAAGAUUCCCUCUGUGACUUGUUCUCUCAUAUUGAUAAACGCUCUAUGGGUCUUCAAAUCUUUGUUACUUCUUUUGAUUUUCUUGGUGUUCGUGUGGUUCUUAAAGUUCGUUAAUUAGUCUUUGACUAGGAUUAGGUCUUAAUGAUUUGUUUGGUAUAUAUGCAAUAAAUCAGUCUUAACAUUACUAUAUAAAUGAUGCAUUUACUAAAUAAGAAUCAAAAUGAGAUGAAAGUGGAAUGAAUUAGAAUUGGAAUAAGCUGAAAUUAGAAUAAGCAAUUAAAAUAAGAAUAAAUUGUUUAUUUAAAUUGAAAGAAUCGGAAUCGAAAUGAGUUAGAUUAUUACGAAUCACUAAAAAAAAUUUAAUUAAUUAUUAUCUUAAUUAUUAUUUUAUAUUUAUCAUUAUUAUCGUUGUUGCUGUUAAUAACAAUAUUACUAUUAUUAUUAAUGUUACAAUAGUAAUUAAUUAUGAUACUUUUUAUCAUCAUCAUCACCACCAUCAUCAAUAAGUCAUCAAUCUCAUCAUCAACAACAACAAACCAUCGUCAUCAUUAGAUCGGAAUUGUGGCUAUCAGAGAUGAAACGGAGACGAAAUCGAGACGGAUCAAACAGAGAUGAAAACAAGAUGGCCCAAACAAAGAUGAAGCCGGUAACCAGUUGUUGCUCCAUAGUCAACAGACCAACAAUGACAAAGAUGGUGGUUGAUUUUUGGCAGCAACAGUAAGGUGUGCCUGCAAUGGUGUUCGGCUGUAUGGAGAUUCGUACGAGUAGUUUAGGCUAAUGGGAUUUGCUUUUAUAUAUAUAUAUAUAUCAUCUAAAAAAAGGCAUUUGGGGAAUAUUAUAUAUUAAUGGGGGUAGAAUUGAAACUCGAUCAGUCUCCCAUUCUCAGCUCCAUAAUUCUCAUUUUGAUUCUCACUCUUAUUUUGUGAAUUAAGUGCAGUUAAUGAUCCGAUUCUUCAAUCCAAGAAGUAAACACACCAAAAGUAUUCCCCUUGAUCGUCUCUUUUCCAUGCAAUGUAGAAGAGGAAAAGGUGAAGGGUAGUGCCGUAGUAGUUAGUAGCUGCAUAAAUACGGUAAACUUGGGCUCAGCUUACAUUCAUCGCAGAUUUGUUAAAUUUUCUCCAAAUAUCCAUCCUCUAUAAACAAUAAGAUAAUGAGUGAGUCAAUUUGAACUUACCAAUACUCAAUAUAUUUAUAUGUUUAAAUAAAUUCAUUAUUAAAAUUUUAAAUUUUAUUUUUUACUCACUAAACUUAUUUAUAUACCUAAUAUACCCUUAUUAAAUAUGUAUUAAUCCAGUUAGCGAUCUUUAUCUCUCUUCUUUCUUUUUUAAUUUUUCUAUCCUCUAUUGUUGACUUGUUGCAAUGGCUUUUUUUUUUUUUUCCCUCAAAACUGAAAUUCUCAAACCAAUCAUGAAACACUAGAAAUCAUGUAUAGAAAUAUAAAGAUAAACUUGAUCUCAAUUAAAACUCAAAAUUUUUAUGUCAAUGAACGUGCAUGGAUUCUUGUUUUUUUGAACGGAAUACAAAAAAUUAAUUUAGGUUAAAGAAAGAACGAAUGGCAGAAAUCUCCAAAAGGACGAGGGCCGUAGGGAAUUUUUUCUAUUCAAAGAGGGCAUAAGGAUAAUUUUAUACUCAGUUUUUUAUUCGGUAAAGAAAUGAGACAAUUUUUUACUCAAUUACUUAUUCAAAGAAGAGGAUGAAGUCGAAUCUCAUCCUCUCCUCAUUUUCUCAUUUUAAUUUUUAAUUUUAUUUUUAUUUUUUAGAAUUAUUGAUGAGUAAAUAAUAAAAUCUAAAUUAUAAAAUAUUAAAUAUUAAAAAAAUAAUAAAUAUCAAAAUAUUUAUAUAAAUAUACUAUGAAACUUUCAUGUGUAAUUAAAUAAUUAUAAUCUUAAAUUAGCUUCGAUCAGGCCUUAGCCCAUAAUUUUUGUUUUAAACUUUUAUUUAAUAAAACAAAAGCUAAAGUAAAUUUGUAAAAUCUAAUUUCUAAAGUAGCCAGCCACCCAGCACUCCACUGCAGACAUUCACGAUCAUUAGUUCAUUUAUUUCAUUAUAGAUAUAAAUUUUUUUCUUUUUAUUAUAGGUUUAUGAAGAUUGAUGCAGAUAAUUAUUUUGAUAUUUUAUAUUUUGUAGUAUAACUUUUUUAAUAGAUUAAUAUUAAUGUAAGGUGUAAAUAAAUUUUUUAUUUUAAUAUAAUUAAAUUAAGUUUAAAAAAAAAAAUUCAUUAUUCAGAAUGGAGAACCUUUGGCGAUUCUUUGUUAUUUUUUAGAGAAGAAGCGAUGAUCUCCUCGAAUAAUUCUGCUGGAGAUGAUAAAAAAGUAGAAUAUAAAAAAUAUACUGAGAAGUUAGAGUCCCUUCCCAGUUCCCAUCCCUCCCCCUGACCGGUCCCCUACCUAUAAACGGAAGUAAAAGUCUUUCUAUUUAUCAAUAUAUCUUGGAAAGAGAGAGACGCUUAAAGAUAUAAUGUUGGGCUAUAAUAGUAAUUUAAGGUAGCGUUUAUUUUUUGGAUUGAAGUGGGAAUUCUGAGGAAUGAGAAUCCUGGGAGUGUGGAGUGGAAGUGUGAGUAGGUUGUUUACUUACACUGAAAUGGAAGUAUGGAAUAGAGAUCAGAAUCCAAUUUAUGUGUUUACUUUGUCUUGGAUUGGGAGUAAAUAGUUUCAAAUUAUAAUUUUAUCCUUAUUUAAAGAAUUAUAAUUUUUAAUUACAAAGCUAAUAAAAAAUAUAUUUAAUGAAUAAAUAUUUAUUUUAUUAUAUUUGUAAAUUUAUAAUAAUUAUUAAUAUUCUUAAUUAUGAACAUCACAUUUUUUUAUUAAUUUUAAUUCUAAUAUAAAAUGAAACGUUAUUUUAUUUUAUUUAAUAUAAUUAUAUUAAAUUUAAAUAUAAUUACAUUAAAUUUAUUAUUAUAUAAAAUAAUAAUAUAAUAUUAUUUAGUACAAAAUUAAUAUUUUCUUAGAAUAAAUUAUUUAUUAUUAUUAAUAUUAAAUAAAUAUAGUACUAUUAUUUUUAAAAUAAAUACAAUAAUAUUAUAUUUAUUAAUUCUCUAUUAAUAUAAUAUUAUUAUUUUAAAAUAAUUUUAACUUAGAGUCAAUAUAAAUUAUUAUUUAAUUAAAUAUAAUAAUAUUAUUUAUUUUAUUUUAUUAAUUAUAAAAUAUUAAAUUAAAUUAAAAUUAAAAAAAAGUAGAAAAGGAAGAGGUGGGAGUGAGAAUUCCCACUCCCACCUCCCCCAAUGGAAGUCCCACUUCCACUCUCCACUCUAAAAAUAAGUGGAACCUAUAAAAUAAGAUACCCAAUUCCUCGUUAAAUAAGUGAAGUAAAUACUGAAAUAAAAAAAAUUCACACUUUUCACCCCCAUUCCAUAAAAUAAACACGAGAUAACAAGAGUACACUUUCGUAAUAAAAAAUUAUAUGGUAAAUGGGUGCAGAAUUAUUCGAAAAGCACAACAAAUAAUCCAAUUUUUGCUCAUCUCUCUUGAAUCAUCAUUAUUCAUCAGUUAUACUACCACCGUUCAAUAUGUUCUCCAAAGCCUUGGAUCAGUUGGCUUCAGUCCGCAGAAAGAUCAUCGAUGAAGAAAAGGCGAAGAUCCAAGAACUGACCAACAAGUUCCAGGACAUUCGAGCCGUGCUUGACGAUGAAGAAGUCGGACAAGUGGGGGUCAACGGUGUGGGAGGUCGCUUAGUCGAACUUAAGAAGAUGUUCUUCGACAUUGACGACGAGUUGGAUGAGCUGAACACUGCUAUCUGGAAUGCUUCCAUGCGUACCAGAAAGGUACGCUCCUAUCUGUUAACUUGUCGGCUUCUAUUUCUGCGUCGUGACGUAGCUUUGAAGUUAAAGAAUCUGAGUCAAACACUAGAUGGGUCUGGGUUGAAGAGUAGUGACCCUGCAGAUACAGGAGACAUAGAACAAGAACGACCUAUGAUCUCUGUUGUUGAUUCAUCACAGGUUAUUGUGAGAGAUGGGGAAAAGAAUAGACUACUCAACUUACUGUUGUGUGAGAGUAGUGAAAAACAAACGACCCUCCCUAUUAUUUCUAUCGUAGGGAUGGACGGUUCCGGAAAAACAACUCUCUCUCGGCAAGUCUUUGACAUUGAUGCUGUCAAAACCCAUUUCAGCAAAAGGAUUUGGGUGUCUGCGUCUUAUCCUGAGAUUAGGAUUGCCAGAGCAAUUCUUGAAUCUCUUAAAGAUGGUGUAUCAUCGGAUCUAGUUGAAAUAGAUACUGUGUUGCAACAAAUAAGUCAUUAUAUUCAAGGAAACAGGUUUCUUCUUGUCUUGGAUGAUGUGAGGAGUAGAUAUUUCAAUUAUUGGCAACAAUUGAUGUACUCUCUUAAAUCGGGUUCUGAGGGAAGUAGAAUUUUGGUGACUACAGGCGAGGCGAAUGUCGUAAAUAAGAUGGGAAACACCAGGAUGAUCUCACUAGGGACACUGUCUGAGGAGGCUUCUUGGUCUUUGUUCUGUCUAGUAGCAUUUUACUGGAGGAGAAGUGAUGAGGAGUUUCAAGAACUGGAACACAUUGGUAGACAAGUUAUACGUAAGUGCAAAAACUUGCCUCUUGCUGUAAAGGUUAUAGGAAGCCACUUGCGUUUUAAACGAAACAUUGGAGAGUGGUUAAAUGUCUUGAAGAGCAAGAUAUGGGAACUUAAACUAGCAGAUAAAGAGCAUUUUUUGCCUCUAUUAUUGAGCUAUUAUGAUUUGCCCUCCGCAUUGAGAAAAUGCUUCUUGUAUUGCGCCAUCUUUCCAAAAAACUAUGAGAUAGAGAAAGAUAGAUUGAUCAAAUUAUGGAUGGCUCAGGGUUACCUUAAGGUAGAGGGAAGAGAUGAUAUGGAGUUAAUUGGAGAGGAGUUCUUUGAAAGCUUAGCAUCACGCUCUUUACUCCAUGAUUUUCAAAAAAAUGAGUUUGAUGGUAGAAUAAUAAGGUGCAAGAUGCACAAUAUAGUUCAUGAUUUUGCUCAGUUUCUUACAAUAAAUGAAUGUUUCAAUCUAGAGGUCAAUGGUUUUGAAAUGUGUCCAUUAGAGUCUAAUGAAAAUAUUAAGCAUUUAAUGAUAAAGUUUGAAACAGAGCGCAAGUUCCCUACUUCAGUUUAUAAUAGAAAAAGAUUACGCAGCCUUGUGGUUGAGCGCGGAGAGGGUUUUAUGACUGGCAUAAAUCUAUCUGCAUUAUUUGAUAAUUUGACAUGUUUGAGGUCGUUAGAUUUGAGUAACCAGGAUAAUGGUUUUUAUAAUGUCAUUAAGCGAGUUCCAAGAGGAAUAAGAAAAUUGUUACACUUGAGGUACCUUAACUUGUCUAGGAAUAGCAAAAUAGCAGAACUGCCUGAGUCGCUGUGUGACUUGUAUAAUUUAGAAACCAUGGAGCUCAGUUGGUGCAUCAGUCUAAAAAGGUUGCCUCAAAGGAUGGGGCAGUUGAUCAACUUGUGGCAUUUGGUAAAUGAUGGGACUUCACUGAGUUACAUGCCAAAAGGAAUUGAAAGAUUGACUUGUCUUCGGACCUUAAAUGAAUUCAUUGUCAGUGUUGGAAGUGAUGAUGAUAAAGCAUGUAAACUUGAAUGUCUGAAAAGCUUGAACCAUCUUCGAGGAUCCCUUAAAAUUAAAAAGCUGGGAAAUGUGAGUAAGGAUGAGAUUAACAAAGCAGAACUUGGGAAAAAGGAAAAUCUCCUUGCUUUGUAUCUAAGCUUGGAAAAGGAUCGGGAAAAGGGGAGUACGAAUAAGGAUGAUGAGGAUGCUCUUGAAGGUUUACAAGUACCUCCAAAUCUAGAGAGAUUGGAGAUAUUUUACCAUAGAGGAAACACGCUAUCCUCCAUUUUCAUAAUGUCAUUAGCUAAGUUGAGGUCGAUGUCAUUAGAUCGUUGCAUUAACUUGGAGCAAUUGCCUCGUUUGGGAGAAUUGCCAUCUCUUGAAUCACUUACUGUAAGGAAUAUGAGGAGGCUGGAAAAAGUGGGUAAUGAAUUUUUGGGAAUAGAUGAAAGUAGACUUUUGAGGAAAGAUGAAGGUAAAGUUUUGGGAACAGAUCGAAGUAGGUCUUCGGGCAUAGAAGAAAGCAAGCCUAGCAAACCAUUUGUUGCUUUUCCCAGGUUGAAAUCUCUUGAAUUUCAGAAAAUGAAAGGAUGGAAAGAGUGGAAGUAUAGUGUUACAACGAGUACGUGGCCACAUGAUAGACUCAUGCCACGUCUUUGUUCCUUGACAAUCGGAUUCUGCCCGAAAUUGGAGACACUGCCUGAUGACUACCUUCCUCAGUUGCUGGACUUGAAGAUUUUUUCAUGCCCUAAGCUGGAAGAACGUUAUAAAGAGGGAACGGCAGAGAGGGGAAAUAUCUCUCACGUCCACUUAUAUUUCUCAUGAUUAAUAUUCUACAGAUGCACAGGUAAUCUCUUCUCCGCAUUUUUUAUAGUUUUAUUUGUAGAAUCAAAUCGGAAUUAGGUUUCUAAAUUACAUGUUCAUUGUACAGCUUAUCAUGAUUUUGUAUUCUUCUAUCUUAUUGUCACCGCUUAUUCUUAAUUCAAAGUUAUCUCAUGCUAAAUGUUUCCUUUUCUUUUCAGGCUACAGGGAAUGGUCAUACUUGCAAAAUGUAUUGUGAAAGAUAUGUAUACCAUUGGAAAAUAUUAAGGUGUGACAAUGUCCAUUAGCUCGCAAUUUUUUGUUUUCUUGAUCAGUUGUUACCCUAUUUUUUCAGUCUAAAUAAGGCUGUAAGUCUAAUGCUGUGGAUGACAAACCUAGACAAUUUCAUCUUAUUGAGUUCAUUUUUCACAAGAAUGGUAUGAGAAGCAUACAAGAGAUGACUGAAAUGUUACAUCUUCAUGCCCCAAAGAUCAAUUACGUGGUAAGUCAUCCUCUGCAACUGCUAUCUACUCAUUCUGGAUCUUGAUUUCUCAAUUGGAAAGCGGAAAACAUUCUUGUAUGCAGGAUUGACUGCCAGGCACAUUAGCUAAUGGAUAGUAGAGCAGAGCACUUACUCAGAAGCAUUGGAAGUGGUGCCUGAGGCUGAAACUUUCCUUUUGAAUCAGAGAGAAAAUGUGAUGAAGUAAAUGGGUAUGUCUUUGGUACUAAUUAACCAAGCUUAAAACUUAUUCUUAUAGCUAUUUUCUCUUUUGCAUUUUACAGUUUCAACUCCUUUACCGUAUCGUCCUUCAAUCUUGAGGUACUAAUCAGAGUGCAAUUCAAGUUUCAAAGCAAAAAUGGAGACUGCAUUGAAGUCAGAGAGGGUGCAAAAGGAAAUGAUAAGAUGCUUUGGAUGGGCUAUUGACAAACCUUGAAUAGUAUGACAUUGUCUGCUUUAAAUGAAGGUCAGGAUACCUUUUGUUCUUGAGUUCUUGUCAAAAGGCGUCAUAUUGUAUAAGAAAUGAAUUUGUAUAUGUAGUUUAAUGUUCCUUUGAAAACAGGCAAUGCAGGAAUUUUGACACCCGAUCCUCACCUUUUCCACCCUUGAUAUCUUCGAAUGGUGAAUCUUUGCUGGUACAAUUAAUGACAGGGAAGCUCUCCCUUUAUUAAAGCCAUACAAGGAAAAAGAAAAUGGAUCAUUCAAGGUUUCCAGUUGCUGGAUGAGGGCAGAGCUGAUUGAAGCCAGUUGGGAGGAGUUGUAGGAUGUCCAGAAACUCAAUGACAUUCAUCACCCUUUGCUCUGUCACUUGGCUUCUGGAACUGGGUAUAUUUUUGUCGCUCGUUUGUGUGUCUUGCACAGUGAAGGUAGAAGGUUGAAGCCCAUGAGGGUGAAUGAUAUGCUGUUGUUACCUUUUAUCUUUGUUCGAUAUACCCAACUGAUCUUGCUUGGUCUUGGAUACAGUUUAUUUUAAUGUAGCAACUGAUGGGUCCUUUCAUUUUCAUCUUAUUCAGUAAUCAAUGUUUCUCAGAUCUCUGUGGCCUCUUUUGUAUUGCACUGAAUGAUAUACAAAUGUUAAAUGAAGGGCUCCACUAACCUUCAUUUUUUUAUGAUGCUCACUUAGUUUUGAAUAUGGGAGAAGGAUUUGAAGACGUGAAGCACCAAUAGAGACUGUAACAAUGAGGCAAAAUUUUAGAAUUUCACUUUGAUGCAUUUGGCAUAUUAGGCGCUUUGGUCCGUGGCCUUUUGCAAAUUUGUCCUGCAUGGUGUGACCAUUUAGUGCAUACAGUAACAGGAUCAGAAAAUAAAUCAACAAAAGCAUUCUAUAACGUAUAAACCGUGAAAAUACUUAAAAUUUUAGUUAGUUUAAAUUAUUGCUUAUGGUUUGAUUCAUCCAUACAUUAGAAUAUUCUGGAACAGAAAAAUAUUUUUACAGCAUUGAAUGGAGUCUCUCACAAUCAGCUCUCACAUGGUUCCUUCUAAUAUGUUUUACGGUAGGACAACCUGUUCGGGCCAUGGUCAGCUCAAACUCAUCCUUAGCAUUUCAAUGACGCGUCUCACCCCAUAUUCCCCUUUUGCAGCCAGGCCAUGGAUUACAGGCCUUUCGAUCUGGAGUAACAUAUUACAUACAUCUAUGUAAGCAAGGGCGGCCCGAACAAUAGAGUUAUGCUCUAACAAUAAAAGUAGUUGUAUUAAGAAGUUGCAGCUGAAAUAAGUUUCUCUAUGUUACUUUUAUUAUCCUGGUAUCAACUGCUAACAACAGGGAGAAGAAAGGUGGCUCCAGAAUCUCAACAUAUAACUUUUUUGUCGAUUGAAAUUCAAAAAAUUAAGGGUAUAGUUGCGUAAAGCUUACAAGUACAGCUUGUGCACCGAGGGCCAAUGCCUUGAAAACAUCUGUUCCUCGCCGCACUCCCCCAUCCACAAGAAUCGGAUCUCUUCGUUUAACGGCAUCAACCACCUGCAAGCUCAGGUUGACAAGUACAAACUGUAUUGGUUACGAUUUCCUUGUUAAAAUCUAGAGUAUAACCCAGACGCAUAACAUAUCUUACUGCAAAAUGCCAGUCAUUUCUACAUCAAGCUGGUUUGAUUGAAAAAUGUAUUAUUACAAGAUCUCCAUCAUUAGUACAUGGACUCAGCAAGUGAAAACGUCUACAUGUCAGAAAACUAGUAAAAACCAAAUGCACUAGCACUGCCAGCACCUGACAGUUGCAUGUUCUGUUUCCUAAGGUUUCUUCAUAUGCAUUUAGCUUAAAACUCAGAGCAAUAAUUAGGAGAAUUAUGUAAUCCUCAUAUGAUAUUUCUCAACCUUUCAAGUUAAAUUCAAUUGCAGUAGCACAGUUGUCAGUUUGGAUUACAGUCUUAAAAAAAAAUUUGGAAUGCAUUCUACUAAUCAACUAAAAUCAAAAUAAACUGACAUAUAUUUUUAAUUAAUAAGAUUCUCACGAUUGUUUAUGUACUUAUAAAAGUGAAGUUUAGAUCUGUAGACAAAUCUAGCUCAUAUUAUCUGCAGAUUAGAAUACUAAUAGUGGUGUGAAAUUGUUAGAAAAUUAGAAAAAAUAUGUGCUGUAAUUAUAUAUUAGCUGUAAAUUAGUCAUUAGCUGUAACAUAGCUAUUUAGGUGUAAAUCUAUGUAUUUUAGGAAAAUCUACCUAGAAAUUAUUCUUUCCUUAAAUCAGUGAUUUAGUUUCCUGAUUUAAUGGUUUUAUGUGUGCUGUAAAUCUCUAUAAAAGAACAAUCUCAAUGACAGAAUAAUUAAUUAUGUGCAAACCUAUUUUUCAAGUUGGUAUCAGAGCAGGAAGAAUAUCUUGCCGGAAUUCCUUUUUUCUUCCUUUUGAUCCCUACACCCUAAACUUUUGAUCCCUGCACCCUAAAACCAUGUCAGACUCUUCAUCCAAUUCCAGUACUGUCCCUCAAUCCUCUAUGAACAAUCCUAGUAGCACGGAUGUUUCAAAAAUCAGUGCUACCUCCUCAGAAUCUCAUUCUGUACAAAUCACCACAAUUCGUUUGAAUGGUGACAAUUUUCUGAGAUGGUCUCAGUCAGUUAGGAUGUAUAUUAGAGGGCGUGGAAAAAAGGGCUAUUUGACUGGUGAAAAGAAGGCUCCUGCAGUGGAUGAUCCGGCCUAUGUUACAUGGGAUGCCGAGAAUUCCAUGGUGAUGACGUGGCUUGUGAAUUCAAUGGAAGAAGAUAUUAGCUCUAAUUAUAUGUGCUAUCCAACGGCACAAGAGCUUUGGGAGAAUGUAAAUCAGAUGUAUUCUGAUCUCGGAAAUCAAUCACAGAUUUUUGAGUUGAUCCUCAAACUCGGAGAGAUGCGACAAGGGGAGCACAAUGUCACAAAAUAUUUUAAUUCCUUAAAGCGGAUUUGGCAAGACCUUGACCUUUUCAACACCUAUGAGUGGAAAUCUCCCGAGGAUGCUCAACAUCACAAAAAGACUGUAGAGGAUGGCCGCAUUUUUAAGUUUUUGGCUGGACUGAAUGUCGAGUUUGAUGAGGUGAGGGGGAGAAUUAUUGGAAGACAGCCCCUACCUUCAAUUGGUGACGUUUUUUCAGAGGUCAGAAGAGAGGAGAGUCGGAGGAAUGUGAUGCUUGGCAAGAAGGGAACUGGGGUUGCUGAAGGUUCUGCCCUGGUCUCCAUGACUGGAAGCAAGGCUCCUAUUUUGCAACGCAAAUCUGAUGAAAAACAACAAGUUUGGUGUGAUUUUUGUCAUAAGCCUCGCCAUACCCGUGAGACCUGCUGGAAAAUUCAUGGGAAACCUGCAAAUUGGAAAGGGAAAGCUGGCCGAGCCAACCCUACUGCCAAUGAGGUUGAGACCAGCCCCUUCACCAAAGAGCAGAUGGAGCAUCUUCUUGCACUGUUAAAAUUUAAUUCGGUACCCAAUGUUCCUAGUGUUUCUGUGGCACAUACAGGUAAUAAAUUCUAUGCUCUAUCUUGUCAAUUUAAAUCUGCUCCAUGGAUAAUAGAUUCAGGAGCAUCCGACCAUAUGACCAAUUCCUUACAUUUGUUUGAGACUUUUUCACCAUGUCCCGAAAAUAAGAAGGUUAGGAUAGCCGAUGGUAAUCUCUCACCAAUUGUAGGAAAAAGCCUUAUAAAACUUUCUGAGAGAGUAGAUCUUAAAUCUGUUCUCUAUGUCCCUAAACUUGCUUGUAAUCUAUUGUCAGUUAGCAAACUAUCUAGAGACUCUAACUGUUAUGUUAUUUUCUAUGAAUCCUAUUGCAUUUUUCAGGACCGGAGCUCGGGGAAGACGAUUGGCAGUGCUAGGAUGAUUAAUGGUCUCUAUUAUUUCGAGGAUAAAUUUCUUAGUAAUAAAAUAGUUCAAGGGCUAAGUAGUAUUAGUUCUUUAUCUACUCGUGAUCAAAUAAUAGUUUGGCAUUGUCGUUUGGCCACCCAAGUUUUCCUUAUUUAAAACAUUUAUUUCCAAUGCUAUUUAAAGGGAUUGAUCCUUCAUCAUUUCAAUGUGAGAGUUGUUUAAUGGCAAAAAGUCAAAGAAAAUCUUAUAUUCCAAAACCUUAUCAUGCUUCAAGACCGUUUUAUUUAUUCCACAGUGAUGUUUGGGGUCCUUCAAAAGUGACCACAAUUUCUGAAAAAAAAUGGUUUGUGACUUUUAUUGACGAUCAUACACGUCUGUGUUGGGUUUACUUAAUGAGAGAAAAAUCUGAUGUAGAACAGAUUUUUAAAGAAUUUUAUAGGAUGAUUGAAACUCAAUUUCAAACAAAAAUUAAUAUUUUGAGAUCUGACAAUGGAACGGAGUAUUUUAAUAAAGUUUUGGAAACUUUUUUAAAUGAACAAGGAAUUUUACACCAAUCCUCUUGUUCCGACACACCUGAACAAAAUGGCAUUGCUGAGCUUAAGAACAAGCACUUGUUAGAAGUAGCUAGAGCCAUGAUAUUUUAUAUGAAUGUUCCAAAGUAUCUAUGGGGUGAUGCUAUACUGACAGCUUCGUAUCUUAUUAACAGGAUGCCUACCAAAGUUUUACAAUAUAUCACCCCGUUGGAUUGCUUAAAAAAGGUAUUCCCAGAAUCUAGAAUCAAUUCUGACUUACCUUUGAAAAUAUUUGGCUGCACAGCAUAUGUGCACACGCCAAAGAGGCUAAGGUCUAAAUUAGAUCCAAGAGCCGAAAAAUGUGUUUUUAUAGGGUAUGCACCCAAUAAAAAGGGUUACAAAUGCUUUAAUCCCCUUACAAAAUGUUUUUUUGUCACUAUGGAUGUUUCUUUCAUGGAAAAUACAUUAUACUUUACCAAAAAUUUGCUUCAGGGGGAGAAGAUAGUUGAACCAAAUUUUUGGGAAAUUGCUGAACCCUUACCUAGCACACUAGUUGAUACCUUUUCUGAAAAAGAAACCUUGGAAACUAGGCUUAAAGAAACCAAAUCUGACAUUGGUCUGACAGAAAAAGAAAUACUACGAAUAAAAAAAAAUAGAAACAAUCUUGAGCCUGUGGUUUAUUCUAGGAAAGGUGUCCUUAGAGGUGGUAGAGACCAGGCCAUUAUCCAAGCACGUGGUCAACCGGAAGCCCUAAGCAAUGGUCAUCCAAAUGCCUCAGGUAAUCCUUCUUCUGUUCCUUCCUCUUCCUUUCCUAUUACUGACUUAAACUUACCAUUACGAUCAGAUUCUAGGGAAGAGAACUCUGCACCUGAAUCUAUUUUAGAACCAGCCCCUGUUAUUCUUGAACAGAAUCUUAAUCUUGACCUCCCCAUUGCCCUUAGAAAAGGAACCCGAACCUGUACCAAACAUCCUAUUGCCAAAUAUAUUUCCUAUCAAAACCUUUCUGACAAUUAUAGAGCUUUCACUACAAACAUUUCAAAACUUGUUGUGCCUAGAAAUAUUCAAGAAGCACUUGGUGAUCCAAAUUGGAGGUUGGCUGUGUUUGAAGAGAUGAAUGCCUUGAAGAAGAAUGAUACUUGGGAGAUGGUAGAAUUACCGAAUGGAAAAAAGGUUGUGGGGUGCAAAUGGGUGUUUACUAUCAAGAGUAAGGCAGAUGGGAGUGUCGAGAGAUACAAAGCCCGUCUUGUUGCAAAAGGUUUUACUCAAACCUAUGGGAUAGAUUACCAAGAGACCUUUGCUCCGGUAGCUAAAAUCAACUCAAUUAGGGUCCUGUUGUCUCUUGCUGUUAACUCUAAUUGGCCCUUACACCAAUUGGACGUUAAAAAUGCUUUCCUUAAUGGAGACCUUAAGGAGGAGGUAUAUAUGAGUUCCCCACCAGGCUUUGAAGAAAGGUGUGGAAAUGAGAGAGUGUGCAGAUUGAAGAAGUCCUUGUAUGGACUUAAACAGUCACCAAGAGCUUGGUUUGAGCGCUUUGGCAAGGUGAUUAAGCGCUAUGCAUAUAUUCAAAGUCAAGCUGAUCAUACAAUGUUUUACAAGCAUUCAAAUGAUGGUAAAAUAGCUAUCUUGAUAGUAUACGUGGAUGAUAUCGUGUUAACUGGGGAUGAUUGUGAUGAGCUAGCAAAGUUAACAAAGAAACUGGCUGAGGAGUUUGAGAUUAAAGAUCUCGGGGCAUUAAAAUACUUUCUUGGGAUGGAGUUUGCUAGAUCUAGAGAAGGCAUUUCUGUAAAUCAGAAGAAGUAUGUUAUCGACUUGUUAAACGAGACAGGUAUGCUAGGGUGUAAACAUGCUGAAACCCCUAUAGAACCUAAUGUGAAACUGCAACCUGCAGAAGCUGAGAAUGUGAAGAAUAGGGAGCAUUAUCAGAGACUUGUUGGGAGAUUGAUUUAUCUAUCCCAUACACGCCCAGAUAUAUCCUUCUCUGUUAGUAUGGUUAGCCAAUUUAUGCAUGCCCCAGGACCGGCACACUUUGAAGCUGUCUACAGAAUUUUAAAGUAUCUAAAAGGGACACCGGGCAAAGGACUUCUGUUUAAGCCACAAGGACACUUGCAGAUUGAAGCCUACACAGACGCAGAUUGGGCUGGAAGCAUAGUAGACCGAAGAUCCACUUCUGGAUACUGUUCAUUUGUAGGUGGUAAUUUGGUUACAUGGAGAAGCAAGAAACAGAAUGUGGUAGCUAGGAGUAGUGCUGAGGCUGAAUUUAGAGCUGUAGCCCAUGGUAUUUGUGAGAUCAUGUGGAUUAGGAGGCUGUUGGAAGAGUUAAAAGCGACACAAUCAUCUCCUAUGAAGUUGUACUGUGACAACAAGGCAGCAAUCUCAAUAGCACACAAUCUAGUCCUUCAUGACCGAACAAAACAUGUGGAGAUUGACAAGCAUUUCAUCAAGGAGAAGAUAGAUAAUGGAUUGGUUCAUAUGGAGCACAUUCCUACUGGAGAACAAGUGGCUGAUGUCUUUACCAAAGGACUACACACAAAACAGUUCAAUUUUCUAGUUGGCAAGCUGGCUAUGGAGGAUAUCUUCAAACCAGCUUGAGGGGGAGUGUUAGAAAAUUAGAAAAAAAUAUGUGCUGUAAUUAUAUAUUAGCUGUAAAUUAGUCAUUAGCUGUAACAUAGCUAUUUAGGUGCAAAUCUAUGUAUUUUAGGAAAAUCUACCUAGAAACUAUUCUUUCCUUAAAUCAAUGAUUUAGUUUCCUGAUUUAAUGGUUUUAUGUGUGCUGUAAAUCUCUAUAAAAGAACAAUCUCAAUGACAGAAUAAUUAAUUCUGUGCAAACCUAUUUUUCAAGUGAAAUUUAUAGUCACCUCUUCCAGAGCAGAGAUAGUGGCAGGAGUAUAAUCUAACUGUCGAGCUCCGUGAUUGGAGACAAUAAUCCCAGCAACGCCUACUUCCACAGCUUUUAUUGCUGAAAAUUUUAGAGACCAAGCAAUUAACAAGAAUCUUCAAUUAUGUGCGCAGAAAAAAUGUGAUGAAAUUCAUAAAACAGAUAUAUAAUGAUGAGGAGAUUUAACAAGAAUAUUUUCAUUUGGUUGACUGGCAUCUCCAAUUCUACAAAUUUUAAUUCUAAACCUCUAAUUCCACUAACAAUCCCCGCAUAAAUGAACCUCUGGCUUAAAGACUGACUGUGUAGAAGUGGACGAGAAUCCCUUUUUUAGUCUGAAGUUACAUGGAAAAACAAAACAAAGAGAUACUUAUAUCAUCAAAUGGAGCUUUGAUCAUACCAUCUUCACGAGUAAGUACCCCCUUGAUCAAAAUUGGUAAGUUUGUAAUAGAUCUUAGCCAUUCUAUAUCCUGCAGAAGCAUGUGAUAAUCUUCAGACUCAAACUUUAGAAAGAGUAUUAAGAUCACUAACCAAGCAAAAUAAUAUCCAUGAUCUAUUUGUUCUAAGUAGCUGAAUAAUAGACACUUCUUUUUUCUUGAUAUAUUUUCCAAGCAAGGGAAAGAAACAGCCUGAGCAAAUUUUAAGCUGAGAGAUACUGUUGAAGCAUAUAAAAGGUGAAAGGAAGACUUCAUUGAUCUCUACCUUCCAACUUAAAGAAGGAUCCAUGGUCUCCUUGGCAUAAGCUUCUAAAUUUGAACCUGUAUCCUACAAAAAGUGUAAUCAUUUAAGUUAAUCUAAAGGAUUAUAGAUAUAGUCUAUGAGUUUAAACAAGCAGCAAAAGUAAAUACAGGCUAAGAACCAAAAAAAUCAAUAAAUAAAUAAAUGAAAACUGUUACACUCACAGAGGUGACUUUGGUUGAUAAGAGGCCUUCCAAGUUCUUCAACUGCUGUGCAAUCAUUCUGCAGAAGUUGUUGAGUGAGAUUCAAAAGACGUUGUUUACUGUGCCCAAAUAAAGGUAGAGGGCACUAUAUAUUUCUUAUGAUGUCACAAUAAAAAGAUUUGUGUCAUAUCACCAUCCUAAAUUUUUUGUUUUUUUAACCAAAAUUUAAAUUCAGUUAUAUGUGGUAGUACUUGGAAUAUCUAGAACCAAAGAUAAAAGAGAUGAUAAUUCACUUGUUCUUUAUAUCUGCCUCCCUUCUGUCAAGUCUUGGAGUAUCAGCAGUUAGGACAAGAGCCAUAAAACCAUUCCUUUCGGCUCUCUGCACUAAAGUAGCUGCCAUAUCUCGUUUCUUGUAUGCCUAUUCACAAAAACCCUUUAAGCAACAUUACGAGAAAGAAGAAAAUCGUUGUUGCUCAAAAAAAAAAAAAGCAGUUUGCUAGUGGGGGAAAAAAAUAAAAAAGCACUCAAGACAAGCCAACUGCUUAUAAUUGAUAGAAGCGAACAGCAUUGCAGCUGGCGGCAACCUCCUCUAUGGAGCAGCUAGAUGUGAAGGAUAAAACCAUUAUGGUGUUACAUGAAGCUGCUGCUCUGGCUGUGGCUACCUCUCCUGGAAUAUAUACAAACAGUUAAUGUUAGAAUUUGGACAAAAUCUUAAUGAUGAACAACUUAAAGGAAUAAGACCUUCAGGGUUUGCAAGCUUAUGCAAACCCGUUGGAGCAAUGAUAAUGGAAGCCGAGAUUUUGUAAUCAAGUGUACUAGUCGAUAUAUCUAUCCUGCAGACAUCGACAAGAAUUCUUGGCCAAAACCUGGGAGAUAUUAUAAAAGGUCGUUUGAAAGUUCUGAAUCUAUUUCUAAGAUUGCUCAUUGAAACUAAUUUGACUUGCGUAAUUCCAUGAAAUGCUUCCAUAUUCUCUUUCAGGGUGUACUGAUUUUCUACUCCUCCAGCGUAGAAAUCAUAAUACAUUUUUGGAAGGGCCAGCCUUGCCAAUUCUUGGAAUGCAUUCAAGUUAACAGGUUCGGCUGCCAUUUGAACCUGGAAACGUGGACAUUAAUCAACUUCUCAAGUAAAUCAAUCCUAGAUGCUAUAUACUGCAUGCAUAAAUCUGAAUAAUUCAAUUCAAGAAACUUAAAGCAACAUUUAGAUAGAGCAAGAAUAUCCUGUUAUAGGUGAUACUUCCUUAUAAUGAGUAAAGAACAUAUGGCAUUGAAGCGAACAAAUCAUAUGCCAACACUGCCUACCCCCAAAAAAAAAAAAGAAAAAAAAAGUUUUCAAGAUCACUCUGUAACUCACAACACUUGUUUAAAAUUAUAUUAGAAAUAUCGUGUUCAGUGUUCUUGUCAUACCGUCAAGAAACAUACCGUAAACAUAAAGUACCACUUAAGCACUAUCUGUCAAUGAUUCAGUUAUACAUAUACUCUCUAAGAGACAUACAUACACAAACACUAGCACAUGAUAACAGCUAAAUAAUGCUUCACAUCUACCAAAAUCAUAAGACCAUGAUGAUCCAAUAUAGCACUUCACAUACUCAAAGCUCACGGUCCAGUCAAGCAAGUUCAUCAUGAUCAAAACAUGCCCAUGAAUCAUGACAUCAGAAGAAAAAAAAAAUAUCCUUCGAAUAACUAUUAAUCAAACUUAUACAAUAAUAGAAUCUUGUAAAGAGAUGCACCCGAAUGACUAAAAAUUUCAACUGAUGAAGCUUGUGAGGCAAAUUACAACAGGGAGGAAGAGGCAGAGUCAAAGUCAAGAAGCAUAUAAAGGAUUAGUAUUAAUUAUUUGUCAUUUGACGUGUUCCCUUCAAUUAUAAUGUUAUCAACUUCUACCAUUUUUUAGAAUUUUGUUGUUUUCUUGUUCUUGCACGAUGGAUACAGGCUCCGUAUAUUCCUUAUGCUUUUAGUAUUUGGACUUUCUCUUCUUGUAAUUGUAUUAUCACUUGCCUUCUCUCUAUUUAUAUCUGGCCAACAACAAAAUAAAAGGAGAAUAAAGAUUAAUUUUAGUUACCAUAAAUAAAGGCAUAAAGCUUUUGAAUUUAAAUAUUUUUAUUUUACAAAAUUUAGAAAUUUAACAAAAAAAUCUUGAUAUCAAUUCUUUUGUUGAAACAGGCAGUCAUGUUCACACGAAAACUGAUUGCCACUGGGCUCAAUCUCUAGAGUCCUGCAAUGGGAUGGACCAAACAGAACAAAACGCAUACAAUGAGCAAAAAUCAAUGUAUUCAACAUUGUAACCGAUCUAUAUGUUUUUGCAUAUUCAGUUUCCACGCCUUUGAAACUGUCUAGGCUGUCCAUGAUGCCACCUGUACUCGCGUCUUUGAUCACCUUUGUCUCUCUGUUCAUGCAAGAAUUAGCAGUUGUCAUCAAAAUAGCAUCUUCCUUUAGGAUAAUAUGGGCAGAGCUCUUGGUUCAUGUAGCUUUGUUCCUGAGGUGGACUUGUUGGAUGAUGCUGGUUAAUGCUUUUCAAUCGCUGUCUAUUAAUCGGAGCUUCCCUAAUGCCGCUAAGCUUAACAACAGGAUUCUGAGGAACUUGUGUCUGGCAAUUAUUCUGUAUUACUGCCAACUUCUGUUCUGGCAAUUCUGAAAGCAACUUUAGUUGAAGUUGAAUUUCUGCUGCAUUUUUGGAAUCAGCAGAAUGCUGAGGUUGAAUUGAUAGCUGCUGAGGUCCACUCUUCGUUUUAUUAGAGUCCCUUUGUAAGGGGGGUUGUUUUUGAAACACAAUCUUUGUUGUUGAAACAGAAUCUUCACUUUUUCGGUAGCAAUUAAAUUCCUUUGAGACUGGUAACUUUUUGGAUCCUGAUUCAUGGACAUCCUGAAGAACAAACAUAAGCAUGUAUAUCUUAAAAUAACAUGGAUAAGUUACUUCAUUUUUAUGUGAAAUUAUACCUAUUUGCUUCCAGCAAUUUCCUCUUUUCCUUUCCAUGGAUCCGUAUUUCUCUAUUAGACCUUGCAAUAAAACCCCUUGAGUGCUUCUCCAUCAAAACCUUGUGUCUCUUCCCUUAGUCUUCCCAUCUCUGACAGUGACGGUAUGGGCAAAGCUGGGUUAAUAUUUAAGGAUCAACAGAUAAUAGGAAGAAGAAACUUCAGCUCUGUGCAAACCUGUCUCAAGGUCUUCAGACGAUAAAGGUUUCGACCUUUAAUUAGGAGAGGACGAAGUGGAGGGAGUGGCUUCUCCCCUUUGCUCCAAAGUACCUCUAUCUGAAAGAUUAGCCAAAAACAGCACUUUAAUCACAAGAAUUAUUUUGAUGGAAUUUAAAAUACAGCAUCUGCCUGUUCAAAAUUUACUCCUAGAAAAUUUAUCUCAAUUGUAGGUGAACCAACUAGAGAAAUUCCAUCCAUCAAAUUUGCUUGAAAUGAUCAUACCGCAAAAUCAAGAAAUAUCAUUACCCUAAUGCAUAAACCCAGAUAACUGAACAGUUUUAAGACAUAACAGUCCAAGAAUAGUCAUAGAUUUUCUAUGAUUAAUGGCUUUCCAUUAAACUCCCAAGUCCAAAUUAUAUAGGGCUUAUGACUCACUGUAAAUGUAUGUUGUUGCUUGGCUGCUCCAUAGCUUUCUUUCACAAUGCGGCCAGCAACAAUCCUUUUGCCACAUGGGGGACCACUUUCACUACAAGCUGCUAUGUUAAACCUAAUUAAUGAUGUAGAAAUAAGGUAAGAACAAAACACUCAACGGUUGCAAACAACUUUGAGAAAAGAGCACAGUGAUACUAGCAAAUCUAAAGUAUUUGUUGUCAUUGUUACAUUUGUAAAUCAAAUAAUCUAUUGACAGAAUUAGUAUUCUUUGACAGAUAUUGGAGGAUAAAUGCCAGUUUCAUCGAACUUAUAUUUUCAGCACAUAAACAUAGAGUCAGAGACCAAUAGCUUACAUUUUGUAAACAUUCUGUUCAAUCAUAACAACGUCACCUGUGCAAGCGUCACCUGCAUUUAAUCGGUACGUAUCAGGGUAAUGAGUACAAACACAAAAUAAAAGUAGGGUUACUAGAACUACACUAUACUAGUAUCAGGGAGGAAGGCUGGAAGAGGUGUGUGCAUUCUAAUGCAUUAUAAGCAAAUCAACCAAAGAGUGUUACAAUGAACUGACAUUUUUUUCAGACCCGUAAAUCUAGUAAAUUAAUGAAUCAAAUUUGUACCUUUACAGUCCAGUACAAAGCUAGAGAUUGGGUACCUUCUCUCUCCACCACCAUUUGAGAUUCUGAAAAGUAUCAAAAGAUUAAAACAAAGGAAAAUCCAAGUGUUAUAGGUCUUAAGUGAAAUUAUUAGUUCACGAAAAAAGUUGAAAUUACUCUAAAUGCUCCUUUAUACGCUGAAUAAGCGUGGGUUUAUUGCCCGUCAAUCUCAAUCCAUUGUUCCUCAAAUAAACUUUACAUUGCUCCACUUUCAAUUUCUCUUGCUGCCCGGCUGCCACCAAAAUUUGAAAGCAGCCAAAACACUAAAAACCCAAUUGAGUGAUCAUUAAAGUUUGCAGAUUUAUAAUGCAUGAACAAUGGAAUCCUGUCUAAACUAAUCAUGUAUUUGUCCAAAAUUCAAAAUUUUGUUAAAGCAAUAUCCUUACCCAUUACAAAAGUUCUGAUUUUUACUAGCAACAAAUAAAUAAAUAUACCUUCAAUGAUAUUCUGGAUUACUUUUUCUUCAAUUUCAUCAACACCCACAUCCAAAUCUUUGCCAAUACUAGACAUGAAAAAAAAAAUUAAAAAAAGAAAAGAAAAUCUAUUAUUAGAACAAGGCCAAGCUACAAAGGAAAAAAAAAUCUUUAUUUAAAUAUCGUUGAAAUAAAAAUCUAACCGAGACUUGGACUUUUUCCCAAUUGAGAGCUUUGAGAAGGUGGCAUGGGUGUCCUCAAGAGGGUUGUAACUCGGGUCUAAAUCCGAAUCAUAACCCAGGUCGGACCCUCCACUUUCGGUGCUGUAUUCAUCAUCUCCUUCUUCGAUGAAUAUUACUUGCUCAGACUCAGGAGCUGCCAUUGAUCCGCUACUCUAUUGCUUUCUUGUGGUUUUAUUUAUUCAUAUUUUUCUUCCGCAGAAACCUUUUAAGGUAAAAACCGUAACAACUUGCUUUCGCUUUUUGAAAUCGAAUUGCCAGAAUAAAAGGAAAUUUUCGACCAAAAACAAAAGUAAAUAUGGCCGUUGAGGAUUUGAAAAUUUGAAGCUUGUGCAGAAUGGAUCAAUUAUAUAAUUAAAUCGUUUCGGCGGAUUGUUUUGAUUGAUUAGAUUUUUUUAUUAUUAUCUAAUUAACAAUGGGAAAUUUACAACAAUAGCCAAAAAAAUUAGCCAUUUUUCAACUUUAACCCCUCAAAUUUUUUUCUAUCAACAUUAGCCAAAUCACCAAAUUAUGGACGAAAUUGCCCUCCUCAUUCUCACGUUUCCCUCAAGCAAAUUCCUCCCCCUCUCACCAAAAUCUCAUCACCGGAAGUUGUAUAGAUCGUCGGCGGCGGCGGCGUAGAUCAGCAGCAUUUCAACCCACGGCGGCUAAAAUUGAAAACCCUAGGUGAGUUGUUAUUGCCAUUCUUGUUGUUGUUGAUGUUGUUGUUGUUGUUGUUGUUGUUUGGGUUGUUGUUGUUGUUGUUUGGGUUGUCGUUGUUGUUUGGAAUGUCGUUGUUGUUGGUGGUGUGGUGUUUAAUGGCGGUUGUUGGUGGUGUGGUGUUGUAGAUGCAUGUGGGUGAGAUGCGCGCACGCUGCGUGCAACGUUGCGCGCAUCUCGAGUGCGACGCUGCGCCUGUCGCACGCGAGAUGCGCUUGGCUUGGGCAUCUCGCGCGCAACGCAGCACCUGUCGCACGCGAGAUGCGCGCAGUGUGUGCGCAGACGAGCUGCGUGCAGCGUGCCAGCCUGCGCGCAGCAACUCGCGCGCGCAGUUCGCGCAUCCCACGCCCGCCUGUCGCACCAAGAGGCAGUGCGUGGUGUUGCCUUUAUUUUUUUUUUCUUUUGUUCAUAAUUUAUUAACAUGUAAUACUUUUUACUUGUACCAGAUAAAUGGGCAAAUCAAAAAUAGCAUUGCAUAACCCACCCGGACCGAUGAAAGAACCGGGAAUGAUGAAGACACCUUAUGUUGAUCACUUUCCCGGGCGUAUCAUGAGUAUGUGCAAGUUAGAUGUCGUUGUUAAUGCCAUCCGGGAAAAAUUAACAAGGCAAUAACUGAAACUGUUCAAAGACAAUAUAUUUGGGCAUUUCCUACAGUGUCGGAGCUAUCCGUUCAGUGGCGUAAUUGUGCACAAUAUUUUGCUUCGGCAAGUGUCCCAUGGCGAUGGAAAAGGCAAAGAUGAGUUAUGGUUUCAAGUUGGCGACCAUUUGAUACGGCUAUCGAUUGGAGAGUGGUGCCUAAUAACUGGACUUUGCUAUGGCAAAAAUGUGUUCCUGACGAAGCAUAAAACAAUGCAUAGGUUACUUAAUAAGUACUUUGGCGGCAGGAAUCGUGAUUUAAAUCUUGGCCAGUUCGAGGAAAGAUUUAUAAACUUAGACUUCAAGACUAUGGAUGACACCGAUGCGCUAAAAAUCGCCAUGUUUUACUUUGCUGAUAGAGUACUACACAGAAGAAAGGAUCAUUGUCAAAUCAAUUUCAAUUUGCUUAAUGAGGUAGAUGACAUAAAUCACUUUCGAAGUAUUCCGUGGGGUCGUUUGUCAUGGGAAACAAUAUAUAAGGGCAUUGAUAAUACAUUUAACGGCAAAGCCAAUAAAUUUAAGAGGGCAAGCGCAGAAAAUCCUUUGCAUAGAAUUGAGAAAUAUAAUUUUUACGGCUUUACGUCUGCAGUGCAUGUGAGUGAAGAAUUUUUUUUAUAACUUAGUUUUGUUAUAAUAAAUAUUUAAUGACACGUUUUUUACUUCAUAUCUUUCCUUGUUGAAGGCAUGGAUUUUUGAAGCGAUUGAAGAACUACCAUUAGAGUGGGUGGUGAAAAUUAGGAGGAAGGGUCCUCGGAUCGUACGAUGGAAGCCAUUUAUAUGUAUGUCUGUAUAUAACUGUUACAUAAUAUAUCGUUAUACUAAUUGGAAAUUUGGUAAUCUUUACGACAGGAUGGCACUAUUUUCCAAACUCUCAAACCGGAUGCAAAGGAGAGAGCCACAAAUUAUUGGAAGAGUGUCAAGGAUUACGUGCCAUAUUUGCCAAGUUGGGUCCGUAAUGUAGGUAUCCUCUACAGUAUCAUUGAAAACCGGAAGCAAAGUCAUUUAUAUGUUUGUUUUUUUGGUAUUUACUGUUUUCUGUUUUACUUGGUGCAGCACUAGCCUUCAAUCAACGCGCCAUCCAUUACAGGGCCAAACGAGGUGGAUCCUGACCCCACGAGUCCUGUUGAGGAUGCCGGUGCACAUAUUUUGGUGAGAUAGGCAAGUGGGACAGGUGCCUGUCUCACAUAAAACCAGCAGAUUUAUGUGAGACAGGUGCCUGUCUCACUUGUUCUGGGCUUCUGUUUUACUCGAUUUUUCAGGGGUUUCAAUUAUUGAUUUUCAUUUCUCAACUCAAACUAACUACUUUAACAAGUCACAUUGUUUUGUUAAUGAAAAAUAACAACAUUUGCAAUAAAAACUCACUUCAAUUUCUAACUCAAAUGAUAAAAUCAAUAGAUUAAAAGUUUAGAUUAUGGUAAGAGUAUAAACUAACCUUAAGAAGCUCUCCAAUUAAUAAUUAUAUCUUCAAUUAUGUAAUGCUUGUUUGAUGAAAUUUGCUAAUUUAUUGAGAGUAAUGGAGUUUGUUGAGUGAUGAAGUUUGUUAAGUUGAAAAGAGAAAAGUGGUGGAAGUGCUGGAAUUGAAAAGGGAAUAGUGGCAUGCCUUUGUAAAUUUGAUGAAAAUGAUGAGGGUAAUGUAGUCCAAAAAUAGGGUGUUUGGCUAGUUAUGAUAGAAAAAAGUUUGAGGGGUUAAGGUUGAAAAGUGCCUAAUUUUUUUGGCUAUUUUUAUAAAUUUCCCAUUAAGAAUGCUGCUUCGAUUAAAAAAAAAAAUUUGCGUUACAAAGUUUUCACAAGAAAAUAGAAAUAUUAAAAUAUUAAAAAAUCCUUUAUUGUAUUGCAAGUUACUCACAAUUACUUCGACGUUACUAACUUCACUCGGGCACCGUUCGAAUGAGCCUGAGUGCACCUGGUGCCUAUGGUCAUUGGAGAAAUCGUUAGAAAUUUAGAUUUAAUAUUGAUUUCUCCGUCUUUGUCUUCUAAUAAUUUUUUAUCACACUGUAUUUAUAAUUUGAGUGUCUAAAUUAUAUAAUUGUAUUAGAGUUAUUCUUUAGUGUAAACUUGCUUAUCAAAAUAUGAAUAUUAACGUCGGUGUUGUAAAAGGAUUUUAUAAUAUUAUAUUAUCAAAAUCUAUUACAAUAUUUUAAAGCAUUAAGUGUAUAAUAUGUGGAUGUUCGCACCUAAAAAUUAUUUAAUUAUAACAUGCGUAAAAUUCUAUAUGAGUAAUUUAGAAAUUAUUCCACAAAAGUUGGAAGUUCAAUUUUCAACAGGAAAUGACUAGUUGUCCACUCAAGCACCAGUAUUUCAACAACGUAAUUACUUCUAUAAUUAUGCAUGAGCCAUCUUAAUUUCUGCUAUAUCAAUAUAAGAAAAUUUGUUUACAGUAAUGUCAGUGGGGAUUGCUAAAAACGUGUCGUAAAGAAUAUGACUGAUGAUAAGCUCAAUUAAUUAAUAUACAGUCUGUGGCUCGCAAUAAUACAAUAAUAAACUUACUUCAGCUUUAAUGAUUAUUACCAUUAUCUAUGUGAGCUCUACUCUGAUCAUAUCAUUUCAUCUGGUGAUCAUUUCGAGGCACCUCUCUCUCUCUCUCUCCCCCCCUGACCUAUUUGCUUUUGUUUUGUUGUCGUUUUCCUAAAAUGGAAACUGCUUCUUUAGCAUCUCCUCUUUGUACAAGCCCUGCAGCUAAUUAUGGAAAUUACCAUCCUUUAAAAUCCUCUAUGUUGAAAUCUCCGAAGAGACACAAGAAACUCACAUCAAGAUGCAACAUUGGGAGUACUUUCUGUAUUCGGAAUGGUUUUUCGAGUAAGGAAAUUUUAUCCCAUGCGGUCAUGUUAUUCUUCUCAUCAGCCCAAUUUCUUACUGGGAUUAUUUUGUUAUGCUUGUAGGAAAAACAAUGGCGGUGUCUGCUGCACAAUCUGAAAAGGAGCUCGUCAUAACAAAGAAGAAAGAAACUGGAGAAAGGAGAAUUGUUGUGACUGGGUUAGGUGCUGUAACGCCACUUGGUGACGAUGCACAUUUGUUUCACACCAGCCUUCUUGAAGGGGUUACUGGGAUAAGUGAUAUACAGGGCUUUGAUUGUUCAGAAUUUCCCACUGUAUGUAUAAAUAUUGUGUAAAUUUCAUUAUCAUAACUGAGUUUGUGUACAAAGCUAUUGGAUGAUACUAUUCUCAAAUCUUUAACAGAGAAUUGCUGCAGAAAUCAAAUCUCUCUCAACAGAUGGAUGGAUCUCACCAAAAAUUGCGAAGAAAGCAGACAAAUACUUGAUUUAUGCUCUCGUCGCUGGCAAAAAAGCCUUGGUAGAUGCUGGAAUUACUGAACAAGUUAGCGGAGAGUUGGAUAAAAGUAGAUGUGGGGUUAUAAUUGGCUCUGCCAUGGGAGGCUUGCGUGUAAGUGAGCUUUGAGCUUUGAAAACAAAAGUCAAUUAGGAGUGGCAAGUAUUAUGGUUUGCUUAUAAACAAGAGCAUGUAGCCUUACUAGCAUGUUUUAAUGAUUUUCUGGCUUUUGAACAGGUUCUUAAUGAUGGAUUUGAAGCAAUAAAAGUUUCGUAUAAGAAGAUGAGUCCCUUUUACAUACCUUAUUCAUUAACCAAUAUGGCUUCAGCUGUCUUAGCAAUGGAUUUGGUAAGCUCAUAAGAUAGCUUUGUGGCAUGUUGAAAAAAAAAAAAAAACAUUUAAGCAAUCUUAUACUGAUUUGAAAUUGACAUGCUUCCAAUUAUGUGCAGGGAUGGACAGGUCCAAGUUACUCAAUCAGUACAGCUUGUGCAUCGAGCAACUACAGCAUACUGAAUGCAGCUAGUCACAUGAUCAAAGGUGACACUGUAAGCAACUUGCCUUCAUCUCAAGCUGACAUUAAUUAAAGCUAAGAACAUCCCUUGAGAUGUUACAUUAGAGAAGUCUUAGUUUGAUUUAUAUACAACAUGCUUCAUAUUUGUUGAAAAUUUUGCAGGACAUUAUGCUCUGUGGUGGUUCAGAUGGGAUGAUUAUCCCAUCAGAUACAGUUAACAAAGCCGUUGCAUUUUAGAGUAGUUCAAAAAUAUAUCUGUUAAGAUAAGAAUUUUUUUUGAUGAAAACCAUUACCAUAUCCUAGGAAUAUUUAUAUUGUAUCACCAAAAAUCUAUAAUAAAUUAUACAGAAGCGUACCUGAAUUCAUAACGUUGAAUUGUUUGUGUGGUUAGCCUUCUAGAUCUACACGUUCUUCUAGAAAAUCCUUUUAAGUUUUUCACUGCUCUCUCUGAUGAUGGGAUGUCAAUAGAGAAUAAAAAGAUAUGUGUGAAUUGGGGAUUAUAAUCUCUUAUAUAGACAACUUUUUUCUAUUGUCAUUAGGUAUUCCUAAUUCUGCCCAUCAUAUAAUUAGAAUAUUGAAUCUCUACACAUUAAAAGUUCACACUCUAUUAGAUACAUUAAAGCCUAUAAUACCAAAAACUUUAAUAGAUCACCUUUAAUUGGGUUUAAUCUUAUAUGACAGUUCACAAUACAUAAUUAUUCAUAUAUAAGUCCAAUGUUGAAUAAAGGAUCCAACAAUAUUGGAUUAAAAAAUCCAAUAAUAUCAUGAGUUUUGUUUUAUUGAUCUCAGGCAUAACCAAUCUUAUCGCAUGCAAUGCUCGUUCGCAAAGAAAUAACGAACGUUGGAUUAAGAAUUUAACAAUAUUAAACUAAAAAAUCCAACAAUAUUGGAUUAAAAAAUCCAACAAUAUCAUCAAUUUUUUUUUUUACUGACUAUUUAUCGGAAUAUCAGGCAUAGCCGGUCUUAUCGCAUGCAAUGCCCUUUCGCAAAGAAAUAGUGAUCCAACCAAAGCUGCACGCCCAUGGGACGCUGUAAUCAUUUCAACUCUUCCCUCUCUUCUUGUUGAACAACUUUCUAUUAUAAUAAACGAUUUGGCAAUAAAUAUUUUGAUUGCACAACGAGCAGGAUCGCGAUGGAUUUGUUAUGGGAGAAGGAGCUGGGGUUUUGCUUUUAGAAGAGCUGGAACAUGCUAAGGUUAAUAACUAGCAGAAUCAUCACUUUUUAUGAUUAACUAUAGGGCAUUAUUUCCCACUCAUGCACUCAUGUAUCUACACUCAAAUAAUUUGACAGAAAAGAGGGACGAAUAUUUACGCAGAGAUUCUGGGUGGAAGCUUAACUUGUGAUGCUUAUCACAUAACUGCACCUCAUCCUGAGGGUUAGUACAUAGGCUUUCUAAAAUUCCCACUAUCCACAUCUAUCCACAUCUAUUUGAGUUUAUUUCUGCUGGAGUAAUAUAUAUGUUUUUGAAAUCAGGGGUGGGCAUGGUAUCUUGCAUGAAGAAGGCUUUAGCUCAAGCUGGGGUUGCCAGGGAAGAUGUGAACUACAUUAAUGCACAUGCUCCAUCAACGAGACUAGGUGAUCUGAGAGAAUAUCAAUCUGUAAUCCGUUGUUUUGGAAAGAAUCCUGAGGUAAAAACUGAAGCACAUUGCUGCUUAUAAUUUAGAAUUAUUAUAUACUUGUUUAGUUGCUAUUAUACUUCAUCUGAUUCCAACAUGUCGCAGCUAAGAAUGAACUCUACAAAAUCCUUGAUUGGCCACCUACUUGGAGCUUCAGGUGCUGCUGAAGCUGUUGCCACAAUCAAGGUGAAUAGCUUCUGCUUUCUUCCCUGCAUACAUGGCGUAACUGUGUAGAUCACUUGAAUAGUUAAUAUAAGCCUGCUCAUCCUAGAGUGCUGGCCACAAUCAUUGAAGCCUUACGCAUUGACAGAGGGUAUAUCUACAAUAUGGAGGCCCUAUUGGUACAAUAUCCUCCACUAUCUAUUGAAAACUUAAUAAAGCUUUUCAUUACAGUUUUAACUUUUUUUUGGUUGCUUGCUUCAAGUUUUACAUAAUACAAUAUCACUGUUGGGUCAGAAAUGAAAACUUAGGGGGCAGAUAAAGAAAAAAUUUGAAAACAUGAGGCUUUUCAGUAAAAGUCGGGUUGGGAGUGUUAUGCGGUAGUCAUUCUCGCGAGAGAAUCCCGUAUAUGUUUCCUGUAAAAUUUCAUGGUUUUCAAUAGGAUAUAGAAAGAAGGCGGCCAACCCAAAAAAAGACACAAAUUAUUUAAAAAUCACUUAACACUUAACAAAGUGUUAAGUUGUUAAGUUUGGGGACAUAUCAUGAUUGUUUUUUGAAUGGGGUUUUUUUCUUUUUCCUGCAGGCAAUACAAACUGGAUGGAUACAUCCAAACCUAAAUCUGGAAAAUCCUGACAAACAUGUGGUAUGCUUCUUGAAUUUAAAAUGGAAAUAUUUUUAAAAAAUAAUCUCUAUCUUACGUAUAUAUAAAAUACAUUUUUCUCAUAUAAAUAAUGUAUGCAUGGAAUUUAUAUACUAUUUAUAUAAAGAGAAUAUAUCAUGCAUGUAAGAUAGGAGAUCUUGUUUAAAAAGGUUCCUGCUUUUUCACAAGACGUCUCUGCCGAUUCAGGACGCAAAAGGACUGGUUGGCCCCAUGAAGGAACGUUUGCACAUAAAAGUGGCGAUGUCCAACUCGUUUGGCUUUGGUGGACACAAUUCAUCCAUCUUAUUCGCUCCUUUUAAAGGAAAUUAAUUAUGGCUAAAGAAAAAACCUUGACCACACGCGUGUGCUUGGAUGUUAGUCAAUUUACAGCAAUUAAUUAGCAUCCAAAUCCAAGUGCGUGCAUCGUGGAACUCUGCCAAGACGUUAAUUUUGUAUUGGAAUGACAUUUGGGUAUUGUUCUAAGACCACUUCGUUUGAUAUGUAUUGAUUAUUAUGAUGCCGCAGUUUAAAAAGACACGUAUGUUGAUCGAUCCUUGUGAAAUGAGAAAUAAAAGUUGAGAUUUUGAUAAAAUUUAAGACACUUUUCAAAUCAAAUGAUACUUGUCUAUUAUCGUUUUAGUUUCAUCAUCCAACUGAAGUGAACCAUAUAUUUGAUUAUACGAACGAGGUAAUCCAUAGGUAAUAAUAGUCAGAGGUGGUGAUUAGUAUUAAAAAUUGUUUAAUUAUCAAGCGAUAAUAUGUUAUUUUAUGCUUAUGUUAUAAUUUAUAUUUGUGUUUAUGUAAUAUAUUAUGAAUUAUUAAUUAUGUUUUCAAUAUAUUUAAUUAUGUGUAUUUUUAUGUGUUUAUUAGGAAAAAUAUUAAUUUCACGUACUUCAAGGCUCCAAACAGAUAAACGGAGGUCAAAUUUGGAUUCCGGAGGUCCGAAAACCUUAAGAUCAGUCAAGAUCGGAUUAAAAUUGGGCUUGUAUAAAAAAAGUUGACUUUUCUUGUUAACCGAGCACUGAUUGGAUGAUGAAAUGAGCUUACAAUAGAUAUGAGUGCAUGGGAUAGCUGGCAAUCUUGACCAAAUCUCAACCGUUCAUGAUUCAAUGGCCAUGAUUGUGCCACGUGGCAAUGGUUGGUGAAGCAAGUUGGAGGAUCCGAAUCUUUGUAUUUGGGUCGACCCGAUCCACCCAUUAACCCGCCAAAUCUCAACCGUUCUUUGGGCAAAUCGGACGAGUCAAAUGAUGCCAUGUGUGAUGUUGACUUUUGAAGUUUGACCAGCCAUUGGAUCUUGAUCUAAGGGUUGUGAGGAGCACAUGCAUGAAGCCUAUGAUGGACCGCAAAGCACUAGAUUAUGAAUUUAUUUUUUCUAUAAAUAGAGCCUCAUUUUUAUGUUUUAAUGAUCUCUCUACAACUCUCUUCUUCUCAAAUUCUCUCCAUCUCCUUGUAAUCUUGAUUUUCAGGUGUGUUUUUAAUAUUUUGUAUAAUUAUUAUCAUUAAUAAAAUUAGUUUUAUUUCCAAUUUUAGUUGUUUUUAUUCCUUUUAAUUAUAAGUAAUUCAAUUUUACUACUUUUUAUUUUAAUUAUGCUUAACUAAAUAAUAUUAAUUAGGGGAAGGUGAAACUCUUAGGAAAUAAAUAUGAUUUAAUCAAAUUCUAUUUUUAAUUUUAUAAAUUAAAUUAUUUUCUAUUUAAUUUUAUACAUGUUUUAUAUUUUGAAAAUUUGAUUUAUUGUAGACAAACAAAUGAAUUUGGCACAAUAAAUUCUUAAGAUCUUAAUAUAAGGCAUGGUGAAAUGGUAUUUUGACUUAUUGAAGACAAAUUAAAUUUUGGCACAAUAAAUACUUAAUCCAUCAUAAAAUUAAAGGGAAAAUAAUAAUAAUUUGUAUAAUUAAUAUUUUGGGUAAUAAAUCUAAAACAAAUUGGCAAAAAGAAUUUAGUAAGUUUUAUUUAUUUCUAAGAGUGGAUCCAUAACCCUAACUAGUUCAAUUCCAUAGUUUCAUUUAAAUUAAGUUGUUUAUAUUCAAGUUUUAAUUUCAAUUUUUAGAUAAAAUAAAAUAAACUAAUUAAAUCUUUUCUCUGUGGAUCGACCUCGGACUCACCGAGUUAUAAUACAACAAGACACUCUUAUACUUGGGAGUUAAAAUUUACUUUUAAGUUGUGUCAAGUUUUUGGCGCCGUUGCCGGGGAAAAGUUUUUUUUAUUUGGUUUGUUUUUCCGUUUUUAUUUUUCUCUUAUAUGUAAAAUUUCGUUUACCCCCUUUUCCUUUUCUUAAAUUCUCUUGUGUCCCCAUAUCUUUCAUAUUUCUCGUUUCACCCCAACAAUUCCCGUUUCUAGCCCAAUCUUCUGGUAAUUACACUCGGACCCCAACAUCUUUCAGUCGUUUCACUUUCAUCCCAAAUUGCUAUUCUAAACUUCUAAAAAUUACAGUUUGACUAUAAAAUUAAAAAUAAUUUGUAAUAAAAUCCUUAGACGAAAUUCUCAAAAUAAUCAAGACUUGGACAUACUUUGGACAUACUUUGGACAUAUUUUGGACAUACUUUGGACUUAUUUUGGACCAAACUAACUUUAACUACUAACUCUAAUUACUAACUCUUAACUUUUAUUUUCUGCAUUUAUUUUAUUUCGUAUUUAUUUAUUUUUGCUUUAUUGGUGGGUUUAACCACCAAACUAACUACUAACUCUUAACUUUUAUUUUCAGUUAUUUAAUUUUCAGUAUUUAUUUAAUUUUGCAUUUUUUAUUUUUUUAAUUGGUGGGUUCAACCACCAUUUUUUUUACUUUGCAGUUAUUUAUUUAUUUUUUUUUUACUUUGUUGGUGGGUUCAACCACCAUUUUUUUUCCUCUUUUUCUUUUUUUUUUUGCAUUUAUUUUAUACUUAAUUUAUUGUUAAUUGGUGGGUUCAACCACCAAAAUUGUUAUUUAAUUUUUUUUUGUAUACCUAUAUUAUUUGCUUAUUUAUUUUUUAUUUUAUUUUGUUAUCAAUUUGUGUAAAUAUUAUCUUUAUAACAUAACCCUUGCAUGAGACGUUGGUCUCGAUCUUCAAGUGGCAGGUUAAUUCGUAGAUCUCAAUCUCCACCACCAAUCAUGGAUGAGAAUGAAGGCGAAAACGUUUUGGGCGAACUUAAUCCUCAAAUUGAUCAGGGAGACAACCAAUCUCAACAUGGGCAUGAUCAGAAUCAACCAAGGACUCUGAGAGACUACAUGAAUCCAACCAGAACCGGAGCACCGUCGUGUAUAGUAUUUCCUCCAGAAGCAUCUCGAUUCAACUUUAAACCAGGUAUUAUCCAGCUUUUACCAACAUUUCAUGGUUUAGAAUCUGAGAAUCCAUACUUGCAUCUAAGAGAUUUUGAGGAAGUUUGUAAUACAUACACGGACCAAAAUUGUAGCAUGAACAUAAUUAGAUUAAAGCUUUUUCCUUUUUCAUUAAAAGAUAAAGCUAAAACUUGGCUACAAAACCUUAGAUCUGGAUCAGUAAGAACUUGGAAUAACAUGCAAGAACAGUUUUUGAAAAAAUUCUUUCCACCUCAUAGAACAAAUUCUUUUAAAAGGCAAAUCACUUCUUUCACUCAAAAAAAUGGAGAAACAUUAUACCAAUGUUGGGAUAGGUUUAAAGAGUUGCUUAACAUAUGCCCACAUCAUGGUUUUGAAACUUGGCGAUUGGUCACUUAUUUCUACGAGGGCUUAAUACCCCAAAGUAGACAGGUUGUUGAAAUGAUGUGUAAUGGUGAAUUUAGGGAUAAAAAUCCUGAAGAUGCACUAGAUUACCUUGACCAAUUAGCUGAAAAUGCACAACAUUGGGAUACUGUUGGAACUUUUGAAUUGACAAAUAAGCAACAAUCAUCUCCAUCUAGUGGAGGAAUCCAUAACCUUAGGGAAGAUCAUGAUUUACAAGCAAAAUUUGCAUCCCUAGUUAGAAAAGUUGAAGCUUUGGAGCAUAAAAAGAGUGAUCAAGUAAAAUCUGUUCAAGAAAUUGCAUGUAGCAUAUGUAAUUCAAAUGAUCAUUUCACUCAAGAGUGUCCCACUUUGCCUGCACUUAAAGAAUGUCUAAAUGAUCAAGCUAAUGUCAUUAACACUUUCAAUAAACCAAACCCAUAUUCACAGACUUAUAAUCCUGGUUGGAGAAAUCAUCCAAAUUUCAGUUGGAGGAAUAACAAUAAUGCACAAUCUUCACAAGCACCACCUCCACAAAAUUUUCAAAAUCCUCAGCCUUAUGCACCAUAUGUUCCACCACCCUGGAAAAAUCUGGAAGACACAAUGCAUUCAUUCAUCAGAAAGCAAGAUGUUAUUAACAAUCAAAAUGCACAAACUUUUUCUGAUUUGAAAGAUACUCUUGCUAAACUUGCUUCUGCACUCACCAUUCAAGAAAAAGGAAAAUUUUCAGCCCAGCCACAACCAAAUCCUAAAAUUCAACAAAAUCCACCCACAGACCAAGUCAAGUCAGUUAUAACUCUUCGUAGUGGUAAGGUUGUUGAUAGGCCUAUGCCUGAACCUUAUGAAAAUUAUGAAAAUUCAAAGGGUAGGGAAGGACUAAAUGAACUUACACCUAGUGAAGAAAUAACUAGUGUUCCACCUGAACCACCAUUUCCGCAUGCAUUGAAUAAACCAAAGAAAUCAAACCACUCUUCUGAAAUUUAUGAAAUCUUUAAGCAAGUGAAAGUUAACAUUCCUCUAUUAGAUGCAAUCAAGCAGGUUCCUUCAUAUGCCAAAUUUUUAAAGGACUUGUGCACUGUUAAGAGGAAAUUGAAGGUAAGAAAGAGUGCUUUCAUGGCCGAACAGGUAAGUACAAUUCUGUCUACUAAUAAUAAGUUGAAAUAUAAAGAUCCUGGUUGUCCUACCAUUUCUUGUAUUAUUGGUAACCACAGAAUUGAGCAUGCUUUAUUAGAUCUUGGUGCUAGUGUUAAUUUACUUCCAUAUUCAGUUUAUCUUCAACUUAAUCUUGGUGAGUUAAAAUCAACUUCAACUACACUUUUGCUUGCCGAUAGAUCAGUUAAAGUACCAAAAGGAAUAGUGGAAGAUGUUUUAGUACAAGUUGAUAAAUUCAUUUAUCCUGUGGAUUUUAUUGUCUUGGAAAUUGAACCUGUUGUGAAUAAUUAUAAACCAAUUCCUGUAAUUUUAGGUCGACCAUUUUUAGCAACUGCUAAUGCUUUGAUUAAUUGUAGGAAUGGUUUAAUGAAUUUAUCUUUUGGGAAUAUGACUUUGGAAUUGAAUGUUUUCAACAUGUGCAGGCAACCUAAUGAAGAAAAUGAGAUUGAAGAUGAUACUGAUGAACAAAAGGAAUUAUUUGAAUCUUGUAUCGAGGAAAAUAUUCAAAAAGGGGAUUUUUCUGAACUUUCUAAUGUUUGUUUAGUUAAUUCAAUUGAGUCAAAUAAGCAACUUGAACUUGAUAUUUCUAAUAUAAAUUCGUUGCUUGAUUCUGUGCAGACUUCGCAAAAUUAUGAAGACGAGCCAAAAUUUGAAGAGCUUGGAAGUAUUGAAAAGACAGAACAACAAGAAGCACCUAAAAUGGAAUUGAAACCUUUGCCUGAAGGAUUGAAGUAUGCUUUUCUUGGAGAAGAACAAACUUAUCCUGUUGUGAUUUCUUCUACUUUAACAAGCGACCAAGAAGGUAAGUUACUUACUGUUCUUAAAAAGCAUAAAAAUGCAAUAGGAUGGACUUUAAAUGAUAUUAAAGGCAUUAAUCCCUUAAUCUGCACGCAUAGAAUUAAUUUGGAAGAAAAUGCUAAAACAUGUCAACAACCUCAAAGAAGAUUAAACCCACACAUGAAAGAGGUAGUCAAAACAGAAGUCCUUAAAUUGCUUGAUGUGGGAAUUAUCUACCCUAUUUCCGAUAGUAAGUGGGUAAGUCCUACACAAGUAGUGCCUAAAAAAUCUGGAAUCACUGUUGUUAAAAAUGAAAAAGGUGAAUUAAUUCCAACACGAAUUACAUCUAGUUGGCGCAUGUGCAUUGAUUAUAGAAAAUUAAAUGAAGCCACUAGAAAAGAUCAUUUUCCAUUACCAUUUCUUGACCAAAUCUUAGAAAGAGUAGCAGGACAUCCCUACUACUGUUUUUUAGAUGGAUAUUCAGGUUAUUAUCAAAUUCCUAUAGCACUUGAGGACCAAGAAAAGACCACAUUCACAUGUCCUUUUGGAACAUUUGCAUUUAAAAGAAUGCCAUUCGGGCUUUGUAAUGCUCCUGCAACAUUUCAAAGAUGUAUGUUAAGCAUUUUUUGUGAUAUAGUUGAACAUUGUUUAGAGGUCUUUAUGGAUGAUUUGACUGUGUUUGGGAAUUCUUUUGAUGAUUGCCUUGAUAAUUUGGAGAAAGUUUUAAAAAGAUGUAUUGAAAAAGAACUCGUGUUGAAUUGGGAAAAAUGUCACUACAUGGUUACUUCUGGAAUUGUUUUGGGUCAUGUUGUUUCUAUUAAAGGAAUUGAAGUUGACAAAGCAAAAAUUGAAGUCAUAUCUAAAUUGCCACAACCAAAAACAGUUAGAGAUGUGCGAUCCUUUUUAGGACAUGCAGGAUUUUAUAAGAGGUUUAUAAAAAACUUUAGUGCCAUAUCUAAACCACUUUGUAACCUCUUAUUAAAAGAUGCACCGUUUGAAUGGAAUGAUGAUUGCCAAAAAUCUUUUGAAAAAAUAAUUUGUCUUUUAACAUCUGCACCUAUUAUGCAAUCUCCUGAUUGGUCUUUGCCAUUUGAAUUAAUGUGUGAUGCAAGUGAUUUUGCUAUUGGUGCUGUUUUAGGACAAAGAAUGGAUGGUAAGCCUUUUGUGAUUUAUUAUGCGAGUAAGACUUUGGAUAGUGCUCAAAUGAAUUAUUCUACAACUGAAAAAGAAUUACUUGCUGUGGUAUUUGCAUUAAACAAAUUUCGUUCAUAUUUGCUUGGCUCUAAAUCUGUUGUGUUUACUGACCACGCUGCUGUGAGAUAUUUGAUGAGUAAACAGGAUGCCAAACCGAGACUAAUUCGUUGGAUUUUGUUACUGCAAGAAUUUGACCUUACCAUCAAAGAUAAAAAGGGUGCUGAAAAUGUUGUUGCUGAUCAUCUAUCAAGACUCACAUCCGAAAUCUGCAAUGAUAUAACACCCAUAAAUGAUUCUUUCCCGGAUGAAUUUUUAUUUUCUGUUACUUCAAUGCCAUGGUAUGCUAACAUUGUUAAUUUCCUUAUUACAGGUAAAAUGCCUUUGCAAUGGAAUGCUCAAGAGAAGAAGAAAUUUUUUGUUGAAGUAAAGAAAUUUUAUUGGGAUGACCCUUAUUUGUUCAAAUAUUGCCCAGAUCAAAUUUUUCGGCGAUGUAUUCCUGAUAAUGAGGUAAGUAGUGUCAUUAAUUUUUGUCAUUCUGAAGCAUGUGGUGGUCACUUUUCUUCAAGAAAAACUACUGCUAAAAUUUUACAGUGUGGAUUUUAUUGGCCUACCAUGUUUAAAGACACAUAUGAAUUCUGCAAAAGUUGUGAAAAAUGUCAAAAAUUGGGAUCAAUUACAAAAAGAAACAUGAUGCCCUUAAAUCCCAUACUUGAAAUUGAAAUAUUUGACUGUUGGGGAAUUGAUUUCAUGGGUCCAUUUCCAUCAUCUUUUGGAUUUGUGUAUAUAUUAGUUGCAGUGGAUUAUGUCUCAAAAUGGAUUGAAGCAAUUUCUUGUCGAAAUAAUGAUAGUAAAACUGUGGUUAAAUUUUUAAGAGAAAACAUUUUAAGUCGAUUUGGAAUCCCUCGAGCCAUUAUCAGUGAUGGAGGUAAGCAUUUUUGUAAUAAGUCAUUUGAGUCUUUAAUAAAGAAAUAUGGAAUUACACAUAAAAUUGCUACCCCUUAUCAUCCUCAAACAAAUGGUCAAGUUGAAUUAGCAAAUAAGGAGAUAAAACAAAUUUUGGAAAAAACGGUUAACCCAAACCGAAAAGAUUGGUCUCUUAGACUUAAUGAUGCACUUUGGGCUUACCGUACUUCAUUUAAAACGUCAUUAGGAAUGUCACCCUAUCGGUUAGUUUAUGGUAAACCUUGUCAUUUACCUGUUGAACUUGAACAUAAAUCAUUUUGGGCUAUUAAAGCUUUUAAUUCAAAUUUGGAUGAUGCUGGUAAUGUGCGAAAAUUGCAAUUGAAUGAACUUGAGGAAUUAAGGAAUGAUGCAUAUGAAAAUUCAAGAAUUAUUAAGGCAAGAACAAAAGCAUUUCAUGAUAAAAGAAUUUUCGAAAAACAUUUGAAAUUGGUCAAAAAGUGUUGCUUUAUAAUUCUCGUCUUCAUUUAUUUCCAGGGAAGUUAAAGUCAAAAUGGAGUGGCCCAUUUGUUGUAAAAAAUGUAUAUUCACAUGGGGCCAUAGAAAUUGAGAAUCCAAAUAACGGUGUCACAUUUAAAGUUAAUGGUCAAAGAUUAAAACCAUAUCUGGAACAUCACCCACGUGACGAGGACACCGAAAUUAAUUUGGAUGACCCACCAGUUCUUGAUUAAGUCUUUAAUGAUUUUUUUUUGUUUUACUAUUAUUUUACCGUUUCAUUGUUUGAUUUUUUUUCUUUAGAUUGAUGCACUGUACAUAGUUUUUUUAACAUUGUUUUUCUUGUGUAAGCGUGUUUGUUUGACAGUUGUACAUUCUCUCAUCAAUUUUCAUUUUACAUCAUGAGCACCUCAAUGAGAAAAUACCUGUUCGCACAUCUUAAAAGAUUUCGACGUAUAAAAUUUCACUUAAGAGGCCUGAUACAAAGCUGUAAAUCACAUCCACUUUGGGAUCUGCAACCACUAGAAUUCGUGUCCUAUGUUGAGGAUCUAGAGGGACAACUCAGAACAGUAGAGAGUGGCAUAUAUGAAUUCCAAAUGGAGCUUGAGGUUAACUCAAUGAGAGGACGAAUGUAAGUUCAUUUUCCUUUUAUAUUGUGUGCUUCUUUUUGCUCGCUUUCACGCUUGAUUUGAUUUUGCAGAUUUGAUUUUGGUGUGUUUUGAUUUAUUUUCCCGUAUAAAUGGCGGAUAACGGUACUCCGUGACUUCUUAAGUCGGUAUCUUCAGUUUCCCACAAUAACUGAAACCCCAAAAUCAAACAUGGAAGAAAUACAACAUAAACUCCAUAAGCAUUUUCCCUCUCUCCCUCAGAAUGCCCUCAGGAAAAUUUACAAAGCUCGUUGUGAACGACUGCGUUUGUUAAUGAUCAAUGGCAUUCCUUCUGACAUUCGUUGGUUAAUUGAAGCAAAGGUCCGAUUAGCAGGUGAGUUUUCUGGUCAAUUUGUUUCUUACAUGCCUGGUUUUGGUAAAAGUACGUUUGCUAAGAAAAGGAGAGCUAAACGACUUGGCUCAAAAUGUCAUAACUGUGUAAGACUUGGUUGCAAACGACCGGAUUGUAAAUCUUUAGUAAUGGUUUCUGAUACUCGUGAAGAUAAAAUUAAAUUCGUUAAAGAUGGCAUGAGUAAAGAAUCGUUGGAUGAUAUCUUACGAUCUCUUGAAACGCAUCGAAGCGGAUUUGUGCAACGUGAGAUUUAUAAUUUGUGGAUACUAUUCCAAAAACAAAGUGCACAGUUUAGUCUUGGGAAUCUGACUCAAAAAGACCCUGUUUGCCAGUUUAUAAGAAAACUGGAUAGGAAGCCGAUCCUCGACCCAUAGAGGGCGUUCAAGCCGUUACUGGACGUAAAACCAGAGGAAGAUGUGAGCCACAAUCACAACUACCAGUAAAUAUCCUUUCACUUUACUGUUAUUUUACUUUACUGUUACUUUAUCAUUUGCAUUAUUGCAUUUAGCGAUGUGAUUUUGUAUUUAAUAAUUAUUUGGUUUCUUUUACUGUUUGCUUUUUCUAAUCAUUACUUUCUUUUUACUGUUUGUUUUUGAAUUAUUGAGCCACGAGCUUUACUCAUCAUUUGACAAAUAUGCCAACCCAUUUACAGCUGUUUCUCAUUAUUUAUUUCACCAAGAUCUUUAAAUAUGAGCUCGUUUUUCAAACACUCACAACUUGUUUUUGAAAAAUUAGUCCAAUGGCAUCAUCUUCGAGUAAACAAUUCAAAAACAUUUGUGUGCUUUCUGGGUUUCACUAUGGAAAGUACAAAGAGUUCGUUCAGGCAGCUGUAGAUCUUGAUCGUGUCAUAGCAGAGAGGAAACUGCAUCUUGUAUAUGGAGGAGGUGAACGAGGGUUAUCAAGACUUGUCUCAGAAGCUGUUUUUACCAGAGGAAGUCAAGUACUCGGCAUUAUCCCAAAACCCAUGAAACCGCUAGUGUGCUUGUCUGGCCCACCAAUUGGAGAAGAAUUAGUGGUAUCAAGUAUGCAAGAGAGAAUAUCUGAAAUGAUGAAUCAUGCUGAUGCUUUUAUUUUCUUGCCAGGAGAUCUUGCAACUUUUGAGGCACUAAUUACAUUUGCAUCUUGGGCCCACUUGAACAUUCAUCAAAAACCCAUCGGUUUGUUAAAUGUUAAUAAUUUUUAUGACGGCUUGCUAACUUUUAUUAACCAUGAAAUAAAGAAUCAUUUUGUUCCAUAUUCUGUAAAAAAACUCUUUAUCUGUGCUUCUACUGCUAAUGAGUUACUUGAUCUUUUACAAGGUUAUACACCAGAGCCUGAUCCAAAGACUUUUGCACUGAAUUGGUCGACUGAUGAUGGUAGCGGUAACAGUAGCAGUGAUAAGAAGUGCAAUUUAGAUUUAACUCUCCGUCUGUAAAUAUUUUCUGUUGUAGUGUUUAUGUGAUGUCUUCUAAACUCUUUCUCUUUCUUUUUAAAACAUUGAGGACAAUGUCUUUUUUAGGUUGGGGGGAGGGAAUAGUUGAUAAUUGUGGAAUGUCUUAGUCCUGAUAAUGUCUUUACAAAAAAAAAAAAACAAAAAACAAAAAAUAUUUUUUUUCUGUAAAGACUAACUUAGGACAAAUUUGAGUCGAAGAUGGCAGGAUAUAGAGAAUGUAGUCUCUCUAGAAACGCAUCUUCUUAAUCUUAAGGGUGUUGUUAAAAAAAAAAAAUUUUGACUUUUUCUUCAUCUUUGUUAUCUGCUUUUAAGCUUCUGCAUCAAGUUCAGGUGAGAUCUCCUCUUCUUCUUCUUUUAUUAUUCUCUUUUAUUUUUAUUUAUUUUUUUCUUUUUGCAUAUCUGUAAAAUUAUAAAAUGUUAAGAUAAUGUUUAGAUUAGAUUGUGGGGUGGGGAUAAUUGACGUAUGUUUUAAAUAUGUGUGUUGUUUUUCUCUUUUCUCUUUUCUUUUCUUUGUUAAAAAACAAAAAAAAAACAAAAAAAAAAUUAUUUUUUGUCUAGGAUGGCCGUGUAAAGAGUCACGACUUUUGAGACGCAUCCUAAUAGUCUUGUUGUAUUAUAUUUUGAUUUUGAGAUUCAUAGUAAAUUAUUUUUGUUCCCUUUUCUUUGAAUUACUCGAAUUUGUGAACUCUCCACUUAGUUAUUAAGUUAUUUAAUUGUUUACUCAUUUAACAUGUAUUAUUGAAUCCUUCUUCACACACACACUAUGACACAUACUAGUGGGUUGUAAGUUAAAAUUUUACAGCAUUUAGUUCUUUUGAUUUAUUAGGAAUAGUAUCUAAGGUAGUAGAAAGUGUAUAUUUCCAAAAAAACAAAAAACAAAAAAAAAACAAAAAAAAAGUAGAAAAAAAAAUUAUUUUUAAUUUUUCUAUAUCUAGAACCCGAGUAAUUACGUCCGUAGGGGUGUUUCAACACCUAGUGCCCUAAGGUCAACUGGUCUGGGAGUCACUGGCCUAAAGCUCGCUACAUGGGUAAUAGAUAUAUUGUUUGUUUAUUAGAAACCCGAGUAAUUAAGUCCGUAGGGGUGCUUCAACACCUAGUGCCCUAAGGUCAACUGGUCUGGGAGUUACUGACCUAAAGCUCGCUACACGGGUUAGAAAUGUAAUAUAUAAAAAAAAAAAUAUGUGUGAAUAAUCUAUUGCCUUAAGAUAUAAUUUCUAAUGAAUUUUAGAACGAAAAUGUUGUUUUUCUUUUAAUGAAGCCCCAUAAGUAUUGUGUUAAUUACUUGAGCACAAAAGAAGGUUUGAUGAUAUUCUGGAUAAUGAGUGAACAUCAAUGUGGUAAAGGAAUUAGGGAGAGUUCAUUUAUUUGGUAAUUUAGAGGAUAGAUGAACAACUAUUAACUUGCAUGUGAAUUUUAUAAAUCUUAAUAUAACGCUUUAAUUACUAGAGGGCUAGCAAUAAGCUGGUUGGAGGGUGUGAUUAGUAUUAAAAAUUGUUUAAUUAUCAAGCGAUAAUAUGUUAUUUUAUGCUUAUGUUAUAAUUUAUAUUUGUGUUUAUGUAAUAUAUUAUGAAUUAUUAAUUAUGUUUUCAAUAUAUUUAAUUAUGUGUAUUUUUAUGUGUUUAUUAGGAAAAAUAUUAAUUUCACGUACUUCAAGGCUCCAAACAGAUAAACGGAGGUCAAAUUUGGAUUCCGGAGGUCCGAAAACCUUAAGAUCAGUCAAGAUCGGAUUAAAAUUGGGCUUGUAUAAAAAAAGUUGACUUUUCUUGUUAACCGAGCACUGAUUGGAUGAUGAAAUGAGCUUACAAUAGAUAUGAGUGCAUGGGAUAGCUGGCAAUCUUGACCAAAUCUCAACCGUUCAUGAUUCAAUGGCCAUGAUUGUGCCACGUGGCAAUGGUUGGUGAAGCAAGUUGGAGGAUCCGAAUCUUUGUAUUUGGGUCGACCCGAUCCACCCAUUAACCCGCCAAAUCUCAACCGUUCUUUGGGCAAAUCGGACGAGUCAAAUGAUGCCAUGUGUGAUGUUGACUUUUGAAGUUUGACCAGCCAUUGGAUCUUGAUCUAAGGGUUGUGAGGAGCACAUGCAUGAAGCCUAUGAUGGACCGCAAAGCACUAGAUUAUGAAUUUAUUUUUUCUAUAAAUAGAGCCUCAUUUUUAUGUUUUAAUGAUCUCUCUACAACUCUCUUCUUCUCAAAUUCUCUCCAUCUCCUUGUAAUCUUGAUUUUCAGGUGUGUUUUUAAUAUUUUGUAUAAUUAUUAUCAUUAAUAAAAUUAGUUUUAUUUCCAAUUUUAGUUGUUUUUAUUCCUUUUAAUUAUAAGUAAUUCAAUUUUACUACUUUUUAUUUUAAUUAUGCUUAACUAAAUAAUAUUAAUUAGGGGAAGGUGAAACUCUUAGGAAAUAAAUAUGAUUUAAUCAAAUUCUAUUUUUAAUUUUAUAAAUUAAAUUAUUUUCUAUUUAAUUUUAUACAUGUUUUAUAUUUUGAAAAUUUGAUUUAUUGUAGACAAACAAAUGAAUUUGGCACAAUAAAUUCUUAAGAUCUUAAUAUAAGGCAUGGUGAAAUGGUAUUUUGACUUAUUGAAGACAAAUUAAAUUUUGGCACAAUAAAUACUUAAUCCAUCAUAAAAUUAAAGGGAAAAUAAUAAUAAUUUGUAUAAUUAAUAUUUUGGGUAAUAAAUCUAAAACAAAUUGGCAAAAAGAAUUUAGUAAGUUUUAUUUAUUUCUAAGAGUGGAUCCAUAACCCUAACUAGUUCAAUUCCAUAGUUUCAUUUAAAUUAAGUUGUUUAUAUUCAAGUUUUAAUUUCAAUUUUUAGAUAAAAUAAAAUAAACUAAUUAAAUCUUUUCUCUGUGGAUCGACCUCGGACUCACCGAGUUAUAAUACAACAAAACACUCUUAUACUUGGGAGUUAAAAUUUACUUUUAAGUUGUGUCAGGUGGCAUAGCCGUGAUGGUGAAAUUUUUGUUAUAAAAAAUUUGGGAUGAAGUUUAGUAGACCAAAAAUUAAUUUUCGAGUUGGACUAUUAGCAUUUUUUUUUUAAUUUCAUUAAAUUCUUAUUUUAUUAUAAUUACAUAUAAGGAUAAAUAUAAAUAAAAUUGAUACUACUUAUAUUUUUAGUCUCUCACUUAAAUUUAUUUUAUUUGUACAAUAUAUUAUAUUUUUUUCUCUCUUCUCAAUCUAUAUAAUUGAUUCUUGCACAAACUUAAAAUAUUGAUCUUUUUUUUAUAUUAAUCAUUUUUUAUUUUUAGGAAGUUUUUUUUUUUAUUGAGAAAGAAAGCUUGAAUAGAAUAAUAGAGAUAUCAAGAUUUAAAUAAAAUAAUACUGUAAAAAAAAAUUAACUGUGAGAAAGUUACACAAAAUAAAAGUUUUACAAAUGAAAAGAGUCUUUUUUAGGGGGAAAAAAAAGGGAAAAGUAUUUUUGACAUUACGUGGAAGAUUUUGUAGAGGUGGCCGCAGAUCAACUCUUAAUUCUCUCUCGAAAUGAAUUUCUCUUGAACAACAUUAAAGUGAGAAAUUGGCAACUAUUAAUUAAGAAUAUACAAAUUAUAAAUGAGUUAAUCUCAAUAUCAUCACUAUUUAAACACGUGCCUUCUUUCCCAAAAACUAUGAGAUAGAGACAGAUUGAUUGGUCAAGUUAUGGAUGGCUCAGGGUUAUCUUAAGCUGGAGGGAAGGGAAGAUAUGGAGUUAAGAGGAGAAAAGUACUUUAGAAACUUAGCCUCAUGCUCUUUAUUCCCAGAUUUUCAAAGAAAUGAGUUUGAUGGUAAAAUAAUAAGGUGCCAGAUGCACUCCAUAGUGCAUGAUUUUGCUCAGUGUCUUACAGAAAGUGAUAGUUUGAAUGCAGAGGUCAAGGAUUCUGAUUACAAGUGUCACUUAAGAGUCUUCUCAUGAAAAAAUUCAGAAUUUAAUGAUAAUGUUUGAAAGUGAUGACCUCUUUCCUAUUUUAGUUUACACUCAAAAGAAACCGCGGAGCCUUGUGGUUGAGCGUGAAGGGUAUUUCAUCAAGGGCAUAGUUCUGUCUGAGGUGUUUGAUCAGUUGACGUGUCUGAGGACACUGGAUUUGAGUAACCAUGAUAGUGUUUGGUGUAAAGUGAUUGAAGUGGUUCCCAGAGGAAUAAAAGGAUUAAUACAUUUAAGGUACCUUAACUAGUCUAACAACAAAAAGAUAAAAGAUUGCCUGAGAUGUUGUGCAAGUUGUAUAAUUUACAAACCUUGGAGCUCAGUUGGCGUAGCAGUCUCAGAAAUUUGCCUCAAGGGAUGGGGAAGUUGAUCAAGCUGAGGCAUGGAGAAAAUGUUGGGACUCCACUUAGCUACAUGCCAAAGGGAAUUGAAAGAUGCAGUUAGAUUUUGGACACUAAGUGAAUUCAUUGUCGGUGGUGGAACUGAUGAUAAAAGCUAGUAAACUUGAAUGUCUAAAAAGCCUGAUCCAUCUUCUAGGGAUCUCUUACGAUAAAAAAAUGCUGGGAAAUGUGAAUUAGGAUGAGAUUUGCAAAGCAGAACUUUCGGAGAUGGAAAAUCUCCUUGCUGUGUGUAUAAGUUUCGAUAAUAAUGAUAAAAAGGGAGGAAGAAUAAGGAUAAUGAAGACCGUCUUGAGGGCUUACAGUUGCCUCAAAAUCUUGAGACCUUAAACAUUUUUUACCAUAGAGGUAACAGGAUUUCUCGCCUGAGAAUAAUGUUGUUAUCUAAGUUGCAGUCUAUGGCAUUAGAUUGGUGCAUGAACUUAGUGCAAUUGCCUCCUUUGGGAGAAUUGGCAGCCCUUGAGUCACUGAUUACAAGAAGGAUGAAGAACUUGUAAAAGGUGGGGAAUGAAUUUUUGGGAACAGAUCAAAGUCGUGGGAAACCAUUUGUUGCUUUUUCUAAAUUGAAUUGACUUGUUUUUCAGAAAAUGAAAGUAUGGAAAGAGUCGAAAUAUAAAUCGAUGAAGAGGGCAUCAUUAUGUAAUCAUGCCAAGUCUUCAUUCAUUAACAAUUGGAUUCUGCCCCAAAUUAGAGACACUUCCGGAUGACCACUGUCCUUGAACACUAUAUUUGAAGAUCAUUUCAUGUCCUGUGUUGGAAAAUUGUUAUAAAAAGGGAACAGCAGAGAGGCAAAAGAACUCUCGUAUCAAGAUUUCUUAUGCAGUUGAACUGCAACAGACACACAAGUAACACUUCUCCUUGUUUUUACAUAGUUUGAUUUUUAGAAUUCGUUUUUGGUUUGUCAUGAUCCUGUAAUCUUUUGUCGUAUAUAAAAUAGAUAUGCAACCACCUGCAUUUGUAAAAGAGAUGUUAAUUUAAGGUAUUGUUCUCUUCACUUAGAAAUUAUCGAUGACAUCACUGGAUAAUUUGAUCUUAUUGGUUUUGUUUUCCAGGAGAAUGGUGUGAGAAGCAUACUGGAGAGGAAUCAAAAGUUAUAUCUCGUGCCACAUUUCAGAUAUCAAAUAUUUGGUAAGUUAAUCUCUUCAACUCACACAUAUCACAUUCCUGGUCUUGGUUUUCAGAAUGUAGAACUGGCUACUAGGCACAGCAACUAAUCAAUAGAAUUGUAAAAUUAUAUCUCAGUGCAGAGCAAUUACUUCAAAGUCUCCAAAGAUGAUGGGGGCUGAGACAGAACCUUCCCCUUUGAAACAGAAAGAAAACGUUAUCUUAAAGCUUUUGCUUAUAGUUAUGUUACAGUUUAAACUCCUUUACUACUUCAUAAUCAUUAUUCUUCAAUCUUGAGGUGUUUCUCAGAGUGUAAUACAACUUUCAAAAAAUGGAGAUUGCAUUGAAGUCAGAAAGGGUGCGAAAGGCCGUCGAGGGAAGAAAGUUGAUAGGACGCUUUGGAUGGGCUAUUGCUAAACCUCGAAUAGUAUGAUAUUGACUGCUUUAAACAAAGGUCAGGUUAUUUUUUUUCUUCUUCAGUUCUCGUCAAGAGGCAUCAUACUAUUUAAGAAAUGAAUUUGUAUAUGUAGUCUAGCAUUGCUUUUAAAGCAGGCAAUGCAGGACAUUGACUUCCAAUCCUUAUCAUCCUUGAUAUUUCCAAAUCUUGAAUCAUGUAUUGAAGCUCUGCAAGGAAAAGGAAUUGGAUCAUUCCAAGUUACCAGUUGCAGGAUGAUGGCAGAUCCGAUUACAAGAUAUCAGGGAAUAGAGGCUGGAUUGCCUAAUUCUAAAUGAUAUUAAUGAAUCAUGACCCUUUGUUCUGUCACUUGGUUUCCGGAACUAGCCACUAGAAAUAUUUUCGUUGCUCUUUUUAUGUCUGUCUUUCACAGCGAAGGUAGAAGAUUGAAGCACAAGAGGGUGAUUGAUAUGCUGUUAACUUUUGUCUUUGUACAAUAUACCAAAACAAUUUAUUUUAAUGUAGCAACUGGUAAGUCCUUUUAUUUUCAUGUUAUUCAGCAACGGAUGCUUUUUGUUCCUCUGUGGCCUCUUUUGCAUUCGAUACAAUAUACAUAAGUUCGACGAAGGGUUCCACUAAACUUCAUUUUUCUGUGAUGCUCACAUAAUUUUGGAUAUGGGAGCAGGAGUUGAAGCCACCAAUUCAGACUGAAACGUUGAGCCAAAUUUUACCAAAAUUUCACUUUGUUUGAUGCAUUUGCAUAUUAGGCACUUUAGGUCCGUGGCCUUUUGCUAGCUUGUCCUAGAUGGUGCAAGGAAACAGAGUCACAAAAUCAAUCGACAAAAGAAUGUUAUAAACCAUAAAAAUACUUCAAAUUUAAUUAGUUUAAAUGAUUGCUCAUGGUUUAAUUCAUCCAUACAUUUAGACAUUUCUGCAACAGAAAAUAAUAUUACAGCAUCGAAUGGAUUCUCUCAUGCUCAGUUCUCACAUGGUUCCUGGUAAUAUGUUUCACACUAGGACAGCCAGUAAGGGCCAUGGUCAACUCAAACUCAUCCUUCAGCAUUUCAAUGACGCGUCUCACCCCAUAUUCCCCUUUUGCAGCAAGGCCGUAGACUACAGGCCUUCCAAUCUGGAGUAACAUAUGACAUACAUUUGUUUAGUAAUCAAAUAAGGAGCCGAACAAAAGUAGUACUGCAGCUGAAAUAAAUUUCUAUGUUACUUUUGUGUCCCUGGAAUCAACUGUUAACAAAAGAGAAAAGAAAGGUGGCUCCAGAGUCUCACCACUGAAAUUCAAAAACUUAAGGGUGAAGUUGUGAAAAGCUUACAAGUACAGCUUGUGCACCGAGGGCCAAUGCCUUGAAAACAUCUGUUCCUCGCCGCACUCCUCCAUCCAUAAGAAUUGGAACUCUUCCUUUAACGGCAUGAACCACCUGCAAGCCCAGGGUUCACAAGUAUAAAAUGUAUUGGUUACGAUUUCCUUGGUAAAAUCUAUUGUGUAACCCAAAGUUGUCAGUGGACACAUAUCUUAUUCCAAAAUGCUGGUCAUUUCUACAUCGAGCUAGUUAGAUCGAAAAAUGUAUUGUUACAAGAUCUCCAUCAUUAAUACAUGAAACGGCAAGUUCCAUUGUCUACAUGUCAGAAAACUAGCAAAAACUACAUGCAUUAGCAUUGUUAUGAUCACCCAAUAGAUUUGCGUCUCCUGUUUCCUAAUUCAUAUGCCUUAAAUUAAAACUCAGAAUAUUAAUUAGGAGAAUUAUGUCAUCCUUAAUAAUAUGAUAUUUCUCAACCUUUCAAGUUAAAUACAAUGGCAGCAGCAAUGUUGUCAGUUUGGAUUCCCUUUUACAGUCUUAAAAAAAUUUUAGAAUGCAUUCUACUAAUCAACAUUAAUCAAAAUAAACUGACACAUAUUUGUAAUCAAUUCAAUACUCACAAUUAUUUACGUACUUGUAAAAGUGAAGUAAGUUUAGAUCUAUAUACAAAUCUAGAUCAUAUUGUCUGCAGUUUAGAAUGCUAAAAGUGGUGUGAAAUUUAUAGUCACCUCUUCCAGAGCAGAAAUAGUGGCAGGACUAUAAUCUAACUGUCGAGCUCCGUGAUUGGAGACAAUAAUCCCAGCAACACCUACUUCCACAGCUUUUAUUGCUGAAAAUUUUAGAAACCAAGCAAUUAACAAAUCUUCAAUUAGGAACUCACAAAAAAAAAUGAAAAUAUUUCUGAUGAAAUUCAUAAAAGAGAUAGAUAGUGACGUGAGGAGAGAAUAUUUAACAAGAAUAUUUUCAUUUGGAUGAUUGGCAUCUCCAAUUCUACAAAGUUUAAUUCUAAGUCUCUAAUCCCACUACCGAAUCACUGCAUAAAUGAACCUCUGGCUUAGAGACUCACAGUGUAUAAAUGGAAAAGAAUCCUCUUUUAGUCUAAGGCUAAAUGGAAAACAAAACAAAGCAAUACUCAUAUCAUCAGAUGGAGCUUUGAUCUUACCAUCUUCACGAGUAAGUAUCCCCUUGAUCAAAAUUGGUAACUUUGUAAUAGAUCUUAGCCAUUCUAAAUCCUGCAGAAGCAUAUGAUAUUCUUCAGACUCAAAACUUUACAGAGAGUAUUGAAAUCAAUAGCCAACUCAAAACUUUGCAGAAGCAUUUGUUCUAAGUAGCUGAAUAAUACACACUUAUUUUUUCUUGAUAUAUUUACAGCCUGGACAGAUUUUUUCUUGAUAUACAAAAGGUGAAGACUUCACUGAUCUCUACCUUCCAACUUAAAGAAGCAUCCAUGGUCUCCUUGGCAUAAGCUUCUAAAUUCGAACCUGUAUCCUGCAAAAAGUGUAAUCCAUUAAGUUAAAGUAAAGGAUUAUAGAUAUAGUCUAUGAGUUUAAACAAGCAGUAAAAGUAAAUGCCGGCUGAGAACCAGAAAUAUCAAAAAAUAAAUAAGUGAAACUGUAACACUCACAGAGCUGACUUUGGUUGAUAAGAGGCCUUCCAAAUUCUUCAACUGCGGUGUAAUCAUUCUGCAGAUGUUGUUGAGUGAGAUUCAAAAGACAAUGUUUACUGUACCCAAAUAAAAGGUAAAGGGCACUAUAUAUUUCUUUUGAUGUCACAAUACAAACAUUUGUGUCAUAUCACUAUCCUAAAAGGUUUUUUUAACCAAAGUUUCAAUUCAAUUAUAUGUGGUAGUACUUGGAAUAUAUAGAACCAAAGAUAAAAAAGAUGAUAAUUCACUUGUUCUUUAUAUCUGCCUCCCUUCUACCAAGUCUUGGAGUAUCAGCAGUUAGGACAAGAGCCUUAAAACCAUUCCUUUCAGCUCUCUGCACUAGAGUAGCUGCUAUAUCUCGUUUCUUGAAUACCUAUUCACAAAAAGGACGCCAUAGUGUGGUUCAAACCCUUUAAGUAACAUUAUAAGAAAGAAGAAAAUAGUUGUUGCUCAAAAAAAUGAGCAGUUUCCUAAUAAGAAUAGGAGGGGAAAAUAAAAAAUAAAAAAGGAAAAAGAAAAAAGAAAGAGCCCAAGACAAGCCAACUACAUAUAAUUGAUAGAAGCGAACAGCAUUGCAGCUGGCCGCAACCUCCUCUAUGGAGCAGCUAGAUGUGAAGGAUAAAACCAUUAUGGUGUUACAUGAAGCUGCUGCUCUGGCUGUGGCUACCUCUCCUGGAAUAUAUACAAACACUUAAUGUUAGAAUUUGUACAAAAUCUUCAUGAUGUACAUCUUGAAGAAGGAAUAAGACCUUCAGGGUUUGCAAGCUUAUGCAAAGCCGUUGGAGCAAUGAUAAUGGGAGCCGAGAUUUUGUAAUCAAGUAUAGUAGUCGAUAAAUCUAUUCUGCUGACAUCGACAAGAAUUCUUGGCCGAAACCUGAGAGAUAUAAUAAAAAUCCAUUUGAAAGUUCUGAAUCUAGUUCUAAGAUACUCAUUGAAACUCAUUUGUCUUACGUAAUUCUAUGAAAGGCUUCCACAUUCUCUUUUAGGGUAUGUUCAUCUUCUGCUCCACCAGCGUAGAAAUCAUAAUACAUUUUUGGAAGGGCCAGCCUUGCCAAUUCUUGGAACUCAUUCAAAUUAACAGGUUCAGCUGCCAUUUGAAACCUGCAAACGUGGACAUUAAUCAACUUUUCAAGUAAAUCAAUCCCAGAUGCUACAUACUGCAUGCAUAAAUCAGAAUAAUUCAUUUCAAGAAACUUAAAGCAGCAUUUGGAUAUAGCAAGAAAAUCCUGUAAUAGGUGACACUUCUCUUCGGAAGUGAACAAAUCAUAUGCCAACAUUGCAUAGCCCCCCCCCCCCCCAAAAAAAAAACAAAAAAAGAAAAAGAAAAACGGUUCUCAGGAUCAUUCUAUAACACACAACACUUGUUUUAAAUUAUAACGGAAAUAUUGUUUUCUUUCUGUAAAUUUUCAGUGUACGGUGUUCUCGUCAUACCGUCAAGAAAUAUACCGUAUACAAUAAAGUAACAUUUAAGCGCUUUCUUAUCUGUCAAUGAUCCAUUAUACAUGUAAUUUCUAAGAUACAUACAGACAUACAUACACACUAGCACAUGAUAACAGCUAAAUAAUGCUUCACAUCUAUCAAAAUCAGUAAGAUCACCAUGAUCCAAUAUAGCAUUUCACGUACUUAAGCUCACAGGCAAGUUCAUCAUGAUCAAAACAUGCUUACGAAUCACGACAUCAGAAAAAAAAACUUCCUGAAAGAGAGAGAAUAAAGAUACCGAUUCGAAUAACUAUUAAUCAAACUUAAACAAUAGAAUUUUGUAAAGAAAUGAACCCGAAUGACUAAAAAUUUCAACUGAUGAAGGUCGAUCGUGAAGCAGAUUACAACAGUGAGUCGGGGGCAGAGUCAAAGUCAAGAAGCAUAUAAAGGAUUAGUAUUACUUAUUUGUCAUUUGACGUGUUUCCUACAAUUAUAGUCUUGUCAACUUCUAUCAUUUUUCAGAAUUUUGUUGUUUUCUUGGGCUUGCACGGUGGAUACAGGCUCCGUAUAUUCCUUACGUUUUUAUUAUUUUUACUUCCUCUUCUUGGAUUGUACCAUCACUUGCCUUCUCUCUAUAUAUAUAUAAGGACAAAAAUAAAAUGAAGUGAGAAUCAAGAUUAAUUUUAGUUACCAUAGAUAAAGCGUUUGAUUUUAAAUAUUUUUAUUUUACAAAAUUUAGAAAUUUAACAAAAAAUCUUUAUAUCCAUUCUUUUGUUGAAACAGGCAGUCAUGUUCACACGAAAACUGACUGCCAUUGGGCUUACUGUCUAGAGUCCAGACAGUAAGAACUGGGCCUAUUGUAGGAUGGCCCAAAUAGAACAAAACGCAUACAAUGAGCAAAAAUCAAAGCAUUCAACAUUGUAACAUCUAUAUGUUUUUGCAUAUUCAGUUUCCACGCCUUUCAGACUGUCUAGGCAGCCCGUGAUGCCACCUGUACUCGCGUCUUUGAUCACCAUUGUCUCUCUGUUCAUGCAAGAAUUUGCAGUUGUCUCCAAAAUAGCAUCUUCCCUUAGGAUAAUAUGGGCGGAGCUGUUGUUUCAUGCAGCUUUGUUCCUGAGGUGGACAUGUUGGAGGAUGAUGGUUAAUGCUUUUCAAUCGCUGUCUAUUGAUUGGAGCCUCCCUAAUGCUGCUGAGCUUAACAAUAGGAUCUUGAGGAACCUGUGUCUGGCAAUUAUUCUGCAUUACUGCCAAUUCCUGCUCUACCAAUUGUGAAAGCAGCUUUGCUGCUUUUUUGGAAUCAGCAGAAAGCUGAGGUUGAGCUGCCACCUUCCUAUGAUCGACUGAUAAGCUUGGUUUUUGAGGUUGAACUGAUAACUGCUGAGGUCCAUUCUUCAUUUGAUUAGAGUCCAUAUUUAAGGCUAGCUGUUGUUGAGACAGAAUCUCCACUUUUUCUGUUACAGUUAAAUUCAUUUGAGACUGGCAACUUUUUGGAACCUGAUUUAUGGACAUCCUGAAGAACAAACAACGUAAGCAUGUAAAUCUUAAAAUAACAUGAUUUAUGGACAUCUUAAAAUAACAUGGUUGAGUUUCUUCAUUUUUAUGUGAAAUUAUACCUAUUUGCUUUCAGCAAUUUCCUCUUUUCCUUUCCAUGGAUCCGUAUUUCUCUAUUAGACCUUGCAAUAAAACCCCUUGAGUGCUUCUCCAUCAAAACCUUGUGUCUCUCCCCUUCGUCUUCCCAUCUCUGACAGCAACAAUAUGGGCAAAGCUGGGUUAAUAUUUAAGGAUCCACAGAUAAUAGGAAGAAGAAACUUCAGCUCUGUGCAAACCUGUCUCAAGGUCUUCAGACGAUAAAGGUUUCGACCUUUAAUUAGGAGAGGACGAAGUGGAGGGAGUGGCUUCUCCCCUUUGCUCCAAAGUACCUCUAUCUGAAAGAUUAGCCAAAAACAGCACUUUAAUCACAAUAAUUAUUUUGACGGAAUUUAAAAUACAGCAUCUGCCUGUUCAAAAUUUACUCCUAGAAAAUUUAUCUCAAUUGUAGGUGAACCAACUAGAGAAAUUCCAUCCAUCAAAUUUGCUUGAAAUGAUCAUACCGCAAAAUCAAGAAAUAUCAUUACCCUAAUGCAUAAACCCAGAUAACUGAACAGAUUUAAGACAUGACAGGGCAAGAAUAGUCAUAGAUUUUCUAUGAUUAAUGGCUUUCCAAUAAACUCCCAAAGUCCAAAUUAUAUAGGGCUUAUGACUCACUGUAAAUGUAUGUUGUUGCUUGGCUGCUCCAUAGCUUUCUUUCAUAAUGCGGCCAGCAACAAUCCUUUUGCCACAUGGGGGACCACUUGCACUACAAGCUGCUAUGUUAAACCUAAUUAAUGAUGUAGAAAUAAGGUAAGAACAAAACACUCAACGGUUGCAAAACAACUUUGAGAAAAGAGCACAGUGAUACUAGCAAAUCUAAAGUAUUUGCUGUCAUUGUUACAUUUGUAAAUCAAAUAAUGUAUUGACAGAAUUAGUAUUCUUUGGCAGAUAUUGGAGGUUAAAUGCCAGUUUCAUUGAACUUGUAUUUUCGGCACAUAAACAUAGAGUCAUUGACCACUAGCUUACGUUUUGUAAACAUUCUGUUCAAACAUAACAACGUCGCCUGUGCAAGCAUCACCUGCAUUUAAUCGGUAAGUAUUAGGGUAAUGAGUACAAACACAAAAAUAAAAGUAGGGUUACUAGAACUACACUAUACUAGUAUCAGGGGGGAAGGCUGGAAGAGGUGUGUGUAUUCUAUUCUAAUGCAUUAUAAGUAAAUCAACCAACAAGUGUUACAAUGAACUGACAUUUUUUUCAGACCUGUAAAUCUAGAAAAUUAAUGAAUCAAAUUUGUACCUUUACAGUCCAGUACAAAGCUAAAGAUUGGCUACCUUCUCUCUCCACCACCAUUUGAGAUUCUGAAAAGUAUCAAAAGAUUAAAAAAAGGAAAUCAAAGUGUUAUAGGUCGUAAGUGAAAUUAUUAGUUCACAAAAAAAGUUGAAAUUACUCUAGAUGCUCCUUUAUACGCUGAAUAAGUGUGGGUUUAUUGCCCGUCAAUCUCAAUCCAUUGUUCCUCAAAUAAACUUUACAUUGCUCCACUUUCAAUUUCUCUUGCUGCCCGGCUGCCACCAAAAUUUGAAAGCAGCCAAAAACACUAAAAACCCAGUUAAGUGAUCAUUAAAGUUUGCAGAUUUAUAAUGCAUGAACAAUGGAAUCCUGUUUAAACUAAUCAUGUAUUUGUCCAAAAUUCAAAUUUUUGUUAAAGCAAUAUCCUUACCCAUUACAAAAGUUCUGAUUUUUACUUGCAACAAAUAAAAAAAUAUACCUUCAAUGAUCUUCUGGAUUACUUUUUCUUCAAUUUCAUCAACACCCACAUCCAAAUCUUUGCCAAUGCUAGACAUGAAAAAAUAAAUAAAAAAAGAAAAGAAAAUCUAUUAUUAGAACAAGGCCAAGAUAAAAAGGGAAAAAAUUUUAUCUUUAUUUAAAUAUCGUUGAAAUAAAAAUCUAACCGAGACUUGGACUUUUUCCCAAUUGAGAGCUUUGAGAAGGUGGCAUGGGUGUCCUCAAGAGGGCUGUAACUCGGGUCUAAAUCCGAAUCAUAACCCGGGUCGGACCCUCCACUGUCGGUGCUGUAUUCAUCAUCUCCUUCUUCGAUGAAUAUUACUUGCUCAGACUCAGGAGCUGCCAUUGACGCGCUACUCUUUUGCUUUCUUCUGGUUUUAUUGAUUCAUAUUUUUCUUCCGCAGAAACCUUUUAAGGUAAAAACCGUAACAACUUGCUUUCGCUUUUGAAAUCGAAUUGCCAGAAUGAAAGGAAAUUUUCGACCAAAAACAAAAGUAAAU
rnacentral:lncRNA from 1 species